AUUUUGUGUAUUAAAGACAUUAAUCGAAAGCAAUGAAGUUAUUGAUCAAAUCCGUAAAAUUUAAUUAACACCACUUAUAUAGGAUACUGUUAUUAUUAUAAUACUCAUAACAUAUUAGUGUAAUAACUUACACAAUGAGAUUAUACAUCAAAAUGGGUUGUUAGACAAAAUUAUUUUGCAUAGAUUCUAAGGAACAAAUCAGAACAAAAAAGACUUUUUGUUACAUAUCUCUUAGAAACCCUCCUCAAUGAAUCUCUUUACUGCAAUAGAAGAGCCAAGAAGGCGGAGAGUGAUGCAGCAACGAUAGAGCCAACCACCGGAAAAGCCACGGUGGCUGAAGAAGUACCUGGUGCUGGUGCUGGAGACUCCAUGGUAGCCGCCGUGGCUGAGCUCACUAACACAGCCGAGACAAAGAGAGCGACAAAGAAGUUGUUGACAUUCCUCAUUUCUAUUAUUAUUAUUAUUAUUAUUUAUUUAUUUAUUUUGGAUGAUGGUUUUGUGUGUGUGUUUUAUCUGAUGCCUUGAAGGUGAAGGUAAAGAAGGUAUUUAUAUUAUGACAAAAUGCGGAAGGGGAAAUAAAGAGAGUUUCAAGGUCUGCCAUUAAUUAGAAAGACAGGAUUCUCUAGUUUUUAUUGCUAAUUUAAGAAAGAAUAAAUUGCAAAAAUAAACUAGUGCGAUAAUUGUUCUUGGAUUGUUUGAAUGAGUCCAAUAAAAAAGAGAGAGAUAAAUAAGUCCUCUGAAUUAAAAACGAGAAUACUCAUUUGCUUACAGUUUGUACGGUAUUAACAUAGGGAAAACGGCUUAUUCAUGUCUGCACUAUGAAGCCAGAGAAAAUACAUACCUAAACAAUAUUAACAUGUCAAAACAUUUUUAAACUAAAUAAGAUUUUGAAUUGCAUACCUAAACUCAUAAUAAAUAGCUAAAACAUGUUUCGUUACUGAAACUCAUAAUAUUUCCGUUACCAUAUCCCCUGGAGAUCAGACAUUCUUGUCGCCAUUCUUCUAACUUAAACACAACUUUUUGUAACUUGUCCUCUCUUUUCAAUUAAGCUAGGGUUUUAGAAUCUCUUUGAUAUAUAGUCUACAUAUUUUCUUUUGCUUUUCCUUUCGAAUAAAAAGAGAUUAUAGCUUUUGAAUUUAAAAAUAAAAACUCAUUUGUUUAUAUUUCACUGUCUUUACAGACGUGUAUAAACUAGAGAGAAUAAUUAAAUGGCAAAAAAUAAACUACAGAGACAAUUGUUCUUGGACAGUUGCGAAUGAGUCUCCAAAAAAAAGAGAUUAGUCCUUUCAAUUAAAAAUGAAAACUCAUUUGUAUUUACAGAUGAUUCACAGAUAAAACAGACUACUCCAGGGACUUGAGACAGUUGUUGCACACAUGACAUAAUUACUUAGAAAACUCAUUGUCUCAGGCAAACUCAGCACAAGAAAGUAAAGAAUGCAAAAGGAGAGACAAACACAGCACCAAUCAUAAACUAGGGCAGAGAGAAACAAAAAGGAUGCAAGUACAAAUUAUGAGAAAUACUACCUCUACAACUAUAACAUCCGAUAACUCUACAUACAUUAUGAGAAAACCAUGUCUUACGAUUUGACUUCCAUCAUGAAAAUCUUGUUUUUCAUUAAUCAUAAAUUAUAUUUUCGGGAUUCGAUCUCCUGGAAUUCUAACUCCAAAAAGCAAUGAAACUUUAGUCAAACUACUAGACUAAAGAGUUUAUGAGUGAUAAAUAGUAAAACACAAAGGUUUAAUAGUUGACUAUCAGUAUUAUUGUUUAAAUGGAGAUGACACAAUAAAAGGAACAAGCAUUGCAAAUGGAACUAUCUACUUAAUCUAGUAAUCUCUCUCUUUCCUUUUGCCUCAUCGAUUGAUUUGUAGUUGCACCAAACUUGGAGCAUAAGAAGAGAAGACAAGUUUGUUUCCAGGUUCCCUAUCUUUUCUCAUCUCCACAGAUUCGAUGCAUCCUUGUUCUCUAAUGAUAUAAGCUCUCUUGUAAAUAUGUCUAAACAACUUAAAGAAUCCGGAAACAAGAGCCAGUUUCUUCUCCUCAUCAAUGAAGAAACUCUCAGUCACAAAGCUUUGCGGUGUCAUCUCCACUCUCAAGAACCUGGUCCAAGAUGCAGCAUUGUGCUCAAUCUUGCUCGUAAUCCAAAACUCCAUUACAUUAUUGUCUUCGGGUUGAUGUAAUACAGCGAGCUGCUCAUCUCUAACACGAGAAAGAACCACGGCUUUUAUAAACCUAACACCAGCACCAAACGGCAGAAUAAGAUGCUGUCCAAACCUCUCUGCUGUAAAAUCGAAACAUAGUAAGAUAUAUUGACUCUCAACAACAAACCCUUCCAAGCAAGUUUCUUCAGCCAAAAAGUAAGUGUUUCCCUUGAGAGACACGCCACUUUUUAUAACGCAGUUGCCGGGAUGGACAUCAAGAACUCUCCACGAACUUGAGUUAAAAUCGUAGAUUUCGAAUAAGGGACCAGGUUCUGAGGACUUAGUAACGUCCAAAACCCUCAAGAUCUUGUGGUUACGAUCGUUGUUGUUGUUGUUUCCAUAUCCGAGACCAUACAUGUAUGCUGAAUGGAGUUUGUCCCUUGUUUGGAUCCACCUGAGUUGUCUCAAAUACGGGUUCCACACAAGAAGCCGGCUCUCAUCUUUGAUGACGCAUAACAGCAAGCCGUCCCACUGAAAGACUUCCCAUAUCUCAGCUUGUUCAAGUAACCAUACUCUCUCAAUAGAGGGACGAUAAACCAAGUUGCCGUUGUCGUGGGUUCCUUGCAGAUCAAGUUUCAGUGAACAAAGGUUAUAAUCUAUCACCAUGAACCCUAGAAACGUGCCCUCUGCGUCUGUUUUACCAAUGAUGUGGGUUUUUGAUAAAACUUCCCACGUUUUACAAGUGCAUCGCAGUGCCCUAAGAGAUGUCAAUGGAACCCUAGAUAAUAUCUCCGUUACCAAUUCCCCUGGAAGAUCAGACAUAGCCAUGGCCAUUCUUCCAACUUACAAACAAAGUUUUAUAUCUUCUCUUCUCUUUUCAAUUAAAUUAGGAUUUUAGAAAUCCUCUUUUAUAUAUAGUUUUUUAUAUAUUUCCUUUUGCUUUUCAUCUUAUCCCCUUUCAAAUAAAAAGAGAUUAUUGAUUUUAAAAUCAUAUUUGUUAUAGGAUAUGUAGCUUGAUAUAUACUCCCUCCGUUUUUUAUAUAAGUCGUUUUAGAUGAAUUUUUAUGUUCCAAAUUAUACGACGUUUUAAUAAAUGUUAUAUGAACAAUGAUAAUAUAUUUUCUAUUUUAUUUGAUUGAUUUGUGAUUAGGUAAAUAAUUAAUGAUACUUUUGUUUAGAAAUUAUAAAAAAUUAAUGAUUUCUUAAUUUAUGUGCACAAUUUUAAAACGACUUAUAUUAAAAAAAACGGAGGGAGUAUUAAUUAAUUUGUAAGAUCUUUUAAACUUAAAAGGAAGUUAUUUUAGAGAACCACCCCCAAAAAAAAAGAGUUAAAAUGUUAAAUCAUAUGAAAAAUAUUAAAUAUAGAAUCGUGUUAAUAUAAUUUUAUCCGGCAAGAUUGUCUUAAUGGGUUGAAAAGGCCCAAGCCCAAGAGCCCAGUUUAGUUUUAUUCCUCAUUUCACUUUUCUCUCAAAAUCAAUUUCAAGUUAAAACACUUCUUCCCUUGACCUGCGAAUCUGCGAUUCCUAAGGCACGAUUCCAAAUUCGAAGGUUCAUAAAAGAUCAGCGAGCAGCUCCUCGAAAGUUCCAAUCGAAUUGAUCAUCCUCAUAGGCGACAAUGUUCUACAGAGGGUAAGCUCCCAUAUUACCCUCGAUUCGUUGUUCCUCAUUCAAUUGAUUUCAUUAGCUUUCCGCAAUUAGGGUUUCUUUCUCGUGAUUCGUACCUUAAAUCACUUCAAUUCAUCUCCUUUUGAAGCUUAUUCUGUUUCGAUUUCAUUCAAUUGUUAAAUUUGAUCGGAAAGUUUCGAUCUUUUAAUCUGUAGUGUAAGAAAGUGAUUUAAUUGGAUUCAUACUUUAGUUAAGCUCCUAGUGAAGUAAUCCAUAGAUAGUGUUUUGAUUUGUUAUGGUGAAUUGUGUAGAUAUGGAGAUGGUCCCGAUGGGCGUGAAACAGGGCCUAAGCGUCAGAGAAUGAGUGCACAAGGUCCUCCUGGACCAUUCUAUGGACCUCAUCCUGGUUCUGCCUUUAUGUAUAACCCUUACGGAUUCGUUCCUCCUCCUGUUUUCCCUGUGGUUAAACUCCGUGGUCUCCCCUUUGAUUGCGCCGAGCGAGAUGUUUUGGACUUCUUCGGUGGUUUAGAUGUGGUUGAUGUCUUGUUUGUUCACAAGAACGGUAAGGUUACUGGGGAAGCCUUUUGCGUUCUUGGUUAUCCCCUUCAGGUCGAUUUUGCGCUCGGUAAGAACAGACAGAACAUGGGAAGGAGGUACGUGGAGGUUUUCAGGAGUACGAAGCAAGAGUACUAUAAGGCUAUUGCUAAUGAGGUUGCGGAGUCUCGUGUCCACGGUACAGUUACUGGUGGUGGUGAUGGUGGAGGAGGAGGUGGAAGCGGUGGAAGAGGUGGUGUGAGUGGUGGACGUUCACCUCGUAGACAGGUGCAGAGGGUUAGACCGAGUGAUGAUGGGAAAGAGAAUGCUGAGCAUACGGGUAUAAUGAGACUGAGAGGGUUACCUUUCUCAGCUGGGAAAGAAGACAUACUAGACUUCUUCAGAGACUUUGAUAUCUCUGAAGACUCUGUUCAUGUUACUGUCAACGGUGAAGGGAGACCCACUGGAGAUGCGUUUGUUGAGUUCAGGAGCGCUGAAGAAUCGAGAGCUGCGAUGGUCAAGGACAGGAAGACGCUAGGGAGCCGUUACAUUGAACUGUUUCCUUCAUCAGUUGAAGAGUUAGAGGAAGCACUAUCAAGAGGAAGGUGAUUCACCACUUCUCAUGUGUACUAUCAUUCACUCUUUUAAAAUGCUUGUCAGAAGAUCAUAGUUUCAACGCAUUGGUGGUUCCGGUUUUGAUGUACUAUCUUGGUCAGGGUUACUAGUUUUAUCCAUUCUUUAGGCUGUUUUGUUGUGUAAUAUUGAUGGAGAUCUCUGAGCAUUAUGCGUCAAUAGAGUAAGCUGGGUGCUAAAAUCUUCUAUUGGGUAUCGUAAGAACCCUUGUUGGAUUGUAACGUUAGGCUUUUGCUGAAAGUUGUAGCAAUAAUAAUAAUAUUGUUUCAUGAUGAUCUCUCCUGUGAGACAUGUGGUUAAAACGGAUAGAAACCUUUGGAUUCUUUCUAGUGUUUUUAUGCAAAAAGACCGAGUAUUCGUUGAUAUUCUUAGUUUGGUACGAAAAAAACAUAAACAGUAUGGAGCAUUUCUGUGUAUAUAUAUUCGAUAUCUUGAUGACAGUAUCUCAGACAUUAUAUUGGUAGGGCCAAAACCAUUGGACAUACAUGUAUGAGUACAAUGGUAGUAUAGUUGUUAGGUCAUUGUUUCUUGUGAAAACUAUAGCAAAAAUACCAAAAUCAAAAAUGUACGGCUGAAUCAUAAUAAUUGUUAGCAUUUAACUGCUCGAUUUUUUGGAAAUGUUACUAGUACUAUGCAAGCAGAAGCAGCAGAAAAAUCUUUGGGCUUAUCUAAUUGAAAACUACAUCUUGUCUUUUGUCACUCUGGUUUCUUGUCCACACAUCUCAAGGAAGUCUGACAAAUUCUUACAUUGAAUCGUCUGAACUCCGAAGUUAUUACAAUCACAAAUAGAAAGUUAUUGUAAAUAACACUAAAUUAACUUGAAGAAGUUAACUAUUGAUUAAAUAAGAUCAACAAUCAUUCCAUCACUAUGGUCCAUAACUAUCAAUCGUAGUUGAAUGAUCUUUUCUCAAAGAGCUUUUCUUUGCCGGUAACUUGGACAUCUUUGAUAGUUGAAUCUGCUUCUUCAUAAUGGUUGGGGGAAAAAAACAUUAAGCAAAGGAGAACAUAUUAGAAUCAGAGUCCCAGAGCCAUUAAGGCUUUGAAUGUUAUAAACCGCACCGCACCGCAGUUAACACUAACAAAAAUCUUUACAUAUACCAUAUAUCUAUACGUUUUUAUAACCGUAAAAACCGCACCGCAGUUGAACCGCUUGUCCCGCACCGCUAAAUCUGCAGUUACCAUUCAGAACCUUAAGAACGUUGGCGAAAGCGAUAUAACAAGCACCUCAUGAUUGAUGGCUGAAACCAUAUAUAUUACGUUUUGCCUCCAAAUUUUUUUUUUAAACUCUUAGACCCAAUUUCAUUAUUCAUUUAGACCAUUUAAAAUGUAUUUUGCCAUUUUCUCUAAAAUAAAAUAUCUGAGACACUCAACAGAUUGUUAAACAUGAAGCACACUGCACAUAAUGUAAUAAAGAUUUAAUAUUCGAAUCUUUAUAUAUUUAACAUGGAACAUACAAUGCAAUAACUAUUUAAAUAAAAGUAUUUAGCUAAAUUUUGUACUAAUUAAAAAAAGUGCGGCACAUCUCACAUUCUUCUUUUACAUGGUGGCCAUUGAUAGAGAUGAACUCUAUUUCAAUGUACUUCAUUUAAAAUAAUAUUCUUCUAAAUAUAGAAUACAAAUAUAUCUUUAAUUAUAUUUUUUUUUAAACUAUUUUAUAAGAAAAAAUAGAAACGAACCGCAGUAAAUUUGCCUAUAAUAAUUAUUAUUAGAAAUAGAUACAGAGAUCAUGAAUUUGAUUUGCUUUUACAUCUGUUAUAGCAGAGCGAUAAAAGUGGAGAAUGCGUCCCUAAGUGUGGUGGUGGCAAAAACAACAGAAAAAAACAAGAGAGAGGAGAGAGAAGUGAAACUCUCUCUUUUGUCUCUCCCCCUUCCACCGUAAACCCUAAGCCGCCGCUCAUUUUCUGCGUUUUCAGGCGGCCGACGGCACCUCUCGCCGUUGGUCUCCCUCUCCAGCCGUUUCUCAUCGCCUUCCGCCCUCUGCUAUCUCUUCUUUUGUCUCUCCUCUUUGCUCAGUGUGUCUGGGUCCGAUGAGAUUUUUCCGCCGGAUCUAACUGGAAUCGAAGGGUCUUUGAUUCCUCUGGACCACCAGCGAGGCGAGACGAGUCGGUGAUGGCUCUGGGAGCCCUGGAUCUACUCUUAGUCGCUGAUUGCGCUUGGAUCUGGGUCAGAUCUGAGAUCCGAGAUUCGCCAGAAGCUUCGACGCGUCACUGCCGUCCACGCCUCUGCUCCGCCGUCUCGCCCCAGUCGGUCUAUUCUAGCAGUUAGCUCCAGGGUUUGCGUAGAGCUCCUCCUCUCUCUGAGUGAAAGGUGGUUGUGAGGCGCACCACCGAGGACCUCUGUUUCUAUAGCUCAAACGACAGCUUCCAUGGUGUUCCUCAGCGAAUGGUUAGCUCCCCUUUCCUGCUCUCAUCGUCUUCUACUAGGGUCUUGAGGACAACCCUCGACGUCGACGUCUCUUGCGUAAAGAGCGAUGUUUUCUUUCGCCUUCAGAUCACCUGCUUCAAGGAGUUCCGUGCUCCCUUUGUGCUUCAUUUCCCAUUCCAAAGCUCCCGGUCGAUUGCGAUAUGUAACUCUGCUGUCUCCGCCGCAUCUUCUGUGUCGCGCAGCGGAAUGAGGGGCCAAAACGACCGACUGCGCUUGACCGCGAUCUUCAUCUUCAGUGGUGUAGCAGCGGGUUUAUACUAUCGUCAUCCUCUGUGUUAACUUGGGCUUGUUUGUCGACGUCCUCCUCCAGCGGAGCUCCGGGGCGUGAGCCAGGCGCUUCCGUCGAUGCCUGCUAGGAGCCACUUCGGUGAGGCUCGAUCGAACUCGUCUUCAGGUUAUUCUCCUGCUCUGUGUUUCAAACCAGUAGAACAGGAAGCGCUUUGGUAUGGGAGUUUAAAAUGUUGUCUUUGUGCUUCAAUGUAAUAUUAACUUAAGUAAGCCAUUGUUUGGGUUGCUUGGUGUUAAUCUUUGUAGGUUCUAUGGGGCUUUUUAAAACUUUUUGCGGUUCCAUAAACCUGAUAAGCUGAAAAGCAUCUCUUGGUUUCAAUGUUCUAUAACUUGUAACCGGAUUUUCAUUAUCUUCUAAUGAUAUUUACCCUUUAGCAAAAAAAAAAAAAGGUGUGGCGGUGGCGGUGAUGGCUUCAGACGUGGAUUCAGUAUGAAAGAGACUCUAGACAACAGCUGAUGUGGGGUUAUACUAAGGGAUGGUGGUGGCCAUAGUGAUUUGUACUGUUAACGGAAAAGUCAAAGCUGGUAAUGGCCGGAUGUUAAUUUGCAAUAUCACAUUUUGUUAAGUGCCAUCAAGCGAUGAUGAUACUAUGGGAGUUUAGCUUGAGUAAGUACUAACAUCGUGGAAAUCGGAUAGCCCCGUUGAUUUAGAAGAAUAUCAUAUCUAUUGAUAUAAUUUGUUGCUGAAUGAGGUCUCUUAACACUUUGUUUUGCUCCGAGAAAUCAACUUGUGUUUGUACACAUAGUAGUAUUAAUAUGAUAUCCAUAUUUUGCGUGCCUACAGCGCUUUCCCUCUAAGUUCACACUUUCAUUUUUGUCUGACCGUCGGGAGUGUAGAGUGAUUCUUUCUGCAGGCUUAAAGAACUUAUUUACUAACCUUUUAAUUAACAUAUGCUAUUUUCGUGAUUUCAUCAUACGAUAUCAAAAUCACUUUUUGAUAGAUUAUUCGAUUAUUCACUAUUUCGAUUUAAACAUGCUUAAUUUUGAAAUUCUUUUUAGAUAUACAACAUAAAAUAAAGAGUUUUCACUUUGGUGAUAUAAAUAAUUAAAUUAACUUUGUCAAAUCUUUAAACAUAUAAUAUCAUAUAUAAAAAAACAUCUUAUAUCAAAACUGGAAUAUUGCAAAUUGCAAAUAAAAGAAUACAAACUUGUUGAUCUGUGUAUGUGUGAACACAUAAGAUGCAUAAGAUGUAUAAGAAUCUAAAUUGCCGCUUUACAUAGUGAAUCCUAUGUUAUAGGAUUCCAUGACAAGAGCCAAUCUCGCAUACUUGUGUACUUUUGGGUUUUAAAAAGUCUGUUCACUUUAAUUUUUUUUUAAGUUGGCAUUCUAAUACUAAUUCUGGUACAACCAUACAACCUCAACCAAAAUGGGAAAUAGUUGGUUGGGAUGAGCACAAACCCAUGUUUGUAGCAGUUAAUAUACUAAUAUAGUAAUAUAACAUUGAAUUUGCAUGGCAGUCCACGUGAUUUCCUUCCUUCCCAGCUCAUCAAAGUUUUUUUUAAAGUCUGUGUUAACUUUAUCUUGUUCAUUUUCCAUUUAUACAAAAAGAAGUUAAUACUACGACAGAAAAUAAUAAAUUUCUUAAGAUUCUGAUAUACCGUACGCAAUUAAAGAGAAGCUGAUUUUAUGUGUGUGAAUAUCUGGAUUUAGUCACUGCAAUGAAUUACAUUUUAGGAAAGUGUUGUGAUCAUUUAUUAAUUGGCAUUUUUAGUAAAAAAAAUAAAACAAUAAAUUAAAUUAAACUGAAAAAGGUCAAUUUUCUCGUUUGUCGCUGUCGGGUUCUGUUUCCACAUCUAAACAAUAGUGUAACUUUUUGGGGUCCGACACCAUUUAUGAAUUUUAAUAGAAACUAGAUUUUGAUCCGCGCUUUAAAAAUCGCGGAAUUAAUUCUCUUUUAAAAUUCUACAAAUUUUUUGAUUAUAAGAUUUUUUAAAAAUUAUAAGAUUAUGUGUUUUUAUAUAUGAUAACCAUAUACAUUUAAAAUUUACUGAUUGUUUAUGUUAUAAUCAUAGGUAUUAGAUAUGAUAUAUAAAAAAUUAUAUUUAUAUUUAUGAAAUUAUUUUUAAAGAAGUUAAUUGUUUAGAAAAAUAUUGUAUUAAUUUUAAUUUAUUCUAAAAUAUUAUAUUUAUAUACUAAAUAUAUUUUCUCAUUACAUAUUUUAAUAUUAUUUUUGUACAUCUUAUUUUUUAUUGAUAAUAUUUUAUUUGAUCAUUUAGAUGCAUUUAUUUGUUCCAAUUAUAUAAAAACACUACUAUAUAAGUUGAAAAAUGAAUGACAUUUCACAUUGCAUAUUUUAAUAUUAUUCUUUGCAGAUUUUAACUUUUAAUGAUUAUUUAUUUAUUUAUUUAUUUAUUUACUUAGAUGCAUAUAUUUUUCCAACCAUAUAAAACUCAACUAUAAAAAUUGUAAAAUGGAAAGUUUAUGAUUUUUUUUAUUUCUCAUAUUAGGAAAAUACACUAAAACACUUCAAUUAAUUUGUAGCUAAUAAAUAAAUUAUAUUAGUUUAAUUUAUUUAUUAUCCGCAAAAUUAAGUAUAUUUCAUAUGAUUAAAAUAUCUAAUUAUUCAAAAAAAAAAAAAAAAUCUAGUCGAAUUUUUUUUGUUAUGGAUAUGAUAAAGCUUUACAUAUAGUAAAUGUUAAUAGUUAAUUAGCAUUUAUGGUUUUGUUUUGGUUUGUAAAGAAAAUUUAUUUGUUACCAUAAAUAUGAGAUAUUUUUAGGCCUGGGCAUUCGGGGUCCCAAUCGGGUUUCGGUUUUAUCUAAUCGGGUUUCGGUUUUUCGGGUUUAUCAAAAUCAGCCCCAUUCGGAUUAUAUGAAAGUUCGGUUCGGAACCGGUUCGGGUUCUAUCGGGUUCGGGUCGGGGUUAGUAAAUCUUCAAAGAACCGGUACAACCCAAUAUACUUUCGGGUUCGGGUCCCAAUCGGUUUUUCGGUUUAAAAGUACUUGAUUUUUACCUAUUUUAUAACCAAAACAUGACUAAAAUUGGUUCUUUAGUUUUAAAAUAUCUGAUUUGUACCUAUUUUGUAACCAAAACUUAAGUAAAAUCGAUUCAAAAAUAAGGAACAUAAAAGAAAACUAAAUAAAUAAAAACAUAAAACGAAAACCAAGUUCUCAUGAAAUGAGAAACAUUGUUUAACGAAAACAAAAUCAAAAACUAAAUACUUCAAGAUUCAACGACCAUCUUUAACCAUCAACCUUCAUGUAAUAGAACCAACAACCUUUAUGUAAUAGAUAAGUAUUUUAGAUGUUUAAUAUUUCUUAGUGUAUUUUGGAUACAUAUUAGGAAUUGAGAUCAUGUUUGGUACAAGAUCUUUUCGAGGUUUUGAAUGUUUCGGGUUCUAUCGGAUAUCCAUUUAGAUUCGGGUUCGGUUCGGAUAAUACCCAUAACCCGAAAUACCACAAAACAAGACCCAUUCGGUAUUUACGUCGGGUUCGGAUCGGUUCGGAUUCAUUUUUAUCGGAUCAGAUUCGGUUCAGGUUUUCGGGUUCGGUUUAUUUGCCCAGCCCUAGAUAUUUCUAUUAUUUUGUAAAUAUGAUUAAAAUUCAAGGGUAAAAUCCUAAAUUUUUAAAAUAGGAUCCUGCUUUAAUAGUAUAGAUGUGUUUUACAACUUCCAAAAGUUACAGUCGCCAUGUGAUUUGUCAAAGAGUCAAGUUUGUGCACCAGCACCACUGUAAACCUGAAUUUUCCACAUCAUGUUACCUUUCAAAGAUACCACUGUUUGUUUUUACUUCUAUAUAUAUAUAUAUAUAUUUUUUUUUUUCUACCUCACACAACCUUUUACAUGUGUCAACAGGAUCCAAUGUAAUAUAUAUAUAUUUUUUUUUUUUUUUUUGCAGUGGCUCAAGAGAUUUCUCCAUUAGAAACAGCAACCUUGCAACAUUUCGAACUAUAACAUUAAUGAACAUAUCACACACCUGUUUUUCUUACUUGUCAACUUUCAACUUCUCACCGAAAGUAUAAACAUUUCAUAUUAUAUACAGUAUCUCAUUGUUGAACUGUAUACGUGCUGCAUAUCCUUAUUUUAAUAUUUCAUAUGGAUUCUUCGAUUAUUAAGCUUUGUCUCCUGAUAAUACUAUCUCCGUUUUUUAAAUAUAGAUUUUUGGUGUUUUCGCACAUAUUAAAAAAAACAUAUUAAUCAUACAUCGUUUUUAAAAUUAUCAAAUUCCAAUGUUUUUUAAUCAAUAGUUUUUCAAUAAAUCCAACUAAUUUUAUUAAAAUUUACAAUUUUUGUAUAAAAAACAUAAAAAAAAUAUUUUUAUGAAACAAUUUUUUUCUUCUAAAACUUAGGAGUAUUAGAGUAAUGAGUUGACUUUGAUUUAAAAAUUUCAUAUUUUCUUUAAAGAAAAUGAAAUUUAUAGGAAUAUGUUGGUUUCGUAUGUUUUGUAAAUAAAAAGUUUCAGCGGAAUAAAAGAUAAUCUGAUGUUUCUUUUCUUUUUCUUUUGCUUUUGUGAAAGUAAGCAGUAGUAAAAUUCAACUUACCACUAUUUUCUUAUACCUAGUCAAUGCCUUGUUAAUGCUUAUGCUUUUAGUCUUUAAAAACGGCAAAUAAAAAAUAUACGACCCAUUUCGUUGGUCAGUAACUACAUGCAAUCGAUCCUUAAAAUAUAGAUAUACUAUAUAAAAGAAACAAUUCUUUUUACCUUUUUAAAUUCAAGUUCAAUAGUCACUCACUCAUUUCUUUGGUUCGUCUCAGUGAAAACUUUAUAGGUAGUCAAAAUCCAGAAAACGUGUUGACUCGCGUCUCAUAUUAUAUAUGCUACUAACUAAGCUAGUAAGCAACGACUCUCUUCUUCUUCCCUCUCCCUCUUUCACCUAACCUCGCAAGCAAAAUAAAACAUCUUUCGAGUAGGUCUAAAAAUGGCGUCAAAGAAGGCAAGAAAACAAAACCGAGCUGAGAAGAAACUCAAAAGAAACCAUUUCAAGAAACAACUUCCACAACACAAGAACACCGACAAAACUACUGUUCUCGAUCAUACUUCUUCAUCUACUGCUGUCUCUCCAUGUUCUUCCAUAACGACGUCGUUCGCUCCGCAAGAUUCCAGCUACCCUGCUCCCUCUCCUUCUCCGGCGGUGUUAAAGUCACCAGAUGAAGGUGGCGGCGAUGGUUGUUGUACCCCGAAAGCUCAGAAGUCUCGGAUACCGGAGAUGCUGACGUGUCCACCAGCGCCGAAGAAGCAAAGAGUCUCAAAGAACUGCGUGUUACGGCGGAGACAGAUCGUUUUCUUUGCUCCUGCGGAGAUAGAGCUCUUCUUCGUCAAAGCAUACGAUUGACGAACAUAUCUGAACUAAUAUUUGUAGUAUUUUUCGUUAUUUGUGAUACGAUCGAUCGAUAGAGAAAGUAGUAUGAGAAGAUGAGUAACGUUUCAUCUCUUUGAUUUUGUUAAUACAAUAACGAAGGGUGUAUUAUAAUGUUUUGAGUGAUGUUUUUAUUUUUCUUAUUAUUUUGGUUUGUUUAACAUUUUGUUCCUUUGGCGCUUGUUUUUUGGAUUAAUUUGAAUGAAGCUAGUAGGCACAGAACCUAAAGUCAUUAGCAACCUAACACAUAGCACUUAAAAAAAGGGAAUCAAGAAAAGUAUAAUUUAAUUAUAGAUUAAGUCGUAGUAGAUUUUGAUAAUGAGUAAUUCUUGGGUUCACCUCCUAAGGUGAACCUCUAGGUUCACCAACCAAUAGAAUUUCAUUAUUUCAAAUUUGAUAUCUUCUAAAAAAGGAAACAAAAUAUUGUCAAGUUAUAUUAUGUUUUUAAAAUAAAAAGGUAAAAAAAAUAAUAGUUACAAAAAAAAAGUUUUUUUAAAAAAAAUAUUGUUAACGUCGUCAGCAAAAUACUAAACCCUAAAUCCUAAUCCCUAAACCCUAAAUUCUAAUCCCUAAACCCUAAAUCCGAAACCCUAAAUCCUAAUCCCUAAACGCUAAAACAUUCAAGGGUUUAUGAUUUUUGUGUUCAGUGUUUUUGAUUUAGAGUUUAUGAUUUAUCCAAGGGUUUAGGAUUUACCCAAGGGUUUAGGAUUUAUCCAAGGGUUUAGGGUUUCGGAUUUAGGGUUUAGGGAUUAGAAUUUAGGGUUUAGGGAUUAGGAUUUAGGGUUUAGUAUUUUGCUGACGACGUUAACAAUAUUUUUUUUAAAAAAACUUUUUUUUUGUAACUAUUAUUUUUUUUACCUUUUUAUUUUAAAAACAUAAUAUAACUUGACAAUAUUUUGUUUCCUUUUUUAGAAGAUAUCAAAUUUGAAAUAAUGAAAUUCUAUUGGUUGGUGAACCUAGAGGUUCACCUUAGGAGGUGAACCCAAGAAUUACUCAUUAUCAAAAUCUACUACGACUUAAUCUAUAAUUAAAUUAUACUUUUCUUGAUUCCCUUUUUUUAAGUGCUAUGUGUUAGGUUGCUAAUGACUUUAGGUUCUGUGCCUACUAGCUUUGUCGAUUUUUUCCGUUCCGUUCACCUAACGUACGUAUAGUUCUUCGCUUGAAUUUUGUUCACUUUCAUCAUUCGUUUGAUAGACAGAAACCACAGAAACCGUCACUUUCUAGCCUCUAGGCGGAACAUCACACAUGAGUUUACACGUCCCAACAACGUUAAGACAACAGCGAUCACCUUUAGUAACAUUUUUACACUGCUGAAAUUGUGAUUCUCAAACUAUUUAUCAGCAAUUCAGCACCGCCAGAAAUUUUUUAAAUGCAUAUGCAUGUAUGCAUACACUUUGUAUUAUUAUAAAUAAAAAUAAUAGAAAGUAGUUUCUAGUAUAUUCCCCUGUUAUUGGAUAUGCAAAAUAAUAUGCGAAGGUAUCAUUAAUUAAAUCCACCACAUUGAUAAGCUCGAUUGGUUUUUUGGUUAGUUACAAAUAUGUUAACUUAAUGUUCAAAAUUUUUUUUUAUAAUAUUUAUAUGUAUGUAUAUAAAAAAUUAGAUGUGUUAUAUUAUAAGGUUUCGAACAAUUUUUAAUCCAGUUUUCUCCCUAAUUAAGUUCAGAUUUCUUUUUUACACUUCAUUAAUAGUUUUUUGUAUUAUUCCACUAAUUAAAAAUAUAUAGAUAUGUUUUUAAAUUUAGUGAAAGCAAAGGGACGAGAAAUAUGUGAAGAGUUAGUGGGGAUGGCCACAGUGUCGAGCCAGAGGAUAACAUCUGCCAAGGGAAUCCAAUGAAGUGACUCGUGCAGCCUUUCUCAUCAUUUUAUCUUUCUUUUUUCUUCCAUAAUUUCUUACAAAAAGUAAGAAUCACAUCUUUAUUUGAUCAUCUAAAAAGACCAUCCUUUCCGCAGAAAUGAUAAUUCAUUAUUGACUAAUUGGGUUACAUAUCCAUAUUAGGGUCAAGGUAAUAAAAAAAACUUAUAACUAUAGUUUGAAUUGUAUCAGACAUGUACCAAACAUAAAAUAUAAUUUAAACAAAAGUAUAUCGAGUAAUGCAGAAAAUAAGAAACUUAAGAAGGCCAGAUAAUUUUAGAAAAAAAAACUAAUUGAUUAACUUAUCUCAAGAAAGAAGAAGAAAGAUUUGACAGAAAGAACAAAGAACACCAAACAUGAUGAUUGUGAUUUUAAUUGAUAACCGGUACAAUAAUAGAAUGAUUUUGCAAUUCUAUAAAAGUCCAGUCACAUAGCUAAAUAUGUUUCUGAUUUAUACUUGACUAAUUGGCCACUUUCGUGAUUAAAAAUUGUUGUUCAAAUUUUAUAGUUAAUUUAUUUUUUUCCCUUAUUCUACUUAUUUAUUUUUAUGUUUCACAACAAUUUUUUUAAUUUGUAUAUCACUGUUUUAAGAUACAAAUUAUUUUUCCUACGUAGUAUAUGUUAUCAUUGUCCUAUACUAUUGUUUAUGAUUUUUGUUGUAGUAAUGACCCUAAAUUCACUAACUAGAUUUGAGCUUUAUGAUCCGAGACCAUUAAUAGUGUACUGGAGCUUGGGCCCUCAGACAAAUAAUCUAAAAUUUAAGUAAUUCAAUUGUAGGUUUUCGUUUUCUGAUAAUGUUGCCACACUAAUAGAAACACAAUGAGGUAAUUGUAAAGACUUAAUGGUUAGGAGGAGAGAUUCCAUAUUAGCCGCUCUUGAACUUGUGGUAGUGAUCUAGAGUAGACACGAAUAGGAAUAAGUAGUCUGCACAACUAACAACAACAUAACGAUAAAUAACUAGGUAACCACGAUAAGACAAUCCCACAUAUUAAGAGAAGCAUGCCAUGUACACAAUUUAUUUAGGCGAGUGUGAUCUCCCCAUCACUCAACAAUUGAAAUAUGCUUAAAACUAUACAUAUUACAAUGAACUGGCCAAGUUUGAAAUGUCAUAUGUAUACAUGUGAUGUAAAUGAGAACUUGUUGAGUUAGAUAAAUGUAUGGGGGAUGCCAUAAUCUAGUUACUAGUGUUAAAAUAUAAAUUACUAGUGUUAAAAUGUAAAUAGUUAUUCUUUUUUUCAAGCUUUUUUGGUUUUUGGACAACAAAUGUUUGAGAUGCUGUGAAAUAAAAAAAAACAGGCCUUGUGAUAUAGGGCUUCUGAAGCCUGUUGUAGGCUCAAAAACAACUAUCAGAAUCGAAUUUAUCCUAUUUAAUAUCUCUCCAUUGUUCAAAAACAAAAAAAAAAAUCUCCAUAAAAAUAAAGUCAAAAGUAUUUAUGUUGCCGCGUUCACGUGGCGAGCACGUGGCAGCCAAAAUCCAAAACAGAACAAAAACUCAUACUUCCUGCGACGAUCAAACCAACAAAUAAAAUAAUUCAAUUCAAUUCAAUUCCAUAAAAAAAAAUGGUUUUCUUCGUCUUCCUCUGACUGAAAACUUGCUCAGAUCGUUCAUCUUCCAAGCGGAAGCGUCUCCUUCCAUCACCGUAGACGCCUUCCGUGACGGUCUCUACUCGUUCUUUCCCUGAAUGGUAUGGUUAAGCUUACCGAGUAUCAUCACCUUGCAUGAGCUCUGUUCUGUCUCCUCUCAGUUUUGUUUCAAAAGUUUUGAAAUUUCUAUCUGAUUUGGUGAAUUCAAUCACUGAGUGUUUCUGGGUUUUGCUUUGUUUACUCGUUACUGAAUCUUUUCUUGUAGUUUUGAAAUUGCUGAAUCUUAUUGCCUUUUGACCGAUACAGUUGUAAUCUCAGAGCAGGAAACUGAAGACAUGCAGUCAAAAUCUGAAAGUGGGAAUCAGAUCGUUUCAGAGGCUCAUCAUCAUACAUCCAUCAACAGUUUAAACCCUUGGCUACGUGCUGCUGCUGCCUGUAAUGCAAACUCUUUCGUGGAAGAAGCUGGAGAUAAGUCAUCAAAUGGGUCCAAGUCACCAUCUAACCGAGAUGAAAAUGGUAACAAGGAGUCACAAGUCACAACUUCUCCCCAACAGUCAGGUGCAGUUGACUUGUCUUCCCUCGGUGCUUAUUACAAAAUUUGUUUUCUUUUAGCUAGCUUUGUUACUGUGUCUCGAUAUGCAGCUGGAGAUUACAGUGAAAAAAGUCAAGAACUUGUGCAUACUGGCAGUACACCACCUCCUCACCCUCAACUUGUUAGCCACACUGUUGUAAUUUUCCCAACACAUAUCUAUUAUCUAACUGAUAAUUUUCAAUAUGUUACUUACGAUAUUCUUUAUUUGGUUAUUAAUAAUCAUGCAGGGAUGGGCAUCCUCAAAUCCAUACCAGGAUUCAUAUUAUGCUGGAAUGAUGGGAGCCUAUCCCUUGGUAUAUUACUUUAUUUUUUUCCAAUGUUCGUAGGUGCUUUGAAGUCUAGCAUGUUUAAGAUUGCGUUAAAAGUGUUCAUGGUGUGAGGAUUGUACAAGUUAUUCUUUCCAUGCGAUUUACUGAUAAGUUAUCACAUUCCCUAUCAGACUUAUGUUCCAUACGGUGGGAUGCCUCAUUCAAGAAUGCAACUGCCUCCUGAGGUGGCACAAGAACCAGUUUACGUGAAUGCUAAACAGUACCAGGCGAUUAUGAGGCGAAGGCAGGCACGCGCCAAGGCGGAGCUAGAGAAGAAGCUAAUCAAAUCCAGAAAGGUGAUAAAAGCUAAUUAGUUUCAUGGCAGCUCCGAUAUAAUUGUGAACACAUCACCACUGCUCAUUGCAUCAUUUUUCUGUGUGUUUCUCCACAGCCUUAUCUACAUGAAUCUCGGCAUCAGCAUGCUAUGAGGAGGCCUAGGGGUACUGGAGGACGGUUUGCAAAGAAGACGAACACCAAAGCUUCACAGCAAAAAGAUGGAGAAAAGACUACCGAGUCCCCAACUUCAUCUAAUUCUGAUCAACCUGAAGGUUGUAGUGAUGAGUAUAGAACACAUCAGUCCGAGGAGAUGCAGAGCUCAGCUUAUAAGAGAAGGGAAGAAGCAGACUGUUCAGGGCAGCAGUGGAACAACAUUUCCUCAAACCAUCCUUCUCAACCUCUUUUAGCUAUCAAGUAACCUCUCUGGCAGGCAAAUCAUUCUUGGCUCUAUCUUUGUUGGCUUAUGUGUUAGCAGCCAUUAAAGAGUUUUCUCAGUCUUCUUUCUUGUUUUGUACAAAUACUAUUGUGCUUUUGUUAGAAUGCUUCUUAGUCAACACCCUUUGGGUUUAGUAAGAGACUUAAAGUUUUGAAUCCAAAAAUAUGUGAUUAAUAACUAAAUUCCAGUGUGCUAAAAUGGAAAAAAAAAGGAGUAAUGUAGUACUACAAAACCUUUAAAGACUUUCUUGUAAGGGCUUUACCUAGUCUUGGUCACAUAGGCUGACUUAUUGCUACAAUGAACAUUUCUAUACUUUUUUAUGUUUUUAUAUCAGAGUUGGUCAAGUCUUCAGCUUCCUCCUCGCCUUGAGUUUCGUCUAGGUCAACUUCUUCAGUAUGGUCUGAACUUGCUGCAUCUGAGGAGUUGUUAGCCGCCUCUGUGAUGUUCACAGGUGGCUGAUUCUCCAUUAAACCAGAGAGUGCUAGCUUUGGUGACCACUCAAGGACAUCAUCAAUGAUGUUGGACAUCCUUCUUUGAUACCUGUAUGCACAAAAAGUCAUCACAAGUCAACCAGAGAACUCAUAUAUAACUUAGAGAAAACAAUCUUCUCUUGAGGAGAGGGAAUCACUUCAAUUAUUGUUAUCUUGGUUUAAGUUAAUAUACCUGGCACGAGCAGCCUCAUCAGGAGCGUGGCGCCUGAGCAGCAUGACAACAACAACAGCUACAACCGUGUAGAAAAGCCGAGACGUCCACUUGGGAGGUUCUUCCUCGUCUUUCUUUGGCCAGAAACGGAAUAGUUCCUUCAAUGUGGCUUCCUCUGCAAGAAUGUUGGGGAAGAACCAGACACGCUUUCCAAAAAGAAUCCACAUAGCACCAAAAGCAACUGCUCUCACUGCAACAUUCAUGGUAAUGAAGAAAGCCUAAUUUCAGUAUAAACCAAUUUAAAACUAUAUAUCACAUCAGCAGUCAACAAGUCUAGCAGUGCUAUGAGUGGCAAUUAACUAAACAGUGUCAUCAACGAGAUUUAGAACCAAUAACAGAGUCAUCAGAGUGAAAGAGCACACUCAAAAACAAAAGAAAAGCAAAAGCAGAUUAUACAUGUAGAGCUUACCGAAAAGCAAAGAGAGAAUCAUCAAAAGAAUGCCAGCACACGAGUAGAGAACAAUGAGUUUGCAACGGUGUGGGUACACAGGAAACAAACAGAUAGCGAGAGUCAAUACAGGCCAGAAGAAGGACAAAAGUGUUUGCCAGAGUGGAUGCCGUUUCUCAAACGUCCAUGCAAAAAACGCAUCAGUCUCAGAGAAAGCUUGAUCAUCCUGCAUCAGAAACAACAAAAAGAAAUCAAACGCUGAUACAUUUGAGCUACUGAAUGCAUAUCUUAGCUAAGAUGAGACAACAUAUUCACUAGCAAUUGUCUCUAGAAGCCAUCUCUCGAGUCAAACACAGGCACUUUUUUAUAGGAUCAUACUCUUAGCAUAUGAACCAACUUACACGGAAAAUCUCAAGAUGAGCAGGCCAAGUAGAGAGCUUUUUCUUCCCUGGACGAAGGGUUUUAGUAACACGAUCACAUCUCACCAAAAGGUUCUUCCCCAACAACACAUUAGCGAUAUCUUCAGCGUCGAGGUCACUAUCUUCUUCAAGAACCUCUUUACACUCAGGGUGAUUCUUCACGAAGCCCACGAAAUCUUUCCCUCUGAAGUACUCAACUCGCGCUUGCUCCAUAACAGCCCAUCUUGAUUCCAACCCCUUGUUGUCUCUAACUUUCUCAGCAAACAACUGAAACAAAUCCUUCGUCACACCUUUCUUCUAACAAAAAACAAAAACAAAACAGUGUUUGACAUUCAGACAAGGAACAUAUACAUGUGUCUGCACAUUAAUAUAGUGACGAACAAGAGACCUUAAUUUUCAUAUAAUCGUAGGUUCAUCGAAGCAGAUCAAAAGCAAAGGUUACGUAAGCAUAGAACAAGUUUUUAUUUGGAAUUUUGAUUUAGCAAAGCAAUGAGAGAAGAGAGCGAACCUUACGUGGAGCAUCGGAUGAUCGUUUAACCCUCUUCUUCUCGGUUCCGGCCGACUUCUUCAUCUCUCUCUCUCUCUCUUCUUUCGAGACAAGACGGAGAGUGUUUUUUUUUUUUCGUUUUUUUUCUUCUUUUACAGAUCCAAAGUGUUUUUUUUUUUGUUUAUGACAAAAAAAACUGAUUUUCUGUAACCCGGUCGAAGUGUUGAAAUCAGGCCGCAUAACCGGUUGAGUUAUACACAGAUUAGCACGGUUCCAUAAGAUUAUAGACUAUAAGAGCAUCCACAAUGGUGGUACUCAUUGUGGAGUUUUUAGGAUUAGAAUAAUAGUUUUUUUUUUUUUUAAUAGUUAAGGAUUCUUGUGAGAAAUGUGUGUACAAUGGUGAUCCCUAAGUUGGAAUCCUUAGUUUAUUAUUAUUUUUUUUUUUGGUUUAGUGAAAUAUAAAUUUUAUAUAUUAGAUGAUUAAAUACAAUAACUUAACAUAAAAUACAAUAAAUAAACAUAAAAUACAAUAAUUAAACAUAAAAUACAUUAAUUAAACAUAAAAAUACAACAAAUAAAGAAAAAAAAAAUAAUUUUACAUAAAGAUAGAAUAAUUCCUAAUCUUCAUCACCAAAUUUAUUCUAAAUAUUUUGAAUUAAAUCAUUUUUCAAUUGUUCAUGCAUUUGCCUAUCACGAAGAUCAUUCCGACUCAGAAAGAUAUUAUUCAGAUUUGUUGGCCUCUCUGUUUCCACCUCUGAACAUCUAGGGACGUCUCCUUCUUCAAAUUCAGAUAUACCAAUACGAGAGUAUCCAUCCCGUUCAUCUUCGACUAUCAUAUUGUGGAGUAUGAUACAUGCUCUCAUAAUCUUCCCUAUCUUUUUCUUUUCCAAAGUUUUUACCGGGUUUCUCACAAUCGCAAAUCGAGCUUGCAAUACUCCAAAAGCCCGCUCCACAUCUUUUCGGGUUGCUUCUUGGACUUUAGCAAAUAACUGUUGUUGAGGACUUUGAGGGAGGGUGAUAGAUUGGAUAAAUGUUGACCAUUUUGGAUAUAUACCGUCUGUCAGAUAGUACGCCAACUUAUACAUGUGUCCGUUGACCAUAUACUUUACCCUGGGAGCUCGACCUUGUAAAAUGUCAUCAAAAACAGGAGACCGAUCGAGGACAUUGAUAUCAUUUAAGGUACCUGGAGGACCAAAAAAAAGCGUGACAUAUCCAAAGAUCUUAUAAAGCUACAGCCUCUAAGACAAUUGUCGGUUUUCCUGAUCCACGUGUGUACUGACCUUUCCAAGCGGUUGGGCAAUUUUUCCACUCCCAAUGCAUACAGUCAAUGCUCCCGACCAUCCCAGGAAACCCUCGUGCCUCUCCAAUAUCGAGUAGUCGUUGAAGAUCCUCCGGUGUGGGUCGUCGUAGAUACUCAAUUCCGAAUAAUUGUAUUAUUCCGUCAGUGAAAUUAUGUAAACAUGAAAGUGCAGUGGUCUCACCAAGUCGGAGAUAUUCGUCAACGGUGUCAGCCGCAGUACCAUAAGCAAGCAGACGAAUAGCUGCAGUACAUUUUUGAAGUGCAGUAAGACCCCACCUCCCGGUCGCAUCUCUUCUUUGCUGAAAAAAUGGAAAGCGCUCUGAUAGACCAUGAACAAGACGCAAGAAUAAUCUCUUAUUCAUGCGGAAACGGCGUCUGAAUAAUUGAGACGAGAAUGUCGCAUCUUCGCUGAGAUAGUCAUUCCAUAAGCGGUCUUGUCCUGUUUCGCGGUUUCGUUCUACAUAAGCACGUCUCCUUUGCGGUCUGCUUUGGGCCUCCACUAUGUCGUUGUAUGUUUCUUCCAAGUAUUCGUCGCAAAUUUCGUCUAAUCUUUCAUCGACUUCAUCGGAUGAACUCGAUGAUGACAUAUCUAGAUAUCCUGGUUCGGAAAAUAAUAAAAUUAUGUACAACCUUUAAAAAGACUUGCCACUAAUUUUUUUUUAAAAUUUUUGUAAAAUUCUUGUAAUCUCAAAGUGGUUGGUCCAAGAAAUUCUUGUAAAAUUCUAAAAUUAUCAACUAUUAGGGGAGUACUCAAAUUCUAAAAUUCUAAAAUUAUCAUUUAACAAAUUUUUUAAAUUUUUUAAACACUCAAAUAUAUUUUAUAUAGACUAUGAUCGGUAAUAAUUAUGCAAAAUGAAGUGAUCCGUUUUCAUGUUUUUCUUGUUAGAUUGCGAUUCAUGUUAAAUGAUGUGAUCCGUUUCUUUAAAACAAUUACUACAUGAUUGUUUCAUCAAAUGAAGUGAUCCGUUUCUUUAAAACAAUUACUACAUGAUUGUUUCAUCAAAUGAAGCUAUCCGAAUAUAAAUGAGUCUUAAUGCAGAAGCAAGUUACAUUACAUCAACUUAAGCAAGUCAAAUAUAUUACAAGAAGUCGUUAAGAGAUAGAGUUACCUAAUUAAAACAGAAGCUAGUGAAUACAACAACUUGGUAGCAACAAGAUUACACCUUCUUGUCAAGAGUAGUAGCAAACGGAAAUAAAAGGAAGGAAGGAAGAAGUGAUGGAAACAAAGCAAACGAGACACAAAUUUAUAGAAGUGAAGGAAGAAGUGAUGGAAACAAAGCAAACCCGUGACUUGGUUUCACAACUCCAAAUUCACCCGUGACUUGGUUCACAUGUCCUACUGUUGAACCUGAAACAAAAAGACAAGACUUAGUAAAGCAACACAACACGACAUGUAUCUACGCAACAAGUACCAUUGUAAUAAAAGACUUUGCAAAGCAACACAAGCCGACAUGUAUCUACUACGCAAACAAACAAGAAUAACAUCAUACCAUAUCAGACAUAAGUUUGAGUUUGAGAGAUGUUUCCAACUCAGUUAAUGGCUCUUUUUUGGCUAAUAAACGAUGGAGUAAUUUCUGGUUAGACAUAUUUUGUUUCAUCUCCAUGAUGACUUGUAGAUGUGACAACUCCUCUUCUUUACCACUCUUCUUCUUCUUUGUAGCUGCUUUCGCAGCCUUGACCCCGAUCGGUCUCCCCUCUUGUUGUCCCACUUCCUCGUCUGUAUCAACCUCCAAGACUAGCUUCCGCUUUUCCUUCCCACCGUCUUUAUCGACAAUAGUGGAGCACCAUUUCUGGUCAUGCCUCAACUCCCUCCAGGCGUGUUCCAGACCGAACUUGUGGCCUUGAUCAUUGAAGAAGUAGUCUAGUGCAGCUUUCAUGAGGUCAUCAUCAUUUUGACCACUUCUCUGCUCCCUCAUAGCGUGGUCAUAGCAACCAACGAACUUGGAGACUUGAUCGUUAAUCCUACCCCACCUCUUCUUGGCCGGAAUAAUCUCUCUCGGUAUUGUCCCGACGAGUUGAGGGCUUGCAUUGUAGUACUCGAUAAUCCUCUGCCAGAACUUACCAGCUCUCUGCUCAUUGCCCACCACUGGAUCUUUACUGGUGUUGAGCCAGGCACCAAUAAGUAUUUUAUCCUCUUGCGGUGUCCAUUUCCUCCAGCUGUUGAUAGCAGAGUCGACAACAGGCUCACCAGACCCGACAACAGGCUCACCAGACUCGACAACAGGCUCGGUAGCUUGGCUACCGAGCCAAACUCGUUCGGGUGAAUCAAGGUCAAUAGAACAUUGACUAUACAUGUAGGGUUAACAUAACCACCGGUGUUAUUCAUUGUAAGAAAAAGGAAUCAGCAAUCAAAUCUACGCCUUAUACAUUGACUACACAUGCCUUAUAUAAGCGAGCUACAAGUAAGAAUUUAAAGCCAAUUAAAUCUAAGUAGUUAGAGCAGAUAGCACCAAUCAAAUCUCACUUUUAGCAAUAAGUUCUCUACAACCAAACAAGUACCAUUGUAAUAACGUUUUAGUCUAAGUAGUUAGAGCAGAUAGCAUUUAUCACCAAUCAAAUCUCACUUAUAAAUGUUUCUCUACUAGAAACAUUUUACCAAUAAGUUCUCUACAACCAAACAAGUACCAUUGUAAUAACGUUUAAUAACCAAUCAAAUCUGAGGAGUUAGGAAGGUUAAAAGCAUUUAACACAAAGAGUUUCACUUUAAAGACAGCAGCGUUGUCAGUUAUUUUUCUAAGAGAGUACGAUGUUGUACAGUGUCUAACCUUAAAGACAGUGUCGAGGUCAGAUACUCUUCUUGUAAUCCUUCAAAGCUCUUCCUGGAAAACAUCCAAUAAAACAGGUUAAUUUUUAAAAAAAAAUAACAAGAAAAACAUUCAAAAAACACAACGAAUCGAUAUGAAACAUAAACGGUGAUGAUAAGAAGCAAAUCCAAAAAGUCCAAUAAAAUCGAGAGACAGAAAGAGAGACACCUAGACUGGUCAGCAAAGAUGGUAGACAAGAGGAUAUAGAAGAUGAGUAUCAAGAGCAAACCGAGAAGAAAACUACAAAUCUAUAUAAAUUCCCAAUAACUAACCUUUAAUCGUGUCGUUAACAACAAACAAGCGAAUUCAAAAAGAAGAAAAUUUUAAACCCAGAAGAAAACCCUAAUUUCGAUUGAAAUCCCAAAUCUGAUUUGAAACCCUAAAGCUAUUAAAACCAAACAAUUGAACCCUAUCUAGUGAUGAAAUCGACAUGCAUCAACCAGAGAAGGAAAAAAAAUAAACUACAAGCUUGGAUUCACCUUGAAGAAAGUCGAACGCGAAUCGCCUCUGUUAUCGCCUCUCUCUCGACUCUGCUUUUUUUUUUCCUUGAAACGAUAAAAUGACGCGGCUCGCGUUAUUUCCACCCCCUAACCAAACCAACCCUAAACCGGAACCAAUCAGCUGUUGCCAGCGCAUGAAGGACUUGCUCCUUCGUUCUCUUAACGAAGAAUUAAUCCUUCGCUCGUCCGGUUUUUUUAAUGUUUGUUUAAUCCAAAACCUUAAGGAUUUAUCUUAAGGAAUGCUCUAAGGAGCAGCGUUGUACGUGCUCUAAAACUAUAAACCAUUUAAAUAUAUAAAAAAAAAUUCGAAAAUGCAAGAUUGAUUUUUACUGACAUUUAUAGUUUAAUAUAAGGGAUUUAGGAAUGAUGUUAUAAAAAAGGAUUUAGGAAUACAAAAUACCUUUAAUGAAUGAGAUAUUCUAUUGGAAUAUUCCUUUUAAUAUCUCAGAUAUAUAUAAAAUAAUGAAAUCAAAAUAAUAAAAAAUCGUUUAGUCAAAAGAAAAAUCUAAAUCAAUUAGAUAGCGAUAUAUGCUAUUAUAGUUUUCGUAUUUUAAAGUUUUGUUAAAAAGAAAGUAUCUUACUAUCUUUUUUCAUUUUUAAAGAUUUUUAAUAUUUAAAUACUCUGUGAAAUGCUAUUGAAAAUAGUGCUCUAAUAAAUUUUAAAUAAGAAAAAGAGAUGCAACCAAGUUAAGCCUUUUAUAAGCCUUCUUCAGUUCUUCUAUUACUAAGGCAAAGAUGGUUGAUCUAAUCGUUAUCCAAGGUUUUGUGGAAGUGAGUUUCUUGUUUGAUCACGCCUUGUGGGAAAGGAAGGAAGAUGAUGUCUCCUACAUCUUUUACCAGCAUGUCGUUGACCUUUGUAGUGAAAAGGAUGCAGAAAUGUGUUAUUUCUUGGCAGUUCAAACAUGGGGGUUUUGUUGUGACCUCGUUGGAUAUUGCGCCAAAAAGUUAGCUAGUCUGUGAUACAACAUUAAUGUUUUUCUCCUGAAUAAAGCUAACAGAUGAUUACUGCAGGUCAGCAGGUGUACCUGGUGUUCUUGCUGUCGUUCAGGAUACUGCUCUUAGGCAUUUGAUAACAGUUCAUAAUCGUUACAACUUACAAGUGCCUUUAUCUAUAAUUACACUCAUGUUGUAACUUUGGCUCUCUUUCCUUUGGAAAGACGACGUAUUUCCACACCAUAACUAUCAUAUAGUAACAAAUGUACACAAUCUUUCAACUUCAUCGUAAUUGCACACCUUAUAACUAUCACAACCAAUUUCCACACACGAUAAUAGUUUGAAACCCGUUUCCACCUAAACUUUCAAGGACGAACUGAUACCAACAAAUAGCGGUUUAAAGUUGGUUAGUGUUACCUAAACCUGAACUUAACCAAUGAUUGACUUAACUAAACCAUAAAUGACCCGAUUAGAUAAAAUAAACCGGAUUAAAUGAACCUAAUUCUUUGUCUCUCUCUCUCUCUCUCUCUCUCUCUCUCUCUCUCCCUCUCCCUUUCUUUGUGUCGUUAUUGUAUUGUCUCUCUGUGGUUUUGAUUUUCUGUCUCUCUGUUUUGUAGAAUCGACAAUGGAGUCAUGGACUGAUGUGAAUGUUGAGUGGAAUGAUGUACCAGAGUUCGACCUCUUGCUCGAGCGCUAGAGACUCCACUCGAAUUUCCAGAUUCAUUACUCAUACUUCUGAAUCUUUGCUCUGAAUCUCUGUUCUGAAAUUUUCAAUUUUAGGGUUCUAAGAGAUAAAAUCGAUUUUGGGGUUUUUAAAACGAGUUUGGGUUGGGUUUAAAUUGAACCUUAGUCGGAUCUUCGUUUGGGUCGGAUUAUACCAAUAUCAACCGAUACAAACUGGUUUACUAUCAGUUAGUAUCAUAAACCAUUAAAACCAAGCCAAAUUUUGGUUUGUGUGGAAACGGGUUUCGAACUAUUAUCGUGUGUGGAAAUUGGUUGUGAUAGUUAUAAAAUGUGCAAUUACGACGAGGUUCAAAGAUUGUGUACAUUUGAUACUAUAUGAUAGUUUUGGUGUGGAAAUACGUCGUCUUCCCCUUUCCUUUUUUUUCAGAAGGCGAUUAUAGUACACAAGAUUGUAUAGAAAGUUCAAGAGUCUCCUCCUGUUAAGACGAAAAAACUGUUCAUAAACUUGAGAACCGUAUGUAUGCUUUCGGUUACAUAGCACUAUAGCAGCAUCUAUUAAGUCACCCAUACUCAACGGUUGAAGGAAAACUCAUGCUUCUCUCAAGUCUCAAUUCAUUACUCACAUCUUAAUUUACAGAUAAGUUAAACAUUUACUGAUGUUAAUUCAUUACAUGUAUCUUGGUACAUUUUACAUUUAUCAACUACUGCUUUGGUUGCAUUAUUGUCGAAACCCAUCACUAACUGUUGUUGAUCAUCACUUGCUUAACCGGAUCAAGCCACCUAAAUUAAACACUCACCCCAAUUGUCAGGAACCCAACCCGAUUUGAAAACUCCGUAUCAACCCGAUUCAAGAAGUAUAUUGAAUUUUAUCAUAUGAAAUUAAAACGCAUCUGAAGGAACUGACCGAAUACUUAUAUAUAGGGCUGGGCAUAAAAUCCUUAACCCGAAAUCCUAACCGAAUCUGAACCUAAAACCCGAUCCGAAAUGUAAAAAAUACCUCAAUGAAUCUGGUAAGGUGCCAAAGUGUUAUUAACUGAACCGAACGGGUAAUCCGAAAAUCCAAAAAAUAAAAAAAAAAACUGAUCCGAAUGUCCAAAUUAAUAUAUAAUAUAAAUAUUUGAAACAUAAAUAUGUACUUUAAAUAUUUAAUUUCAUAUUUAUUUGGAUAUGAUAUCUAACAAUAAAUAUUUAAAAUUUAUAUAAAUACUUUAAAUACUCCAUUAUAUACAAAGAAAUAUAUAUUUCUUAUGUUUUACUUUUAAAUUUUAGAUUUUACUUUGGAUAUAUCCGAACCGAUCCGACCGAAGUGUUAUAUCCGAAUCUGAUCCGUACUUGUAAAUUUACUAGAAUGAAACCUAGGAAGUGUUACAAAAUAGAACCGAAAUUGAAAAAACUCGAUCCGAACCCGAACGGGUAUCCGAAAACCUACUGCUACUUGUAUACAUUCUCUAAUUGCGCUAAACGGUUUAGCCUAAACCAAACCAAGAAUCGAACCAAAACCGAACGCCCGCUCAUUUGGUGAUUUUCAAAAUCUAACUUAGGGUUUUCGGUUCAUGCGUAUAUAGAAAGUGUCAGCUGAGUCGAAUAGUUUAUUAAUCGCUUUCCUCGCUCCAAGAGAAUAUUCUUAAAAAAAAAAAAAAGAUUUAUCGAAACCCAAAACCCUGACGGUUACAGCAAUGGCGGCGGCGAAUAAACAAAUCCCUCUUUCCGAUGACCUAAACUACAAACAAUGGGCUCCGAUCGCGAAGAAGAAGCUAGUGGAGAACGGAGUAUGGGACGUCGUCACGAACGGAGUCCCCUUCGAUCCAACCAAGCUCCCAGAGCUAGCCGCGAGGAUCACUCCCAAGGAGCUCGCCGAGUGGAGAGACCGCGCGAUCAACGACAUGAAAGCGCUCAAGAUCCUCCAAUCCUCUCUCCCAGCUUCCACAUACCGCAACACCUUCUCCGUCGCCUCCGCCAAGGAUCUCUGGGAUCUCCUCAAAUCAGGUAACGAAGCACCGAAUCGCCCUAGGCUAACGAAGGAGUUCGAAGAUCUCGCAAUGUACGACGGAGAAUCGAUGGAUAGUUACUUGGAAAGAGUUUUGGAUAUCGUCGAACGGUUCCGCCGUUACGGGAAUCCCAAGUCCGACGACGAAGUCAUCACCAAGCUGCUGACCUCUCUGUCAUGGUUGUUCGAUGAUUCCACGACGAUGUUGGAGGAGAUCAUGAGUCUUCCCGAUAUGACUCUCAACGAUCUGAUAGCGCUUCUUGAGUUGUUUGGAGAUCAUCCAGGCGAAUACAUGACUCAACAGCUGAAGAAGCAUCACAAGAGUCUCGCGAAGGCCAAGUCUGAGCAGAUGUGGUGUGGCUUGUGCAAGAAGUACGAUCACAAUCAAGAAGACUGUUACCGCAGCGACACGAGCGGACAGUGCCAUGUUUGUGGAGCAAGAGGAGGGGAUUGUGCGAGAGGUUGUACAGUUAAGAAGAACGGGAAGCCUGAGCAUUUGAUGUUGGCUGUGACUACGGGUGAUUUUGCAUACGAUGAUGGGAUGUGGAUGGUGUACUCGACUGCUUCGGACCACAUGACUCCGUAUCUGAAGGUUUUCGCUACGCUUGAUAGAACGUACAAAGCUCGUGUUGGGAUGGCUAAUGGGAGUGUUGUUAUGGCGGAAGGGAAAGGAGAUGUGAAGAUUACGAUGAAGGGAGUGAGGAAGGUGAUCAAGAACGUGCUUUUCGUUCCGGGGAUCAACAGAAACGUGUUGAGUAUUAGUAAGCUGACGUCAGGGGGAGGUUCGGUGGAGAUUGGUGGAGGGGAGUGCACUAUUAAAGAUGAGACUGGGAAAGUGUUUGCUAAGAGUAGGUUUGAUGAGAGAGGCAUUGCUCUGCGUUUGAAGGUGAUUAGGUAAUGUUGUGGUCACCGCUUGAUAGGUUUUUGCUUGAAUAAAAUUGGUAGUAGUUUUAGUUUCAGUUUGGAUUUGUCUGGUGUUAUAACCUUAGGACGGUUUAGUUUUCAGAAACUCUAUUGUAAUUCUCUUCUUUUAAGUUUUCAUAAUAAUGAAAAGAAGACGAAAUCUAGUUGAAGAUUAUAAGAUUUUGAUCAAAUUUAUGAUUACAUACCAAAUUUGAGAAAAAUUUACCGAACAACAGAGAGAGAGAGAGAGAGAGGGACAUGAAAGGUGGGAUGGUUGGAUCAGUAGCGGCAGAUCUUGGCGGUAGGCAUUGUGACGCAGACCUGAGCGUAUUUCUUCUUAGCCGCCUCUGUCCCUCGCUUGGGCUCCUCCUCGUCCGCCAUGGCUGCUUUAGCCAAGGAACAAACGGCCGCAGCUGCAGCAGUGAACAUGAGAUCCCUCCUCAUUGUGGUGCUGCUCUGUUCCUCCUUGGUCUUGACUUCUAAGCUGGUUGUGUUCUCGCUCUUCGAGGCUCUGACCACGGACAUCCUUCGUCCGCUGGUGGCUGACGGAAGCUUAGCGACGGCUGGGAGGAAUGUUGCUGUCAUGGUUAUCGAUGCCAUUGCUUGAUAGUUUACUGAAUUCGACGUCUGAUUCUACCCUCUCUCGCUCGUUAGCUAUCGGUCAAUGUGUUUUAAGAAGUUUGGGGGUGAUUUGAGUUUGUGGAAAGCGUUGAGUUUGAUGAGAAAUUAUCUAUUUCCCUAUCCAAAUAUGAUUUUGUGCGAAUUGGUUGUUGCCACGUGUCAUGUUCUAUCUUUGUUGAGAAUAACCAUGAGAGGCUCUCUCGCAAAAGGGGACUAGAUACUUUUGUCGUGCAGCCCACAUGUGGGUCCAUGUUCUAGUCUAUAGUCUCUAAAUGAAAUAAUCAAUACAACAUUUUUUUUUUUUUUGGGUCAUCAACACAUUCAAAUCGUAACACUAAGUUAACAAAUUAGACCUCUAAUUUCUUUGUGAAGGCCUUUUAGUCUAUAGUGAUUAAUCAAAAAUUUCACUGGAGCUGCAGAAAAAGCCAUGGAGUUUGCAAGCAGAGAAGGCAAAGCCACCACCAUCAACAUAGUUAUUGCUCAUAACAGCUACAUACUACCCACUUUAUUGCAAGCAGAGAAGGCAAAGCCACCACCAUCAACAUAGUUAUUGCUCAUAACAGCUACAUACUACAUUUUCUUUACACCCAACAGUGGAUACAACUAGAUUCUCUCGCGGAACCCAUCACUCUCCUUUAUUUACAUGCAUGCAGAUGGACAGAUAGAUGUCAGGACUAUAUGUAUAUGGUUUUAGAGUAAAAGAUAAGUUUGUUCAAUCAAGUGUCACGAGGGCCGUCAGAGGAUUGAGUCUUUCGUAGGUUCCAAUGAAGACCAUCAUGGAUACUGCGUAGGAAGUCAUGAGUAGAUUCAACCUGGCAAGCCGUCGAUACAGGCCAAGGUGCAAUGCUACACACUAGUGCAUCCCCUGCUUCAAGCUGUUUCCUACCUUUCCCAUCAAACGACACCCACGCAGAGCUUCUGCUGUUGAACGGCACUUGCACUCUCACCGUCACGUGGUCCGGUAAUAUCAGUGGCCGGAAAGACAAAGAAUGAGGACAGAUAGGUGUGAACAAGAUCCCAGGAACCUACACAAAAACAUCAAAAGUUCAGAAUCUUAAAAAUGCCAUCAUGAGGGAGAGCAUAUAUAUUACCUGUGGAUGGACCAUUGAUCCUCCAGCUGCAAGCGAGUAGGCGGUGCUACCAGAUGUUGUAGAGAGUAUAAGUCCAUCGCCUUGCACACAUGUGACAAAGGAGUUGUCGCAAUAGCAUUCAAGGUUUGUGAGGUAAGAUGAUAUGCCACGGUCGAUGGUGACUUCGUUGAGAACAAGCGUGUUCUCCUCUGUCUCGUAGUCAUGCCUUGCUUUAUCUCUGAUGAUGUGACACUGCAACCUGUGUCGUAGUGUAAUGCUUAUUGGACCCUUUAAAACCGCUUCCAGACAGUCUCGGUAUUGUUCGCUGUCUGUGGUAUCAUAUAAGAGUUAAAGAAUAAAAGUUCUAGUAAUAGAUAAUGCUUAUAAAGAAAAGCUGAUGAAAGAAAAAGAUUUUAAAGGAUACGGAAAGGAGUCAUGAAUCCAAGAGAUCCCAUGGAAAAUGGAACAAUUGGAGGCACUGGUCCUUUGAACAUGGAUGCUGCCUGUAACCGUGGAGAUGUUCCAUGUUAGAUCGUGUUAUAAAAAGGUGACAGAGAUGUGAAGUGAGGUUUGACAUUACCCAUAGAACAGUACCGUCCCCACCAAGAGUAAUAACAAGGUCAACCUUUGGGUGUAGAAGUGAAAUUUCUUUGUCUGCAUUUAACAAAAAGUUUAGCUGGAGCUAUCCAGGCAAUGGAUGUAAGAAUAUCUUUUACCAUCUUCCCAAGUUUGUACAAAGUCGAAGGAACUUGAUUCUGAUAAAAGUUCUGCCUUCACUCGUGGCUCCACGUAAACGUUCAAUCCUUUGUGCUCUCUCAACCAUCUGAAGUGGAAACAAAAUAUGUUUACUUCAUCUUAAAACAACAACACUUUUGCCUUCCAACAUAAGUUCAGAGAGAGCUACUGAAACUAAUCCUAUGGUUUGUGUAAAGCUAAUCUCAACGAUCUCUUUCCGAAACUAGUGCAAAAAGUGUAUAUACAGACCUGACCAUUUCAACAGAAAGAACUCGCACAGAAGUUGAGUUAGGUUUAGUGAAAAUAAUCACAGUUUGUGGAUUGGUUUCCCAUGUCAGUGAUAUCUGAAACACACAAGUUGUUUAAAUUGCAGCAUAUAUUUUUUUGCCGUUAGUUGUAAAUUCAGAGAGUGAAAACAGUCAGAAUAUAAAACUAUACCUGUUUACUGCUGCGGUCAGCUGUAGUGAUAUUUCCACUCUCAAACGAGACUAUUUCUUUCUUGUGUUGAUCAUUAGCCUGCCCCUUGCACCCCCAUGAAAGCUUAAAUGAUGCCUGCAUCAACGUUAAAACAGAUACUUAACGAUGCCAUAAAGAACAAAUGUUUUUGUAUACUAGCCGAGUGCUGAUAUGCUUAUAUGUUGCCUACUUAUGUUUAUUAACUUGCAUACAGACAAUAUAAGCAAUAACUGGACACAAGAGAUAAUUUUAUAUAUAUUACCUUUCUCUUCAGUUUGUUGUUACACCCAUUAGGACUGUUAGAUUCACCACCAUCUUGCAGAACAUCAUGGGAGCAAAUACGCUCCAAGGAAUACCUUUCUGACUUCCCAUUCUCCUGACCAUGACGCCGCGGAGACUUGGCUAAAUGAUCCAUCCCCUUGCUACCAGAUUCAUCGGCACACACUCCAUUCAACGGUGCUGUGAUACAUACAUAUUAUUCAAACCAAAGCUCUACUGGAACUAAUUAUUGAAAGUAACUUAGAAUGGAUUAUAGUAAAUCAUUCAAAGCUAAAACCUUUACUCAGCAACUCUUGGUUCUUAGACCUCUCCAACUCAUAUCUUCGCUUCCACUCAGCAGCCUCAGCUUGAGCCAAUGCCUUUCCUUCAGCAGAUCCUCUUAAAGCCUUUGCAACAGCUACACAAAACCUUAAAAGUGAGUUCUAACGACAAAGAAAACAACAAGUAAUCCAAAGCUUUACUUACUUCUCAAAGCCUCAGAAAACUCAAUGAGGUGAUCAUCUGUUGCUAGCAUAGGAGUCUGCUGAGUAAGAAGCUCCUCAACAGCUUUCUCUGAUUGAGCAAGUGAAGAACCAUUUUCUGGGUUUGAUCCCAAACUGUUUACAUCUCCAUUUCCAAAAGAGUCCUGCCAAGCAAAUUGAAUAAAGUUGAUAAUGUUCUGAUUCAAAGACAUAAGCUUUGAAGAUAAAACAUAACCAGAAACAGUUUCAUCACUAAUGAGCUGAAGAGAAGCUAAGAAAAAACUCUCUCACAUUCUCAAUUUCCAAAUCAAUUCUCAAUAAAAUGAUAUCAUAAAAAUCCCCAGAGAGAGAGAUUUUACAUAAAAAUCAAAACUUUAAAACGAAAAAAAUAAACAGUAGAGAGAAAUCAAAGGGACAAAACACGCAAAGCAGAAGAAAGAGUUAAACAAAGAAGGAGAGAUGUAAUGGAAGUACAGUGUAAUUGAGCUUGUAGCUCGACAUUGAAUUCUCUCUAUGAUCCAAGAAGAAGCUUAUGGAUAUUUCAUUGUCAAGACGGCAGGCAGAUUUAUAUACAGAGAAUAUGUGCAAGAAGGAAGGAAGGAAGAGUCGUAAGCAAAGCAUACAGCUUUUUUAUUUUAUUUUAUUUUAUUUUUGUGGAACAGUAAUUGCUUUGAAGUUAACGACCGGAUCUCACAUAUUUUUGACCCCCAAAUAAAGUCUUCUCUUAUAUUUAAAUAACAAAACAAAAAGGAAAUAUAAUACUUGCUAGAAAAGAUUUCAGAUAUUUUUCUUAAAGUUCUGUAUUUUAUACAGAUAAUAUUUUAAGAGAUCUGGAACUAUAGCUUUUUGAUAUUCAGAUUAGGAGAGUAAAUAUUGGGUCUGAUUGGUAAUUACUGUACCUUUAAAAAUUUUGCUGUAGAAAAAAAUCUGUAGACUUUUUGUUUUGGUUUUAGAUUUUAUUGUUGUAGAAUUUUCUGAAAAGUACUAAAAAAUUAUUUUAGAUAUUUGGCUCUGCAGACCACUUGUACAGCUGUAGGUUAUUUUAAGAGCUGUAGUUUCAAAAAAAAAAUUAAAGCUUGAUUGCUCUGAAUUUGGCGAUGUAUAAAUAAAUAGGGCUGUUGACAGCAUCUACAGCAACUACCAAUCACCUCCAAUUAUAUAGAGAAGAUGGUUUGAAUACGGGGCACGAAUAGAUUUUCUUUUUGGUUUUCGUACAUUUUUCAUGCAACACUAAAAUUUCAUACUCCUUCUAUUUUAUAAAAAUGCUAUUUUAAUGUUUUAUUACAAUGAUUGUUAUUUUAGAAUCUAAUACAAUUUAUACAUAUUUUUAUUUGAAUAUUUAUUACAAAAUGCAUUGAUAUUAUAAAAAAGUUUUUUUCAAUAACUAGGAAUAUAAUUAUUAAAGACAUAAAUGAACUCUUAUUUUUUGAAACACUUUUUUAAACACGAAUGAACUUUAAAUAUUUCCUUAAUUUUUAUGAAAUGUCAAAAUAAUGUAAUCCUCCACGAGAAUCAUUAAUUAACUUUCAUGUCUUUUCUAGUUCAUAAAUCAUUUAACGUGUGGUUUGUUAGUUAGACUGGUUGUGGCCUUGUGCCGUACGAAGAGUUUUAGGAACCUAAGGCAAAUUUUAAAAAUAAAUUAAUUUAUAAUUAUAUUGAAAACAAUUUUGCAAUAUAAUAUAUCGUUUUCAACAAAUACACAAAUCUAACGCUGUAAGAAUAAGUUUAUGCUAUAUUAGUCUAGAAAAAAUUAUAAAAAAUAAGUCUAAACCAUUAGAUUAUAAAUUUAUUUUAAAUUUUAGGACCCUAAAAAAAUUCAUAUUAAUCGGGAACCUAAGGCGAAUGCUUUUUUCAAUACACUACAGGCACGCCUCUGCCUUGUGGGCAUAAUGAAAUGAAAUGUCGACUUUAGGCUCCUAAUUCUAAAAAUAAUAUAUAGAUGUAGGGUGCGAAAUUGUUAUAGAAAAGUUAUUAAUAUUUUUACUAAAAUAUCUUUAGCCUCUAAGAUCUCAAGGAAACUAAGUUGCUAGAGGAGAAGAUAAUGCAUGCUUCAUGUAAAUGGUCCUAACUUUCGGAGAGGUGACGUCAAGAAUUUCUUUGAAAAACUUUUAUAUCUUAUUGCUACAUACAAGUUUCCAUGGUUUUUCAGAUUAAUUAUAAGAGUUUGGUUGAUUGGGAAAUUCAGUCCACAUAUAUAGUUUAUAUUUGAAUUUUGUAUGAUUAUCUUUCGGAAUACUUUAUCUACUGAUCGUUACGUGAUCGAAUUUUAUAUACUGGCCGAAUUUCGAUAAUGUUUUUAAACAGCCUAACAUAAUCUCCAGCAUUAUAUGUUCACAUGUGAACCACCUCUAUUAGAUAAAAAAAUCAUUUAACAACUUAACCAGCCAUUAUAUACCAAUGCCAUUAGAUCACACAAACCUGAAGUUUCAAAAGUCUUUCUUAAGUGUUCAAGCUUCUUCUUUCUAUAUAACCAAGUGUGAGAAAAUCAUUCGCUUGUAUCUCAUGCUUGAUUUCAUUGGACUCAAGGCUAUUUAAGUCCAAAAUACUAUAGGAAAUGCAUCUGCCAAAAAGUAUAAGACUGCAUACCAUGGAAAAUAAUGAUGAAGUUUUAACAUCCGCAGCUAUGAGAAUGGUAAGCAAUCCUAUCAACACUAGGGGAAUUAGGAGAUGAAUCCUAUCAACACUAGGGGAAUUAGGAGAUGAUGAUUUAGUAAAAAAAUAUUACAUAAUACGAUUGAAAAUGAGAAAAUGAAAAAAAAAAACAUUACUAUUUGCAGAUGCUAUGUAGAUAUAUUGAAUUUAAAGUUGGAUUUUGAAAUUAGAGUUCUUUUAUAUUAACCUAUUAAAUUAAUACUUUAUCCAAUGUUAAUUUAAGAAGUCAUAGUGUAUACGGAAGAUAUCAUUUUUGUUUUUAUUCAAAAUAGAUAGCAUAGUACCAACUUUACAAAAUUAGUUACUUUGGCAAUUAAAGAUUUUCUAUAGUAUGAGUGGUCCCUAACAACGCGUGGCUGAAUUUUCACUUUUUUCUGGUCCUCGAUCUCAACGUGGUUGCAGUCCGCUCGUGGGAUUUUGGUUCCACUACGUCUAAGUGCACACUAGACUUCUCGUGCAUCAUGAUUUCUACACGUAGUUAUCUGUAAGCCACAAAUCCAGUAGACGCUUUAGAUUUGAUAUGCGGAGUGGAGCUUCGAGAUUAGUAAAAUGCAGUGUUUUUUUGGACUUGGACGGCAAUUUCUGUUUCAUGGAAAUAUUCAACCAAGUUGACUUUGUAUUCCGAGAAUCCUCUGUUUUGUCGUAUAUUCCCAUGUUGCAAUAUGUUAUUUUCGCUAGAGAACGACUAAAGUCUUAUAUGUAUUUGAAUUUUAGAAAGGCCUUACUAAUAUUGCGACACUAAAAAUGUCAAUGAGGAAGUGUAAAUUUUCGCAAAUUUAUAGAAUAAGAUUUAACAUAAUAUUUUUCUUGAAGGAUAAUACUUUUUAGUUGCAUGUGAAUUCCCUUUACGUACUUUUGUUGACAUACUACCAAUUCAAAUGCUACUUACUAUCUGACUUUAAUUUGGUCACAACAAAUUUUUAUAGAGUUCACAUACUCAGAAAGUAAAGGGGUAGAAGUCAGCAAUACUUUGUAAUGAAUAUUUUGCCAUUUUUGUAUUGUCUGAAAAUAAAAGGUCAGUAGACUUUUGAGUUUUGAGGAUUUUGAUCUUGAAUUCUUGACCCAAAGUAUAUUUGGUACAUGUGCCAUCUUUCUCAAAUUGUCUUUUAUAUACCAAACAUAAGGUGUAAUCAACAUUGGCUUUCACAUUGUGUUUCCUUAAUAAAGAAUUGUUCCACAAUGUGUUUCCUUCUCGUAUACGAAUUUACAAACUAGAUAAUAAUGGCAUGUAUAUCCAUAACUUUAGAAGUACGUUAACAUUUGAUAAUCUUAAGUCUUAACACAUGUAUGCUUCACAAUGCUUUUACAAAAAAAAAUGUAUGCUUCAUAAACGUAAUAUCAUUUACAAAAAAAGAAAGAUGGAUAUGUUUGGUGGAGUGAGUCUCGGCCGUUUAAUCUCUGCACGUUCUCGUGAUCUUUCUGCGUUCCAUCCAAUCCAAGCCGAACAAUAUAAUGCUGGAGUAUUUUUCGAGUAUUUGGAUAUGUUUGAUAGUCUUUCCUUCACUUUCCAAGAAGAUUGCUCUCAGAUUUUAAUGCAUUUUAUAAGAAUGAUCCAACCCAUUUUAUAUGAAAAUGUUUGAUAACAGCUCUAAGAACAUGUGGGUCAAGUGGAGAACUGAUUCAAAGUCUUCCAUAGAGAUAGCUAACAUUGACGUUGACAAUGUUAUUAUAAAUUACUAACUAGUUUUCUUCUUAUUCUAUACAGUAUUUAGUAUUUCUUCGAAUGUUGUUUUCAUAGUCAUUCUUGUCUAUUUUCAUCUGCCCAUUUAAAAUAUAUCUAACAUUUCUUCUAGGCUCUUCUUACCCAAUCAAUUGGUUUUAUUCUUUGUUAAAAUUAAUCUAUUCAAACUUAAGCCUCUUUGGCUCAUAAUAAAUUAGGAAAAACGUUACAACAAUAUGACAUUCAAAUGCAACAAGAAACAUAACUAUGCUCUCUGCCUCCUUGGUUUCAGACUUUCAGGUUAUAUCAAAGAUUAAAGUUGACGGCGAAGAGAUGAAAGUGCUUGGCUUGUGUUUCUUGAGAUUCGGUCAUGUAUUGGUUCCUGCUGAUAAAGCUACGCAUCAAUACGCUUCUAAUCUCAAAUGUAAUUCUUGAGAUUCGGUCAUGUAUUGGUUGCUGCUGAUAAAGCUACGCAUCAAUACGCUUCUAAUCUCAAAUGUAACAAAAAUCACAAACACAGGUGAGAAGUGAAGACUUUGGGAUGAAUCAUACCUGUGUAGGAAGAAUGUCAAUUCUUGAUCCAGUGAUUGUCUCAUACAAGAAAAUGUACCUGCCAUAGUCACAGGUUAAUCUUCCAUGAGUUUUUUUUUUGGGUCAAGAACCAUGAGUUCUUUAAAACUAAUACUACUAGGCUACUAGUUAAAGCUACCAUUGUCCAGCAAAUGUUUAAUCUCACAGUCUCUAAAGAGUAUACACGUUCAAUGUUUCUUCCCAUAUAACAAAAUACAUAGUCAAGAAAGUUUAUAUCCGAGUUUACAGAUAAAGAAACAUACCGCCAAGCUAAUUCAGUAACGAGUUCUGCUGGAGCAGCAGGGAGGACCUGAAAAGAUCAGAGAUACAACCGAAACUAAACAGAGUUUCUCAUACAGUGCUGGAGUUUACAUUCUGAAGAUGUAAGCUUACCUCGUCCUCAUAUGGAUUGCAGUUCUCUUUAAACCACAGCCUUAUGAACUCCUGUUUAGAUUGAAAAAAGAGGAUAAACAUGUGAUUAACAAUGCACUCUGUACCAAUAAAACCUGACUUGAACUGUAUGGCCAAGGAGAAAAAACAAGAAAUAUCACUGACCUUAUCAACAUUUUCAGGCUCAAGACCUUUCUGGAAGCGCUCUUCAUAGGAACCAGCAAGCCAGUAUCUGCUUGAAUCCGGCGUAUGAAUCUAUAUACAAUGGGUAAAAUUCGAAUAAACUGUGCAUUCAAAAGAGAGAUGAUACGGAAAGAAAGAGAAAGUAUUAAAACUAACCUCAUCAAUCAAUAAGAUGGAUCCAUCGCUACUUCUUCCAAACUCAUACUUUGUAUCCACCAGUAUCAGUCCAUGCUCCUUGGCCACGCGCUGAAAUAAAUCAUAAUGUACUUAGAAUCUAAGAAGACCUUCCAACAACGCACAAAAUAUAAUUCUUGUUGUCUGCAUUCAUAAGAUUCUUAUAACCAUUAGAGUCUAUGGCUUUAGACGGUGGAGUUGUAGCUAACCUGCCCAAACUCAAACAAGCUCAAAGCUUUCAUACUUGCUUCGUCAAAUUCAGCUUGAGUCAUGAAUCCACCUUCAACUAUCUGCAAGCAAAAAAGAGUCAUUCGCCGCAUAAGAAGCAGCAAAAAAAGUAAACAACUUUGUAAACAGAUUAAUUAGACCUCAUUUGGAGUGAUGGGCACAUCAUGAUCCUCAGCCUUGGUUGUUGGCGUGAGUAUAUUAGCUGGAAGCUUCUGGUUUUUCACUAAACCUGCAAAUUUAGGAAUCAGUUUAUUAAUGUAUCUUCUGACAUAUGCACAUACUUGAAGAAGAAGAAGGAAACAAAGGAGAAAGAGUACCAUCAGAGAGGACAUUCCCACAAUAGUUCCUAACACCUUUCUUGUAUACCGUCCAUAAAGAUGUGUCAGUACUUCCAGUCACAUAUCCUCUAACUAUCAAACAACAAAACAUUAUAUUAAAAAAAAAAACAGUUUAGAACUAAAGCAAACAGAGGCUGUAUAGAGAAGCAUAAACAUACUAACCCACAAACUCUAUUGGGAAGACGGAGCAUUUCUUUGCAAUAACAACAUUUCUAUCAGGAGAUGAAACGACUGCGUUUGGAGUUAUGUGCUGUGUGUUAUUGAACCACCACAAGCUGGUCUCGUUAAGAACCUGAAAGUGUUAGGCAGCACAAACUUAAUAUCUCUCUGCAAUCCAACUUGAAUUUACAGCGGCAAACAUGGGAAAAACAAAAAAAAACCUGGCCUUUGAAGGGAAUUGAAGCAAGGUUUCUGUCGAAUGCACUCAAGCGAUCAGUUGUAACAAGAACUAGAUAAUCACCAGCAUCAUAUAUAUCUCUGACCUGCAAAAGCAGCAAGUCCUCCUCAACUAUCACUUGCUUGGCUUUAUAGAGAAUAACAAUGGAAGAAGACAAAGGAAACAACAACAAACCUUGCCUUUGAUUCUAGAUUUGAGACCAGGAACAGUCUCUAGAAGAUUGGUCUCUGAAAGACAGUUGGAGAGCGAGUCUUUGAUUGUGCCGAGAACCUCUCCUUUACGGUUACUCGUGACUAGAUCGUCAAGAGACAAUUGUGGCGGUGGUAUCUGCUCUUGCUGGCUUUGGGCCUUUCCCUGGCAAGACAUAACUGGGUACUUCUUGAACUCGGGCAAUGUUCUAAGAAACGAGACUGAUGCAAAAGCUCGGGUUUUUGCAGACACUGUCCUAAUAAAGCUCUGUGGCGUUCUCGAUGGAUUUAGAGUUGACGACCUCACACACUGAGCCAUUCCAGAAAAAAACCCCAAAAGCAACAAACUGCACCAAAACCUGAAACUGUUUUAAAACAGAACCUAUUGUUCUAAAAAGGUCAGGGCUUUAGACCAAACUGAACUCUAACAAGGGAGAUGUACCCGAAAAGGAGUAACCACAACUAACACACAAAUUAUAAACCCAAAACUAAUAAACCAAACCAAAACCAAAACCAAACCAAACUAAACCAAACGUUAUUGAAUUACGGAAAGUAAAUAUAAAAACAGAGGAAAAUAAAACUCGCUUUUGCCCACCGCGUCCUCUCUCGGAGAUCACAAGAUCCGUCACCUCUUCUGCAUCCUCCAACUCCAUUGUGUUUCGUCUGAAUCCAAAAGGUUUAACCUUUGCUCAAAGUUCCUGAAACCCUUCACGGAGAUGCCAAUUUAGAGAAUUUCUAUGGUGAAGCCAGCCGGAAAGCAGAGUUGUGGUCGCCUUGUCUUCGCUUCAUUCCUCGCUCUUUUAUCCCUCGGCCUCGUCGCCGACUUCCUCUGGGCUUCCUCUCAUCGCUUCUCCUCCGCCAUAAUCUCUCUUCCCUCCUCCGUCAUCGAAAAGCUCCCUCCUAGUCCCAAUGUAAGUGUUCAAUCUGCUCUGUUUUUUUCUUUUAUAUCUCUCGAACAAUCAGAUGAAUCAGCUUAUGUGGAUACCUUUCAGGAGAAAGAUACUAAGAAGAAGAAGAACGAUAAUGCUCUUCGAGAAAGGAAGCUCUCUGCAACGUUCCAAGAUCUGCCUGCUCCUCUUCUACAUUGGGAGAAGAUGUCAGCUGCACCUGUGCCUCGUCUAGACGGAGCUGCGAUUCAGAUUAGAAACUUUCUAUACGUCUUUGCUGGUUACGGCAACAUUAAUCUCGUAAGCGUUGUAUAGAGAGAGAUCUUUGAUCAGUAGCAUUAGAUGAAUUGAUGUUUCUGUCUUUCAAUAUAUCAGGUGCAUUCGCAUGUUGAUAUAUACAACUUCGUGGACAACACAUGGGGAGGAAGAUUCGAUAUGCCUAAAGAGAUGGCUCAUUCUCAUUUAGGGAUGGUUACGGAUGGGAGAUUCAUCUACAUCGUCACUGGUCAGUAUGGUCCUCAAUGUAGAGGACCUACUGCUAAGACAUUUGUGCUUGAUACUGAUACAAAUACGUGGAGUGACUUCAUUCCCUUACCAGUUCCUAGGUGAUUGCUAUUCUCUGUUUAUCAUCAAGUUAGAUAGAAACUGAGUGAUGAGGUUUUAUGUACAUGUCAGGUAUGCUCCAGCUACUCAGCUAUGGAGAGGUAGACUCCACGUGAUGGGUGGAAGCAAAGAGAAUCGACAUACACCGGGACUUGAACACUGGAGUAUCGCUGUUAAAGAUGGCAAAGCGUUGGAGAAAGAGUGGAGAAGUGAGAUUCCAAUCCCUCGUGGAGGACCUCACAGGUUUGUUUAAUAGCUUCACGCUUCAUCAUCCAUUUUUAUCUGAGGUUUGAACUGUUUUUUUUUGGUGAGUGUAGAGCAUGUGUAGUAGUGGACGACAGGCUUUUUGUAAUUGGUGGUCAAGAAGGUGAUUUCAUGGCUAAACCAGGAUCUCCCAUCUUCAAAUGCUCACGCCGUUUGGAGGUAUUGUUGCUAUUUUAUGAAUGUUUUGUAUGUGUGUGUGUGUCCUUACCUUCUUCACCUUGGUGGUUCUCAAGGUGGUGUUCAGUGAUGUUUACAUGCUGGAUGAGGAAAUGAAGUGGAAAGUGAUGCCAUCUAUGCCAAAACCGGAUUCGCAUAUUGAGUUUGCAUGGAAGGUGGUUAACAACUCCAUUGUGAUCGUUGGAGGGACGACAGAGAAGCAUCCUGAAACCAAGAAGAUGGUUCUCGUUGGCGAAAUCUUCCAGUUUAACCUGAAUACAAUGGUAAAAAAAACACAUGUCUCUGCAUGCUUAAGACCUUCUUUAGCCUGUUAAUAAGUGUAAGCUGAGUUUUGUUUUAUGUUUUAUUGUCUGCAGAAAUGGUAUGUGAUUGGGAAGUUGCCAUACCGUGUGAAGACGACGCUGGUUGGGUAUUGGGAAGGGAAUUUAUACUUCACCUCGGGGCAACGAGACAAAGGUCCUGAUGAUCCUGCACCACGCAAGGUAAUUGCAGAGAUGUGGAGAACCAAACUUAUACUGACUCCAUGAUCAUGAGAGUGAGAGAAAAGAAAUCUAUCUCCCUUUAGUAAUGCAAAGUCGCAACACUUUUUGAAGUUUAUAUUCUUUGAGCCUAACUCAUUCCACUCCACAUAACAAUUGUUAUAUCUAUCUUCUAUGUUGAUGGGGAAGUUGUAUAUUGUAUACUAAAAUCACAAACUUAUAGAAAAUUCCAAUUUUUCCAACACAUCUUUGUGUGCUGCUUUCUUCAUCUCACAGUUGUCUUCUGUUUCCUUUUACUCACCAAACGUUUUUUUCAAAAGACCAGUUAUGUACUUCCGUAACCAAGACCUCAUGUAGCAAGAACUUAUACAUAUGUUAAAUUAUGUACUUGAUUUUUUUUUUCAAGUGUAGAGAAAAACUGGUAACAAUGUCUGCAUUGCUAAAAACCAUAUAGAUCAGACAUUUUCAGCACAACAAUACGUCAAUACCCAAUACUAAUGUUAUUGUAGGUUUCUUAACUCAAAACCCUUUAAUUCAAAGAAACAAAAAUAGUCCUUCCAUGUCCCCCCUACAAGCCAAGAAUAAGCUCAACCAUAAAGAGCUCAUUCUCAAAUCUAAGACUUGAUGUCACAGCAAGAUUCAGACCAUCAACCAUUCCACCAAACACAUACACAUACCGUCCCGAACCAUCAGCGCACGCCCGAUGAAACGACCGCCCUUUGGGUCUAUAAGACACCCCAUCAAGCCUCUUCCACGCCUUUGAACCAUUUAAACAAACCGCUCCUCCAUCUACCUGCAGACCUUUAGAUGGAAUGGUCUUGACAUCCAACGCCCAAAAAUCAUCCUUCUUGUGCCUAAAGGUAUCUUCUCCUCCGUAAAUAAGAAUCCGACCUCCCAAUAUGAGUGUUGCCGAGUGACCAACCCUCGGCAACGAAGCGCUCUCCUCCAAGUCUCGAAAGUCGUAGAAGAUCUGUAUCCAACGUUCGCACUGUUCCUGAGUAUCCAACAGCCAAACAUCGUUAAGCACGUCGUAACCCAACCCUUGUAUCCAACGUUCGCACUGUUCUUGAGUAUCCAACAGCCAAACAUCGUUAAGCACGUCGUAACCCAACCCUCUUCCUCCGAACAGAACCACUUGGUUCUCUCUUAUGUAAGUCAGAGUAUGCCCCGACCGCGGCGGCAGCAAGGCGUUGGACACAACCUCGUGCCAUGUUCCCGAGUUAAGAUCCUCGGAGAGUUCGAGAAUCCACGUGUCCCCCAGUCUCACUCCGCUUAAACCGAUCCCUCCUUGCACGACCAUCGUCUUCUCUGAGAUACAAGAAGCAGCAUGAGCACCUCGAGGAGGCGGCUUUAGGCUUCCCAGGACAGCUAGUAGCUUCCAGGUUAGUUGCUUCCCGUGGCAGCCCACUCGACCUAUCCACGUGUCGUUCAGCCGCUCUCCACGGUCGUUUAUUCCUCCGAAUAAGACUAGAGAGUCUCCAAUGACGACGCAGGUGUGUCCGAAUCUCCCACCGGGUGUAACUGACUCAGCUUUCUUCCACUUCAACGUCUUCUGAUUGCUCUCUCCGACGUAAGCCGUCCACGUGUCAUCAAGAUGACGUCCUGUAAAAACAAAGAAACAUGAACACAAGCACUAGAGAGUUCACUGGUUCAACAAAAGGAAAGAGCUUUGACACCUCCUUCACGGCCACCACCGAAGAGGACAAGAUAAUCAGUAACGAAGUUGAGAGAGUGAGAAGCUCUAGGGAGCGGUAGUAACGAAGACUCAUCAUCAUCGUCUAGGUUCGAGAUUUUGUGGCAAGAGACGGAAUCAAGCUUGCAGACUCUCUUAAACAGAACCAUCCACGGUAAUAACAACCCCGAUGACUUGACUGACUCAGCCGACGAUGGGCCCCACUCUCUCCGCCACAAGGACUCCCAGAGGCUGUCGGAGCAGGCGAGGUCACGGAACCUCUUGCAGGUGGCUGAGAAAGAGAGGAUUGAAUCCACGGGGAGGAGGAGGAGGACGGUGAAGAGAUGGUCGUCGGCUAAGUUCAUUAUCGGCGCCGGCGGAGAUUGGUGGCCUCUGCCGGAGGAGGUGGAAGCGAUCUCAGCCAUCGGUGGGGGUGAUGAUGUCUUGAAGAGGAGGAGGUUUACUGAAUCAACAGAUGAAGAAGGACAGAAGAGAGGAAGACGAAGAAGGCGAAGAUUAGAGAUCUCUUCUUCUCUCGUCACGGAGCCGACAAGAGGGACUGUAAAAAAAACACUAGAAACCAAUCUUUUCCUCUUUUGACAAAAGUCAUGUAAAGUGCAGUAAUAACAAUAAAUAAUAAUUAAGGCUUUGUACGUUUGGGUAUGUAUGUGCUCGAAUUUGAAUUUGAGUAUUUUGGAAUUUUUUCUUUUUGAGCAAUUUUUUUUUGGAUUUUAGAUUUUUUUUUUAAAUUUAGCCUCUUCAAUUCUAAUCGGGGUUUAUAUACAUGUUAAGAUCAUUUUUUUAUCGUAGUACUUUGAAUUCAUAAAAUUUACUUCAUCCAUUUCGUUAAACUAGAUGUUUUAGAAAAAAAAUUUGUUUCACAUAGAUAAACUUUUUGUAUUUUCUAUAAAAAAAUUUGUGAUGUUCAAGAAAGUUAAUUGAUUUUUUUGAAUUACUAUUGGUUAAAAGUUAUUGAAAUUUCAAAAUUACAGAAAAUAAUAUAUUUAUUAUAAUGAUUUAACGUACUUUUUUAAUGUGUGUAAAUAAUAAUAAAUUAUAUUUAUGAAACAGAAAGAGAGUAAUAAAUUUGAAAUAAAAGAUAAAAAUCUUUUAACUUUUAAACUUCAAUCAUUUAAAUCAACAAUUUUUGUGCUGGCAACUUAACACAUUACAUUGUGUUUGAUUUUCAUUUUAAAUCUUUAAAUUUUUGUUGAUUAAGUCAAAUUAGACAUCUGUUAAAUAAAUUAACAUAAUAUAGAACAGAGUUAAAAAAAAAAUUGAAACACCAUAGUUAAACUAAACGAUGUUGUUUUGUUCGCUUUGGUUUGAAAAAGUGAAAAUAGUCAUACAAAAUCCAGUAUUUUAAUACCAUUCUAUUCUAUUAAAAUACAUUCUAGUAGUAUUUUUAUAACUCGGAUCUGUUUUGGCUUUUGGGUUUUAAGUUCAGGUUUGAUUAGGAUCUUGGAGUUUUCCUCCGGCCUAACGAAUUUUGGUAAUUUCGAACUUAUAGAAAUAUCAAAAGUAAACCCCAAAUAUUUUAUUAAACUCAGAUUUCAACCCCGUAGUUCCAGAUUAACAUCCAUUUUGGGUAAAAACAUAGAUAAAAAAGCAGUUUGGUCAUUUCUGCAAACUCAAGGUUCUUGGUCAUUUCGGCAAAUAGUUAAGUUUGACCUUCUCUAUCACUUUCCAUAGUGCAGCUUUAGCUUCUUCCAGCGUUUCAACACCAUGACCUUCCUCAAAUGGUAGCCUUUGUAUGUUGAACUGACAAAACCAAACACACAGAGAAGACAAAAGGUGAGAGGCGCUGUGCAUGAUCAUGUAUCAACACGACAAUUGUUAUAUACAAUGUUUUUUUUUUACCUGAGCACCUUGACGAACCCGUACAUCUAUCCCUUUGCUAUCUAUAGAAAUGAGGGCAGCGUCGUCUACCUCUGUUUCAGAUGACAGUAACUCUCUAAGCGGCUUUGAGAAGAUGGCAUUUAGUUCCUACCAGAGGUUAAGAGGUAAAAGUAAGAGUCUGUUUCAAUUUACUAUAGGACAAGAAGUGGUUUAUUUGGAGUUUUGUAAGGGGACCAAGGAAGGAUUUGAAAAUGAAGCACCUUGAGGUUUUGCUCACCACCAUCAACAGCGAUCUUGUCUGGCUGUAAGGCCUCAUACUCUUUGACAUCAACCCAUGCGACCGUUCCAAAGCCUCCAAUGAAAUAUAUAUCACUGCCAAUAGUCACAUUUGAGUAUGCAUAAGUAGAAUAGGAGACAAACAAUCAUAACAUAAGUUGGUAAUUUAGGAGGCAUAAGUUUUGGAAACAAAACCUUAUGUUGUGCAUUCUAAAAUAGCGAAAGUUUCCACACUGCUCGGAAGUUCCGUGCUGGUGCUUUGCAAUGUAUUGCUUAUGAGCCAAAUCCUACCAAGCCACAACCAUUCCACACUGCUCGGAAGUUCCGUGCUGGUGCUUUGCAAUGUAUUGCUUAUGAGCCCACUCCUCCCAAGCCACAACCAGAGGCAUUUGAACUGGUUUAACAGAUAAGAUUACUGAACCCAAAGAUUAGCAACUAGUUAGUUAGAUAUUAACCUGUUCAUCAUCGGACAGUGGGUACACAUCACCGAAUAAUGUCACUCUUGCAUUAGACAAGCAACUCCAUCCAGGCAUCUGACAGCCAAAACCCCGUUACAGACCAAACAAAGAGAGAGAAUCUUUUGAUCUUUGUAGUCUAAACACAAUAGCCAAUGUUUACCUGAACAACGAGACUACAUCUAGGUUCAGCCAAGAGGUUUCGUGUGUGGAUGGCCAACGGUGAAAGUAAGAAUAUUGGAUCUGGAAACAAAAGGUACUUUAUAAGCCAACGUGCAUCUAUAAUCUCAGCAUACAAAGAUAGAAUAAGCAGUGAAGAAAGAGAGAAAGGUUUGGUGACUUACGCCCCAACCGAUCAGGUGCAAAAUCAACCAAAGAGCCAAAGGGGUACCCUUCUCUACGGUGGUGCAUUUUAGACAUCAUUGUGCAUAGAUGAGCAAACCUCGCCUUGAAUCAUACAAAAGACAAGACAGUUAAACAACUUAUCAUCAUAUUCCUCGUUCAAGUUUAAUUACAAAUCUUUUUUACCUGCUCCAGCAAGUUCCGAACAGCUAAAGCAGGACGAGGUAACGCAUGAGCUGAUGUUGCAUUUUGAACUCCGCCAGAUAUAGGAGUUCUAAAAAGGCCAGCUCGGUUUCCCCCAGCACCCUGAGGAUGUGCAAGAGAUGUCUCCACAUCGAUUACACUCUCAAGCUUUUCCUAACACACAAACAUUAUAAGUUAUUAGCUAUUAGCAGCCCAAAGCAAACCAUCCAAAUAGAACUAUCUACUUCAAGAUUCAUUAUUAACAACAAUCCAAGAUUCAAUUCAAAGCAUUAUAUCUUGUCCAGAACUAGCGUAAGGGUACCAUAGACAAAGAAUAUUACCUGUGACAAAGAGAAGAUAUCCCCAGGAAAGAAGUUAAAUCCACUACUCUUGCCAAGAUUAUCUCCACCUUCACUUGGUGUCUCGUUGUGUAAGAGAGCUUGUAUCCGGAGCCCGUGGCUUGACCCAUCCCUGGUUCUCAGCUUGGGGAUUCGCUUGGCUGGCGAACUACACGACCAACACGAAGACUGAGAUGAAGCUAGCGAAGAUUUGAAGACAGGCUUGGUCACGGGCAAAUUGGAGAUGUAUGCUGAAGUAGAGAGAGCUUCCAUGGUAAGAUUCUUUUGAGUAUGGCAGAUUCGUCAACACGCCUUUACUGAAAAAAGUUAAGCUUAUAGGAGUUUUCCAGAGUAGGGUUUAAAACAAGUAACAGUGGUUUCACGGAAAGCUCUGGGAUAGUGGUGUUCUGUUUUUCACCUUUCGGCUUUAAUACAAAAACAAAAAUACUAUUAUUAGUUUCCUUUUCUUAGGAAAAAUAGGAAAAGAUGAUAUUCCUUUUUCAACGCAAAUCAUCAUUAUCUCAAGAACAAGAUCAUGAUUAUCGUCAUGAGUUUAUGACUACAUUGCAAUAAAUGAUUACUGAUAACAAUAGCAGUUAUAAAUAGUUUUUUUUUUAAUAUAGGGGGAAGAGAUUAGCUAAACUAUACUAGAAUUCUUACAAAUAUUUACGUUUUUUUUAAAUUAUGUAUAUUAUUUUUACAUAAACUGCCUAAAAUAGUAUAUUUAUCAACUAUUAACAGAUGUAGAGUAAAUUUUGAUUACUCAAUACUCGUAUUUAAAACAAGAAUAAUUUGUUGACAAAAAAUAAAAACAAGAAUAAUUUUGAUUUUCCAAUAUUAUAAGUUUUUUGUUUCUUUAUCUAGGUUGAAUAUUAUAAUAACCAGUACUUUAGACUUCUCUCUCCACUACAAAAUAAUUUUUCCAUCUCACGCGAUGGUUCAAAACCAUUUAAAACGUUUGGAAAUAAAAAUCAACACGUCGAUCGAUGAUACAUGCAACUUGUAUCACUAUCACUAAAGCCUAGCUGCAACGCAGGAACCCCCACGUCUCAAACGUUGUCGUUUUCGGCCCAUCCUUCCUCUGAAUCCAUACGACACCGUCUGAGCUGUAGCGUCACUGCACGCGCCAGCUUGCUUUCGCCGGCUCGAAUCAUUCCUGCGGCAACACCGGUUACAUCUUCCACCUUCUUUAGCCUCGGACACGUCAUCGUCUUCCGCGCGUUCCUAACACCGAACCAAAACGCAGCUGCUAAAAUCACCUUCGUCCCUCUUGUUUUCCCCACGGCCAAAGCGAGUGACGCCAACGAAACGACUUCGUUUCUUGAAUCUCCGUUUAGUCCUAACUCAUCACACCAAUUUACAAAAAUGCCAUCCCCCACGGCAUUGACUCCCUUUUCCCUCCUUCGCGGCCCUCUGUUCACGGUGGUCUUCCUCGUCGUCGACGACGAUAGCUCGGAGGUGGAGAUAAGGUCCAGAGACGAGCAGCAAGACGAAGCUGAAGACGAAGACGUUCCACAACCACAGCAGGAGCAGGUUAUUUUAGCAGGCCAAGGGGAAAGAGAACCAGAGACGAUAUCUCCGGUGAGGGAACUGCAACCAGGGCAGAUGAUGCGGCGGACAUGGCGGGAAAAAAGGAAGUUAGAGGCGUGGAACUUAACGUCGCAGGAGCGGCAGAGGUAAGCGGAGUCUGCGUCGCAGUGGAGGUGUGCUUCUGCACCACACAGCUCACAGAGUUUCACCAUCUUCGUUUUAGUGUAUUAGUUAAUGUAUUCUUCUAUGAUGAUGGGAAGAGAGAUUUAAAGGAGGAGAUGAUGUUUUAUUAAUGAUUGAAGGAGAAUAACACGGUGGAGCUUUAUGGUUCAUAGUUGACGAUAGAAUAUAGUGGCUAUUAUUUAUUUAUAUCUUUCUUCUAAUAGAAACUUACAUCAGCCAGAUUUUUAUUUUAAUAAUUUUAUUAGUUUAAUAAAUAUUGCAAAUUGGGAAAUGAAUGAGUGGUGUUUGGAGAGUUGGUUGAAUGUGACGUGUCGAGAGGUCUUGAGGUCAGUGAGAUCUGUGGCUAUUUUUAAACCAUUGCACUAGCCGCCGUGUCUUUUCGUGUGACGUGGAGACUUUGUCAACACUAAAGUCUUUGCUCACUGCAAUUUGCCUUUUGUUUUUGUUUUGUUGCUUCCAUUACAUUUCUUCUGCAUUGUUUCUGUCUUUUUGUAGUAUUAUACGUACAAUACUCGACCUUUAGAUUCUUUGUUUCCGGUCACAUGUGCUUUGUUUUGUUAUUAAGUUUCCUAAUACGGUUGGAGUAAAAGUCAGGAAAUAGUGAGAGAUUUAAAUUGAAAAAUCUUUCAUUUAAACUUUGAUAAGGACUUAAUACUCCUCUAAUCUUAUUUUCCAAGGGUACAAACAGACAAGGUAUAAGGUAAGGCAAACCUGUUUGGUUAUUUUGUCAAACUAUUCCAACAAGUGCCUAUCUUGAAAUCAAUUUUUUUUAAUGGUUCCUUGAAUACAUAAAGCAAAGACCAUAAUUAAAAGGUAUUAAUUUAUGUAUAAGCCAAGCCACGGUACUUGGUUAAGAAACUUCCACAGCGAGCGUGCUUACUUAUGUUCCAUCCGACCAAAGCGCCUCUUGCGUAAUGAAACUCUUGGUUUGCGUUGCUGCACGCUGUUAGAUUGUCCGGGAUUCACCUGAUCCUUCCAGGGCACUAUCUUAAGUGGAUGAGCUUCUGUGUUGAACACCCACUCGUCCAGGGGAAUAACCGUUGCGGGCGAGAAGAGGAGAUAGAGAUACUUAAGCGUCUCAGCAAGGAAGAAACUUUGCAUCUUGUUGUCCUUAACUCCUGUAUUAACCUGAAAAUGGUCGAGAAUCUACCAUCAGAUUAAACUUAAUAAUGCUGGUUCUAUUUAGGAGCCUAAGGAGAACGAACUUACAUCUUUCAAACCAACAUAUCCAGUUUCUAUGCGUGAGUUCUUCUCAAACGCUUCAAAUAUAUUCCAUCCCCAGUCUUGAUAUGUCUUGUUACCAGUUAACCUCCAGAGGUAAAACAGUGAUUCAACAUUCUCUGGCCUCAAGAUGUUCGACGACGCCCCAACACUCAUGUCCUGAACCAUCACAAUGUUUAUGAAUUGUAUGCUAAACAGUGUAUAUGGAAAAGACAAGCAAAGGACAUACACUCCCAGAGUUGAAGACAUAAUUCUCUCCAGCUAGUUUUGUUGGUGUUGAUUCGUAGAAAUUAUAACAUGUCCAUGCAAGCUGCAAAUAAGUGGGAAACACACAAAAAUAAAGUCUAAAGCUCCAACAGCUACUGAUGAAGCUAUGACCAAAGUCCAUUCAAGACAUAGCUUUACCUCUUCAGCAAGGGUGAGAAACUUCUUUGCUUGAGUAGGAUCAUCAUACCCAGAUGAUCCUAAAGCCAGCAUUCCAGGAGCAAAGCAAGCCAAUUCAUCCAUCUGAAAAUUGAUGAGAAAGAAACAUGAGAACUGUCAAUCUAUUACAACAGCACCAAUGAUUAUAUUGGUUAUACCUUAUGGGUCAGAGAACUUCCACUCUUCUCACAGAUAUAUGUAAAGGAGGAAGGUGUUGAUUUCUUAACCAAGCUUAGCAGACCAUUCAUUGAUUUCUCCCACAUAUCUCUGAUGCCAAGAUUCCAACACAUAACAAUAUACUACCAAAUAUCAAAACUACAAGACCAGCAAAGAAAAGAAGAAAAUAUAUGUUCUUCCUGUCUUUGACUACAUAUAUAUAUAUGAUCAGUAGAAAAAAAGUUAAAACUUACCUAUAGUGUUUCACUGUUAAAGUUUUGUUCCCAAACACCCAAACUUUAAGUAAAUAUUCAUAAAAGCUGCAAGCAAAAUAUUAGCAGUCACAUAUCAACAAACCAGAGCAAAACCAGAAGGGAUCAAUUGAAAAAAGAAACCUGUCUCCCCCGCCACCAAAUGUUAUGGUCGAGUAUGAUGGUUCAGCUGUAUCGGGAUUUAUAUAGACUGGAAGUAAACCGUCAGCAGGGUAGUUCUUAUUUAGUACUGUAAUGACCUUUUCUACCUGAUACACAGAGUUACAGACAGGUCAAACAUACCAAUCAGUAUGUAAUAUGUGGUAAGUUAAUCAUGCUACAAGUUGAUGGAGAAACACACCUUUUGCUGAUAUUUAGGGUCCCCAGUCCUCUGAGAAAGGGCAAUAAACUCGAGCUGUUCAGUACCAGAUUCUGCAAGAUUACUGUCUCCCUAGUACAAGAAACAUGUUAAAACACAAUCAACUACACUUAUAUGCCACAUGUAGAAGUUGAUAAUAUACAGUUAAGGCAUUAAGUAAUGUAGGAGUUACCCCUCCCCAUGUAGGGUUGUGAGCGUUUCCAUGUCUCAAGUUGAUAAUGUUAUAUGGAAUGCCAGAUGGAGUGUCCCAUGCAGGCAAUAAUCUAUCUGCUAUAUCCUUAGCCUUUUCAAGGAAAAGUUUAUCCCCAGAAAGAUCAUACGAGCUGAGAAGCCCUCCCACCACUCUAAAAGCCAACAAAGAGAAAAAACAUAAGCACAAGUUGACUCUUCUUAGUACAGGUAAGAAAACAACAUGGUAAACCAAGUUAUAUGCAACCUUAUGGUUGUCUCGAACAUACUGGCGUCAUAGUCCUUGUCGAAAUCUAAUGACGUUGCAACCCACCUGCAAAUGAAAGACUUUAAGCAUUUAUAUCAUGCCUAGAAAAUGGCGAGGAUGGAAGAGAAUCUACUCACUCUCUAGCUUUCUGAAACUGCUUGUGUAGACCCAUUAUAUAGAGUGUAUCUAAUGCAUCUAUUAUAGUCGCUCCCAGGCCACCAAAGCUGUCAACGCCAUCUUUCGUCUGGGGCUGAUAAUGCAAAAAAGAAAAGAAAAGAAAAGCUUCACACACAUAUAUGUUUUGGUAUUGCAGCUUAAGCAUACAGUUUCAGAAGAAGCUGUACCUGAAGCUCGUCUUUUCCCCAAGCAUACUUUUCAUAUGAACUCCAAGCAUGAAUCAUUGCUUCUUUUACUCUCUGCCUUCGCCCGGCAUCAACCGGAUCUUCCUUGACACUCUUCAGUGUCCUCAUAGUUGCAUCCUCCUUGACGCUUUUUACAUCUCCCAGCUAGCAGAAAUAUAUAAAAAAAUUCGAGAGUUAUAUAAAGAUCCUAAGUUUCUCAAAAUCAAAUGAGCUCUUAAGUGUUUUUGGGUCUUCUUACCAUCCGCUGCAACCGCAAGGCUUGUUUAUUUAACUUCGAAACUUCAAGCUGGCAAUGAUAAGAUCAUAACAAAGGUCAUGACAGGGUGUGUUCUCCACUUGUUUACCAUGUUCCAUAUUUGUUUAGUUGGCAGUUAUUUACUUGACAUCUUUUGUGUAUUUAAGUGAUCAAGUGUUUUAUUCAAUGGGAAUGAAAAGAAAAUUGCAGUAAAUUGUUUUUUAAGUCUUUGGGAUCCAUCAGGCAACAAAUACGUGCAAGAAAAAAUCACAUAAGAAGAUACAUUCUCAAUUCAAACUGAGAGUCUAGGAUUGGAUUAGCGUCUAUCAGUUGAGCUAUGAUGAUAGAGCUACUAUUCGAUAGAGAAGAAAAGUACCUCGUGAUCUUGCCCACGCGUUUGACGGUCCCAAGCGACCAUGGAAACAGAGAUGAAGAGGAUGAAAAGCAAAGCUAGACGCAUAGUCCUUCCGAGAUUAUAAGCAGGGUUGAAGUACUUCCAUAUCCCAUGACCAGUAACCAGUCUACUCCUCGCCAUCUCGAUUAGAACUUUGAGGGAGAUCCGGUAAGAAUCAGUUAGGAAGAAGAAACAUUGGUUUGUUUGUUUUUCAAGAUAGAAAGAGAAAAACCAAACAAGUUGGGUGAUGAAAAGUGUCGGAAAGAAUAUAAAUAGAAAUGAGCGUCCAUUUAUUUUUAUUCUUUAGUUUAUAUAACGCUGACCGCCGGUUUAGAUCUUUGGCUGUGUGUAUAGAAGUGUGAGACGGGUUACAUUGACUAGCUAGCACCCCAUCUUUUGUUCUAUCAAAACACCGUGUGUUUGGGAUUUGGUUCUCAAGAAUUUUCAACUGACUUGACUUGAUCAAUAAAAAAAAAGAAAAAAGAUUUGACUUUUACGGCAAAGACUAUAAUAAGCUAAUCAAAGCUAACCGGCCCUGGGUGGAGGUUUUGUUUGGGGAACCAAAGCUAACCCAAAAUGUUUGUUAAUAUUAUUGUUUUUUUCUUCUAGAAUCUUAGAGAUAGAGAUACAAACAUGGCUAGCCUUAGCCCUAAGGCGUAAGUUUAGCUCACCAAGCACCAAUAAAAUUCAAUUUUUGUAUAUAAAAUCUUAUAGGAUAAUGGUUCAUGAACAAAAUUUCCUUUUUACACUUUACGGGGUCAACUGAAUAUAAAUUUAAACAAUUAGCUCAAAACAAACAUAUGAAAGUUUAAUUUUUAAUAUUUAAACAAACAUGGUAAAAAAUAAUCAAAUUUUGUUUUUUUUCUUGUUAAAGUAGGGCUAUUAAUAUUUACGCAAUAUUCAAGUAAAAUUUAUCUUAUACAAAUCAGAAAUGAGAUGUAAUUAUGAAAUGUGAUAAUAUUUGUUCAAUAUGUGGAAAAUCAGACAAAUUCAUUAUUUUUGAAUGUUCUUCAGCAUUACAAACCACUAUUCAUUAUCUUCGAUUUUUUCAGUCCCACCAUCAUAUCCAUCAGUUCUCUCAAUUAAUGGAAUUUAUACGAACACAAAUUCCCUUUUUUCUCUGGAACGAUUGAUGACUUCCAUAAUAACGAGACAAACUCUUAUUCAUGAACAACUUUGGGAUAAGGUCUUAUAUCUCAGUGGUUUCUCUUCUCACAGACGACUGUUAGAGGUCGCAUGUUCAAUUCUCUAUCGGCGCAGUGGUACUAUAACUCUCCAAAUAAAUCUUAAGAGAUUUUUCUGGAUUUAGAGCACCGCUUGCGGUAGAGUCUAAUCACUAUUGAAAGAUUACUCAAAACAGUUUUUGUUUAAAAAAAAACUUAGUUCAUUUGAAAACAUUGAAUGCAAAAUUGUUUAAAAAUAUUGAUAGAAACGUCACUGUCCGACAUGCAUAAAGAGAAUGUAGUGUUUGGCAUGGAACAAAUGAAGGUAGUGGAAUAUAAGCUCAACAAAAUGGCCAUCUUCUAACCAGCAGUUUAAAUAUGAAAAGUAUCUGCUUAGUUAAAAGUUACCGGUGUAACAAAUUUGUAUUUAAAACUUUUAAUUAAAAAUUUAAGUGUAUUAAUUAUUAUUUUAUCUAAUUUAUAAAUGAUCUGUUUUAGUUACUUCAAAUUUUAAUAUGUAAAAUUUGUUUUAAAAAACACAUUAAUGAUUGACAUACACAUGUUAAUAAACUAAUUUAAUAUUGUGACUGGUGUUAUAACAAUUUUAUUUAUAAAUAUGUAAUUAUUUUCAGCAUUAAUUUUUAUUAUCAUGUGUCACGUUUAUAUUACUUAUCAAUUUCGAUGAACCAAAUUUUCUAUAAAAUAUAUGUAAUUUCACCCAAUAAAUCAAAUUAUUCUAAAAACAUGCAAAUUCUAAUUUUUAUUAUAGUUAACAAAAAUUAAAAUAUCUCUAAAACAAAUAAAAUUUAUCUAGGAUAUUCAUCUUAAAAUCAUGAAACAGAUUACAAACUUUACAAAGUUGAUAUAUAUUAGAAAAUCAGGUAAGUUGGAAGGAAAAAAAUAUGGGAGUAUCACUCAAUCUUUUUUUUUUUUUUUUUUUUUUUGGUUUUUAUAAAAAGNNNNNNNNNNNNNNNNNNNNNNNNNNNNNNNNNNNNNNNNNNAUUUUUUUUUUUUUUUUUUUCUUUUGGUUAUGAUAAAAAGUCCUCUUGUUACAAAAUCUUGAGAAUGGAUACAUUUCACAUUGAGUAUGAAGUAUAUGACUUUACCUCUAAUUCGUGGAAGAAUAUUCAUGAAACUCGAGACUUGUCCAUUUCACAGAUAGGCAGUCAUGCGUCUGUGAAUGGAAAUACUUACUGGCUUGGUUUGAGUAAAGAAGAUCCAAGUGGGAUUAUCUUAAUAUGUUUUGAUUUCUCAAUAAGAGAUUUCGAACUGUGUCUCUUCCAGAGGAUUCAAAAGGUCAUUUUAAUCACAGUGAUGUGGCUUUAUCAGUGACUAGAGAAGGGCAACAACUUUGUAUGUUAGCUACUCAAGUAUUUGAAUUUACUAAAACAAACAUAUCGGUGGCAACUAAAAGUGAGAGUACUGGAGCUAUGUCAUGGAGUAAGUUCCUAAUAGUGUCGGGAAGAGAUGCAUGCUAUCGUCCUCAGCCUAAUAAUAGGAUGAGUUUCUUGGUCGACCAGGAGAAUAAAGUUGUAGUGUGUUGUAAUAACAACAGAGUUUCUAAUAACAGGAUACACAUUUUGGGAGAGGAUAAAUACAUAGAAGUGUAUCAUACAGAAAAAUCUUCUAUCCCAAUUCUCUCUCUCUCUCUUGUGCUUGACGGAAUCCAUAAGUUUUGGAGUUUUAUUUGCUAUUUAAGAUAAAAUAUGCAUUCAUUAUUUCUCUAUUCACAUUGUUGCAGGACAGUAAUCCUGAGGCUUUGGGACUCGUAGCCUGUUGUAAUCUCGCAGUCUUUUUUAGAAGCUCACUCAUCAGACGAUGAAAAUUACCGUUGCUCAGUCUAUCGAAUCUGUGAGUUUGAUAAUUUUCACAAACUUUUUCUUGUAUCUUUAAACUUCAUUGAUACCACAUAAGAUAUAUUGACUAAAAGGCUGGACACGGGCAACUAGUACUUUGUUUCUAAACAAGUACUGCUUAUCAAGUACCAAAAAGAAUCAUGUAAAUUACCUGAUUCGCUUGCUGCUUGUCAGAAUCUAAUAUUUAUUUUCAAAAUACUUGAUUACUUACAAGUAAUUGAAGUCAAAAAUAUAAUCUUGUACAAAGGCAAUAAUAUGAGAUUUGUUAUCUUUUUAUCAAAUACGUUUUAUUUUUAUUAAAUCCAAUAUUUAUCUGCUAUUACAAUGCAAAUAAGAAAUAUUUUUUUCACAAAUAACAAAUAUUUUUAAAACAGGUGACAAGUAUUUUUAAAUGUACACAAGUAACAAAACAUGAUACUUGACUCGUAUUUGCAAGUAAUAAAAUUUGUUGGUUUGUUAUUGGAUUUUACAACGACAAGUACUUUGCACUUGAUUUUUUAAAAUUGGAUUGAGUAAAUCCCCUAUAUAUUAAUUGAGGAACAUUUGAAAAGAUGUAACCUCAAUUUUGUAUUAAUUAAAAGAGGCCCCAAUGCAUAGGUGGCACUCAAUUAGGUAGUCAAUUAUAUUCAAUUGAAAAAUAAGUAGGUCCACAUUCGAUUUUUAUAUAUUGUUAGAUACAUAAGUUGGUCAAACUAUAUGAUAUAAUGAUAUGAUAUGUUAUUUUCUUUCCUUAAAUAAAACCUACGGAAUUACCAUAAAUGACUAAUAUAUAUAUAUGACAAUCAAUGAUUUUAAUAAUAAAGAUUUGAUAACAAUUUAUAUCUCCUCCAUCAUUUUUUGUUUAAUUUUAUAUUAUUAAAAUAAAUUAAACAAUCAAAUUAGCAAUAAAAAUAAAAUUUAGAUUUUUUCGUAUAUGUUAUAUUUUGAAUUUUUAAAAACGACAAUAAAUGACUAAAACUAUUAAAAUUAUUAUGUUAAAAAUUAAUGAUCAAUGGUUUAACAUUUUUAUUAUAAGAAGAUACACAUGAUUUUAAAACCAUAUGAGUAAAAAAUAUCAUUUAAUAAUAAAAUAAAUAUAUAUAUAGAUUAAACACUAUAUACCAUAAGAUUACAUAAAUAUUUUAAUAUUAAAACUUUCAAUGAAUUUUCAAGAACAUUUAUAAAUUAUAAACUUAUUAAAGAUUUCAGAUUGAAAAUUUUGUUAUCGAUGAUUUAAAUAUUUUGUUAUAAAACGAUAUGAAUGAUCAUAGAACCGUAUGAUUAUAAAUUCUUAUUUAAUAAAUAACUAUACAAAAUAUAUUAUUCUUAGAAAAAUAGGUUGGUCCAUCUUAACUUAUAUUACACUUUUUAUUAAACUAACUAUCGAAUUGAUAAAUAACGUACCAAAAAAUGUUUUGCAAUUUCCUUAAAUAAAAGCUACGAAAUUACCUAAUAUGAUUAACGUAUAUGUGAAAAUUAAUUAUAAUGAAUAAUAAUCAUUUGAUAACAAUUUUUGUAUCUUAGUUCUUUUUUUUUUUUAAUUUUAUAUUAUUAAAAGAUAUUUAAAAAUCACAUUAAAUAUAUAAUAAAAACAUUUAUAUUUUUUCUUAUAUGUUAUAUUUUGAAUUUUUUAAAACGUCUAUAAAUUAUUAGAAAUUUGAAGAUCUCCACUCUGAAAAUUUUGUGAUCAAUAGAUUAUUUUUUUGUCAUAAUAAGUUACAAAUGAUCAUAAAAUUGUAUUAAUAUGAACUUUUAUUUAAUAUUAUAAGAAGAUACACAUGAUUUUAAAACCAUAUGAGUAAAAAAUAUCAUUUAAUAAUAAAAUAUAUAUAUAGAUUAUACUAUAUACCAUAAGAUUACAUAAAUAUUUUAAUAUUAAAACUUUCAAUGAAUUUUCAAAAACAUUUAUAAAUUAUAAACUUAUUAAAGAUUUCACAUUGAAAAUUUUGUUAUCGAUGAUUUAAAUAUUCAGUUAUAAAAUGAUAUGAAUGAUCAUAGAACUGUAUGAUUAUAAAUUCUCAUUUAAUAAAUGACUAUAUAAAAUAUACUAUUCUUAGAAAAAUAGGUUGGUCCAUCUUAACUUACAUUAUAUUUUUUAUUAAACUAACUAUCGAAUUGAUAAAUAGUCUACCAAAUUUUUUUUUUGCACUUUCCUUAAUUAGAAGCUACGAAAUUACCUAAUAUGAUUAACGUAUAUAUGAAAAUUAAUUAUUAUGAAUAAUAAAUAUUUGAUAACAAUUUUGGUAUCUUAGCUUUUUUUUUUUUAAUUUUAUAUUAUUGAAAGAUAUUAAAAAAUCCCAUUAAAUAUAUAAUAAAAACAUUUAUAUUUUUUCUUAUAUGUUAUAUUUUAAAUUUUUCAAAAUGUCUAUAUAUUAUUAGAAAUUUGAAUAUUCCCACUCUGAAAAUUUUGUGAUCAAUAGAUUUUUUUUAUUUAUAAUAAGUUACAAAUGAUCAUAAAAUAUAACGCAUAUGAAUUUUUAUUUAAUAAAUAUUCAAACUAAAUAAUAUAUAUAUAUAUAUAUAAAUACUAAUGAUUUAAAGCAACAAGAUUGGCUGAUCAAUUUAGUCGUCCAGUUGAAAUCUUUCAAAAGUAUGUGAAAGACUAAAGUCAAAGUAAAUAUAGAUUUAGAAUAGUAGUUAUAUUUUACUAAUCGAAAUACCGAAAAAAACCGAACCGAACCGAAACCAACCCGAUAUCCGGAUUGAACACCCUUAAUCCAAAUGAAGCCAAACUAUUAUUUCAUUCUCCAAAAUAUAAUAAAAAUAAUAACUUAAUCCCGCGCAAAGCGCGGGUCUUAUCCUAGUAACAAGUAUAAACCAAGUAAAUAAGUAAGUAAUCAUGCCGCCCCUGAUUAAAAUCAUAAUAGUAGAUAAUUCAGUAGUUACAUAGUAAUACAUAAAAAAGUCCAAACAAUGAUUGGUGAUGUCGUGCAACCCAAGUGACCUUAAGUCGUACACACGUUCACCACCAUGUUUAAUAAGAACUUUCUCUGCAGCUUCACUAUUAUCUUCUUGAUUAUUCAAUAAAAUGUUUCUUUUUACAAAGAAUUGAGCUAAAAAAGUUUAUCAGCUAGAUCUGGGAAUAAGGAAUAAUAAGAAGUAAUAUUUAAAUAAUGAAAUUAUUUAUGUAGAUACAUGCCAUGUUAUUAAUAUGAGUGGUGAGAGAUGAUGCCAUGUUCUUUCCCGGGAAAACCUCUUUUUUUCCUCUUUCCCACAAAAAGAAAAACAAACGUUCCGUAACUUUUGCCAAAAAAACCAGACCAAAUAUAGUAAUGUCGUCAUUGAAUUGAGUUCUCGGUUUCACGGUAAUAGAGAGAGAAAGUGGUUUCAGUUUUUUGUUACCUUUCUCCUUCUUUCUUCUCACGAGUUUGGCCUUCUCUCUCGCCAAAUUAAACAACGACCUUGAUCAGAAAAGGUCGUUUCUAUUUGAAAGAGGAAGAAGAAGAAGAAGAAGGUAGAGAAAGCUGGGUGAGACCAAGGAAGGAAGGAUGAGCACCACGUCCAGCAAUGGAUUGCUCCUCACGUCAAUGUCUGGACGACAUGACGACAUGGAAGCUGGAUCUGCCAGAACCGACCAUUCUGAUCACGAGGAGCUUGAACACGAUCCUGAUGAUCCUUUCGACCUUGAUAACACCAAGAACGCCUCUGCCGCAUCUCUCCGUCGCUGGAGGGUGUGUUUAUUUUUUUCUUUUCUUUUAGUUAUGCGUUUGAUUUGAGAGAUUUGAUCGUGAGUCUUGACAUGGAAUCGAUUUGUGAAAACUGCAGCAAGCGGCACUUGUGUUGAAUGCAUCACGUCGGUUUCGAUACACUUUGGAUCUGAACAAAGAGGAACACUAUGAGAAUCGAAGGAGGAUGAUCAGGGCACAUGCUCAAGUCAUAAGGGUUUGAAAGCUUUUUUGAUCUCAUCACCAUUUCUUGUUCUGUUCUUUGUUUCUUGAUCUCACAAAUCAGUAAUUUUUCUUUAUGAAUCAGGCAGCAUUGCUUUUUAAGUUGGCUGGAGAACAACAAAUUGGUGGUAUGUGGCUCUUUUGACAUAAGUCAGAACAAUUCUGUUUUUGUUUUCUUAUAAUCUCUGAUUUCUUCUGUGAUUGCAGCGUUUGGAUCAUCAUCAUCAACAACUCCAGCAACUUCAACUGGUAACUUUGACAUUGACCUUGAGAAACUUGUGUCAAUGACCAGGAACCAAAACAUGUCCAAUCUACAGCAACUUGGAGGGGUGAGAUCUUGCAUGCAUUUUUUUUGUUAUAAAAUGAAAAGGAUUUUCAUGAAACUAAAAAAUUAACUACUACCUUUUUUUAGGUCAAAGGUGUUGCAGAGAAGUUGAAGUCAAAUCUGGAGCAAGGAAUUGAGGAGGAUGAGAAAGAGGUGACAGAUAGGAAGAAUGCAUUUGGAUCUAACACUUAUCCAAAGAAGAAGGGCAAAAGCUUCUAUGUAAGCAAAUAUGAGUUGUUGUUUUUUUUAAGAUUGUUUAUAAUGAGCUUGUGGAUAACAACUCAUAAGUUUUUAAACUUUAUUUUGUCCAAAAGAUGUUCCUCUGGGAAGCUUGGCAGGAUUUAACUCUAAUCAUCUUGAUCAUUGCGGCUGUAACAUCACUGGCACUGGGAAUAAAGACAGAGGUGUGUUUUCAUUUCAUAUAAGUUUCUUCUUAAUGUUCCAAACUUGGAACUCACUUCUGUCUACUCUACUUUCUUUUGGUUACUACUUCAUCAGGGUCUGAAAGAAGGUUGGCUUGAUGGUGGAAGCAUUGCGUUUGCUGUCUUGCUUGUCAUUAUGGUUACAGGUAUGAACAUGUUUUUUUGUCUAUUUUCUUAUUUUGUGUAUUUGUAUUUUAUGUCAAACAUUCCUAAUCCUGCUCUCAAACUUUUGAUUCUUUCAGCUGUUAGUGACUAUCGCCAAUCUCUUCAGUUUCAAAACCUCAACGAUGAAAAACGAAAUAUACAACUAGAGGUGCUUGCUUUAACAUCUUUGGAUUGUUUCCAAAUUGAAAGUUUUUUGAGCUUCUAACUAAGGAAACAAAAUACUCUUACAGGUCAUGAGAGGAGGGAGAACAGUGAAGAUUUCAAUCUAUGACGUUGUUGUGGGAGAUGUUAUACCUCUUAGAAUAGGUGACCAGGUCCCUGCGGACGGAGUGCUAAUUAGUGGCCAUUCUCUUGCCAUUGAUGAAUCUAGCAUGACCGGUGAAAGCAAGAUUGUGAGUUCAUCCUUGUUCAAUAUGUACUCAUCUUCUCUUUAUAUUUUCUAACACACAUACUUUUGUUGCAGGUUAACAAGGAUCAAAAAUCUCCUUUUCUAAUGUCUGGUUGUAAAGUAGCUGACGGAGUCGGUAGUAUGCUGGUAACUGGUGUUGGAAUCAACACUGAAUGGGGAUUAUUGAUGGCAAGUAUCUCAGAGGAUACUGGUGAAGAAACUCCCUUACAGGUAUGUCAUCUUGAUCACUUUGUUAUUAGUUUAUGGUCUACACAAUGUCUUGAAGAAGCCUAACCAUUCCUUUUUUUUUGUAAUCUUAUAAUAGGUGCGGUUAAAUGGUCUUGCAACUUUCAUCGGUAUAGUGGGGCUCACCGUGGCUCUUGUUGUCCUGGUAGCUCUUCUUGUGAGGUAACCUUGGUCAAUAAAAGUUUUGCAUUACAACUUCAUGCGAUGUUGAGGGUUAUAUAACCUUGAGUUAUUUUUUUAGAUAUUUUACUGGAACUUCCCAAGAUUCUAAUGGAGCAACUCAGUUUAUCAAAGGGACGACUAGUAUCAGUGACAUUGUAGAUGAUUGUGUAAAGAUAUUUACAAUCGCAGUAAGUAUUCACUCCACAUCCGUGAUUUUCUUAUUCGAUAGACAUAUGAGUUAAAGUUAACUCUGGUAAUUGUUUUAGGUUACUAUUGUGGUUGUGGCAGUGCCUGAGGGACUUCCCCUAGCAGUUACCCUUACGUGAGUCUUACUUAAUAUAAUCUACUCAGAAAAUAAUUAACUAAAACAUAGUUGUUGAUCUGCUUUUUAUUGACCCCAUGUGUGCAGUUUGGCUUACUCAAUGCGGAAGAUGAUGGCAGACAAAGCUUUGGUAAGAACCAAAACGUGUCUUCUCGCUUCAGUGAUUUCUUGUUGAUUAUUGUCUGACCACGUUCCGUUUGCUAACAGGUUAGGAGGCUUUCAGCAUGUGAAACCAUGGGCUCAGCAACAACAAUCUGCAGUGACAAAACUGGAACUUUAACUUUGAAUCAGGUCAGUAAUAGCAUCAAUGCAAUGAGAGUUUUUUUUUUCAUAUUAAAACCAUCAUAUACGUGUAGUUUGCUAAUUUUACCCCUUUUUCAAAAUUAUAGAUGACAGUGGUUGAGACAUAUGCUGGAGGAUCAAAGAUGGAUGUAGCAGACAACCCCUCUGGGCUCCACCCUAAACUUGUUGCCUUAAUAAGUGAGGGUGUGGCACAGAACACCACAGGAAACAUCUUUCAUCCCAAGGUUGGUUCUCUAAGCUCAUACUAAGGUUAUCAGAUGAUGGAUGGUUAGUGCUCAUGUUGUUUUAUUGUAGGAUGGUGGAGAGGUGGAGAUUUCUGGAUCUCCCACUGAGAAGGCUAUUCUAUCUUGGGCGUAUAAGGUAUCUCAAAUGUUUAUUUACUCUGGUCCUUCUUUGACAUAUUUUUCAUUAUGGGCAAUAUAUUUAAAGAAACUAUUGUUGCAGUUGGGGAUGAAAUUUGAUACCAUCAGGUCGGAGUCUGCUAUCAUCCAUGCUUUCCCUUUCAAUUCUGAGAAAAAGCGUGGAGGUGUUGCUGUUCUUCGAGUAAUUUCUUGAUCUUUUUCUCCAUUUAUAAGAUUAGGAAAUUAGUAAAAAAAUUUGGAGGCAUUGAAGUAAGUAUUGGUUCAGUUCACUACACACAUGCACAUCUUUUCAUUGCUACUCAAUGAGGAAGGUCUCUAAAAAUAUUGUGUGAAGCUGAUGAGGAGUAUAUUAACUCACUGCAGGGUGAUUCUGAAGUUUUCAUUCAUUGGAAGGGAGCAGCGGAGAUAGUUCUGGCUUGCUGUACACAAUUUAUGGACUCAAAUGGCACUCUGCAGCCCAUUGAUGACCAGAAGGUGAGGUGCCACAAAAAAUUGUAAAGAAAAUGUGUUAAACCACUUGAAGGACACAAUCUGUUAGCCUAAGAGGACUAAACAUUUGCCUAUACUAUCUUAUUUCAAAUUUCAAAAGUACUUAUGUUUGGAAAUUAUAUUACAGGAGUUUUUCAGACUUGCUAUUGAUGCCAUGGCGAAAAAUAGCUUGCGGUGCGUUGCUAUUGCAUGCAGAACGCAAGAGCUGAACAAAGUUCCCAAGGAACAGGAGGACUUGGAUAAAUGGGAUUUACCUGAAGAUGAAUUGACUUUGCUGGCUAUCGUUGGUAUAAAGGAUCCUUGUCGUCCUGGGGUCAGAGAAGCAGUGAGAAUUUGCACCAGUGCUGGUGUUAAGGUAAGCUCCUUUGCCUCUAUAAUGGAAGUUAAAUGUUACUGUAAUGUGGUGUAGCUGGUCAACCCAUCUGUAAUGUUUACAUGUGACAUUUGUGUUAUUUAGGUACGUAUGGUGACUGGAGACAAUCUUCAGACAGCAAAAGCAAUUGCUUUGGAGUGUGGUAUACUUUCUUCAGAUACAGAAGCCGUUGAGCCUACUAUCAUUGAAGGAAAAGUGUUCCGUGAGCUAUCUGAAAAAGAGAGAGAACAAGUAGCCAAGAGAAUAACGGUAAGAACAGUCAAAGGAUAAUGUGAGCUUACUGAGGCUAUAUUCAAAAAUUAACUUGCGGGUAAAAUGCAGGUGAUGGGUAGAUCCUCUCCUAAUGACAAGCUUUUACUUGUUCAAGCACUAAGGAAAAAUGGAGAUGUUGUUGCUGUCACUGGUGAUGGUACUAAUGAUGCUCCUGCUCUCCACGAGGCAGACAUAGGUCUCUCUAUGGGCAUAUCAGGAACUGAAGUUGCGAAAGAGAGUUCAGACAUCAUCAUUUUGGAUGACAAUUUUGCUUCAGUAGUAAAGGUUAGUCUUAGAGAAAAUAGAAAAUAUUAUUUUUAGAUUAUCCUUUAUGCCUUUCCUAAUAGUGUAACUCUGUUUACUUUUCUAGGUUGUUCGAUGGGGCCGUUCUGUGUAUGCAAAUAUUCAGAAGUUCAUACAGUUCCAGCUUACUGUAAAUGUUGCAGCUCUUAUAAUCAAUGUUGUAGCAGCUAUGUCUUCUGGUGACGUUCCUCUAAAGGCUGUACAGGUUAAUUAAUCUUCCCCUGCCUUUAGAGCUUGAUCCCGGAUGGUUGAACUUUUAAAACACGUUAAAGUGUGUUCUUUUGAUACAGCUGCUUUGGGUCAAUCUUAUUAUGGAUACUCUUGGAGCGCUUGCACUUGCUACAGAGCCACCAACCGAUCAUCUUAUGCACAGAACCCCUGUCGGAAGAAGGUGUAAUAAACAUCAUGAACAUGUUUUAUUCAAUAUUAUAGUGGAACAAAACUAGAUAUAUUGUGGUUUUUGUCUUAUAUUUGGUGAUGUUCCUGUGUCUGCAGGGAGCCUCUAAUUACAAACAUCAUGUGGAGGAACUUGCUUGUGCAGGUAAGUUGUUCAGAAAAUUAAGAUAGUACUAUCUUGAUGUUGAUUUAUUUACUAAAAUAUUUUUACAAAGUGCAUAUCUCUGAAACUGAUUUGAUGAUGUUGCAGUCAUUAUACCAAGUGGCUGUCCUCCUAGUUCUCAACUUUGCAGGCUUGAGCGUGCUUGGCUUGAAACAAGACAGCGACCAUGCACAUGCUGUGGAAGUCAAGAACACUAUGAUAUUCAAUGCCUUCGUUAUGUGUCAAGUAGGCAAAAUUAUCUCAUCUUUCAUCUCCUUGUUCUUAAAUCAUAUGGAUUGGUUUUAAUCAUGCAAGUCUUGCAGAUAUUCAACGAGUUCAACGCAAGGAAACCUGAUGAAAUGAAUGUAUUCAGUGGUGUAACUAAGAACCCUCUCUUCAUUGCAAUUGUUGGAGUCACUUUUGUACUUCAGGUAAGACAAUAACACAAAGCCUCUUUGUCUCUUUGACACUUGAUAACCUAUUGUGGUUGAAAAUGCAGAUAAUCAUUGUUACUUUCCUUGGUGAGUUUGCCCAUACCGUUCCACUGAGUUGGCAACUAUGGCUUGCUUCUAUUGUCAUCGGACUGGUCAGGUAGGUUCAUCAUUUUCUUCCAACUUGAAACUCAUAGUGGUCAAGGAAACUAUAAAAAAAAUCACCAAUUUAUUUUCUCUGUGCAGCUGGCCACUUGCAGUUGUUGGGAAACUGAUUCCUGUACCAAAGACUCCAAUGAGCAUCUACUUCAAGAAACCGUUCCGUAAAUACAAAGCCUCAAGAAGUGCAUAAACACAUUACUAGAGAUAUUCAUGUUCCUCAUACUGCAAUUACAGAAGCAAAUAACAGAUGAUGAUAUAUAACCUUGUGAUAAUUGGCCUAUACCUCUAACCUUCCUUUCUUUUAAAUGGUAAUAGUAUUUUCAAAUGUAUACUGCAAGGUCCAAUUCUUUUGUCGCUUUCCAUAUUUCUUCUUCUUCUUCUUGUAUGAUGUAAAAGUGCAACUGUGAAUUGAAUUGGAUUUGGGGUUGUACUAGUGGGAGUUUGGCUCAGUCUUCGCCUUUUCAAAAACUGUUGUGUUUACAUGGAGGAUUCUCUUUUUUUUUUUCUUUAUGGUUAAUACAUUCUAAAACAAUCUCUCACCGUUUCCUUAUGUUCAAUACAUUCUAAAAGGUUCGUUAAUGCUAAUACUACUUUCAAUGCAUUUCUCUUUUGCAUUUUUAUCAGUUUCCUAGUGUUGUUAAUAAAUAAAAAAGACUACAAAUACAUAAUCAGCAGGGCCGGUUCUGGAUAGUGAAACAUUUGCAACAGGCUUCCAAAUUCUUUUAAAAAACGUUACAUAUGAAUAGAUUCCGAAAAAAAAAUUUUAAAUCCCCAAAUUUGUGAAAAGAAAAAUUUUACAUAGACACAGCAACAUGCCUCCAAAAUCUCAGGGCGAUCCUGAUAAUCAACAAACAAUUUCUUUAAAAGAGUGUGCUAUCUUAUGUCUAACUUUAUAUUCUCCGAUUAUUACGAUAUUGUCCACUUUGGGCCUAAGAGGCAGGCCCGCAUAAAUUUACUUUUGGUUUCCAUCCCAAAAGGCCUCGUACUAAUUAGAGUUGGACAUCUCUUUAUAUAUUAAUCUCUUUAUAUAUUAGACACUCUUUGUCUAAUUCUCCAAUGUGGGACUUAGUUUGUUAUCUCACAAUCUUGGUUGAUCAACAAAGCAAAGUCUUGUUUGAUGACCACGAAACACAACUAUUUGUGUUGACGUGUCAUGUGACUUCAACAUCGAACAUCAUAGAGACCUGCAUGUUUAUGUGAGACUCUAACUAUUUGGGCUAAUUUCUAAAGGCCCAAUGGGUCGAAAGUGAGUUGGGAGUUGACUUUUAAUCUGAGAUCAAUCACUUGCGUUUCUCUCAAUCUGCAGCGACUCUCUCAGACAACUUUCGAUCUUCUUCUUCAUCUCAAUCUCGUCGUUUCGAUCGAUCAAAAGAAUCGGAGAUGGCAUCGACAGCGGCGGUUCCGUUCUGGAGAGCGGCGGGGAUUUCGUAUAUAACGUACUCAAACAUCUGCGCGAAUCUGGUCAGGAACUGUCUGAAAGAACCAUUCAAGGCUGAAUCCAUGAGCCGCGAGAAGGUUCACUUCUCCCUCUCCAAAUGGGCCGAUGGAAAGCCCCAGAAACCAGGUAUCUUCUUCUUCUUCUUCUUCACUCCCUCCUUUCCUCAGGAUCCUUGACCAAUGCUCUUUCUUGUUUGAUCGAGAUCUAGCUUCUUGUUUCUGUGUGAUUCUCUCUGUUUCAAGAUGGUAAAGAUUCCUACUUUAAUUAGAACCCAUCAAAACUAUGAUUGAUGAAAGGGAUUUUCAUUCUGAAAUGGCUCUUUUGAGCUCACAUUUGUGUUCGAUAUUUUACCUCAGUUUCGUUCAGACAGUGGACUUACACGUGUGUUGAUGUAACUUUUGUGUGGUUUUUUUUUGUUGACAGUUUUGCGGUCAGACGCACCUCAAGUUUGAGGCUUUUGAUCAAGAUAUGGUUUUCUGAAUGGGAUAAAAGGGAUGCUGUAACGUCUCUCUCUCUUUGGAUAUUUUGUUUCCUUUUUGUUGUAUUCGAUGAAAGAUUGAUACUUUGCCAAUCAAUAAUGCAAAAACAUGGAGCUUCUUCUGUUUCUUUCUUAAGACGAAUUAGUUUUUUGUGGAUUUCUUGAGUUGUAUGUAUCUCUUGUCCAUUUGAGUAUUAACUAUGGCCUUUCUCUAUAGCAAAUGAACCCUGAGUUCAAAUCUUAAGAAAUGAAAAGUAGAAAGAUGCUUAAAGAGUCGAUUAAGUGAUUUGACUUUCUCAAAAUCUGAUAUGUAAACGAAGGCCAGUGAGAUUCUGAAAUCGUCUCACAUUAGAAAAAUGUGAUUAUAAUUUAUGAAAAUUGAAAACUAACACACCAUAUAACUCGCUUUUGAUAUCACGUCCGUAAUCAACUAGCCUAAUGCAACAGUACACUGGCAUCAGUACACUUCAUGUUAUGACUGCAUCUGGCUCUGUUCCCUACAUAAGGCUCUGACCAAAAUGGUGUGUUUGUUCAUCAACCUAAGAACAGAGAAUGAUCAUGAUGGGAAAUGCUCAAGAAUUACAGCCAUGUGAUAGACCAUGAGAGCAGCAUUCCACAUAAAUGUAAUGUUAUUGAUGUCAUAGGCCAUGCAGUUAAAUGAAGUUGAUGAAAUGCAUCUGGAUGUCAUCAUGUUAUGAUGUUACGUAACGUUAUGUUAAUUCCUAGCUAACAUAGCAAAUGGAGUUUCAUUGGGGAUGGAUUAGUCAAAACGCUGAAAAUGAAUUCCCACAAAGUAAUGCGUUAAAGCAGCAACAAGACAAACAAAUGGGCAAACCGAACUCCUAUAGAAUUAAUGUAUAUAUGUAGCAAAACUAAUAAGAGCUGUCACAUGUUAUAUUUGAUGAGUUCAAACUAUAUGCAUCCGAGCAAGAAGCAAUUUUGAUACUUAAAAUGCCAAUUAUGGUAUGGAUGCAAAAUGCAGUUGUUGGAAGAUGAAGAAGAGAGUUAACCACCACCCUUCAAGGAACUACAGAAACGUCAGAGCUCGUUCUUGUGCUACCAUACCAGUAGUUAAACACGUUUUUCUACCUAAGAAAAAUCCAUCUGCUUGUUCUCACCAACUAUAUAUAGGUUCAUCAAGUUUCAUAUCUUCUUCUGCAUCUCAUCACUUCACGAGUCCCAGAUUUUUCACUUGCUGCUCUUUCAAGAAGUUGCUUCAUCCCUACAAGAGGUAACUUUGAGCCAUUAAUUUAUCUCUUCUCCCAUCAUAAUCAUGCUCGAAUGACUCAAAAUAUUUUCAUCAUAAGCUAUAUAUGUUCUUAUAUGGUCCAUUUUAAUUUGCUCCCAUCUUUCGUGGCCUCUACGUUGCAUAAUCUUUUUUGUUUUAGUCAUAGCCGUAUAUAUCCAUCCCCAUGCUGAAACAAAUCUCAUUAAAUAUAACAGACUUAGAAAAAACAUGCAAGUGUUGCGACAUAUACUUUCACAGCUUUGCAUUUUCCACACGCGCACUCCCUGAGCGCGUGGAUACAUUUUUCUUGAUUUAACUUUUUUUUUCCUUUGAUCAGAAGAAGACAGAGAUACGGUUAUAGAAGCCAUGAAACGAUGCAAAUGUCCUGACCUCAAGAUACAACUCCCUAACCGCAACGUGGCUCUCGCUGUCCCUCUCCCACUCCCUCCUCCUUCCUCAUCCUCCUCCUCCGCCGCCAAAAGUUUAUCCGAGCUAAAGAGCCUGCACCGAAUCGGAAGUGGCACCGGAGGAACGGUCUACAAAGUGAUCCACAGUCCCACCUCGCGCCCCUUCGCUCUCAAAGUGAUCUACGGGCACCACGAGGACAACGUAAGGCACCAGAUAUGUAGAGAGAUCGAGAUCUUGCGAAGUGUUGACCACCCUAACGUCGUGAAAUGCCACGGCAUGUUCGAUCACAACGACGAGGUCCAUGUCUUGCUCGAGUUCAUGGACAAAGGGUCCCUCGAAGGAAGGCACGUGUCGCGAGAAAACGAGCUCGCUGGUCUCACGCGCCAGAUUCUCAGCGGGUUGGCGUAUAUCCACCGCCGCCACAUCGUCCACCGCGACAUCAAACCGUCGAAUCUUCUCAUAAACUCGGCCAAUAACGUCAAGAUUGCUGAUUUUGGAGUGAGUCGGAUCUUGGCGCAGACCAUGGAUCCUUGCAACUCCUCCGUCGGAACCGUCGCUUACAUGAGCCCGGAGAGGAUCGACUCCGAUCAGAAUGACGGACGUUACGACGGUUGCGCCGGAGAUAUAUGGAGCCUUGGUGUUAGCAUCUUGGAGUUCUACUUGGGGAGGUUCCCUAUCGCUGUGAGUAGAGAAGGUGACUGGGCGAGUUUAAUGUGUGCUAUUUGUAUGAAUCAGCCGCCGGAAGCUCCGGCGACGGCGUCUGAGGACUUUCGUCACUUCAUCUCUUGUUGCUUGCAGAGUGACCCUCCUAAGAGGUGGUCUGCGCAGCAGCUUUUGCAGCAUCCUUUUAUAGUUAAAUCAAGUGGUGGUCCGAAUCUUCGUCAAAUGUUGCCGCCGCCGCCUCCGGCGUCUUAGUUUUUUUUUUUGCUUUUCUCUCCGGUGGUUGUGAUUGGUCAGGGGAGAAACUCGGUUUGAGUCUUGUGAAGCUGCUUGAACUCGUUUUGUGUUUGGUUGAUGAUAAAAUAUUUAUAUAGAUAGUUAUGAUUUGUGAAUGAAGAUGAGUUUGGCUUUGUUAUUAUUGUUCAUGUCAGGAAGUAAUCGAGGAUCUUCCAGAUUCAUUAAUAAAAAGCUUCUUAUUUUUAUUUCGCUUAUAGAGAGAAUCAUUGUAAAGGCUUCUGCCUUCUUUGUUUCUUUGUCGUGUAUGGUUUUAGAUUGUCUAAUAGUUGCGGAAAAGUUGAAAGUUUGUCUUGUCAGGAAAUCAUGUGACUCUCUUCUAAUUGGUAGAAUUCAUAUGAAAAGUUUUGUUUGUUUCUGACUUUGAGCAUGCAUGAAAAACCUCAGCUUUUCACCUGGUUUCUUGUAGUCUUAAUGAUUUAGUGAGAUUAGGAAUCUAUUCUUAUUCAAGUGUUCAGUUCAGGUUCUAGCGUCUCAGCAUCUACUAAGACAGUCUACUUCAUGUUUAUUAUGUUGGUCAUUAUGAACAAAAGGUUUCUUAUGCUCUCAACUUAAUGAUUCCUUCUUCAAGUUCUAUAUGACUGCUGCGAUAUUUCAGUUUCAGUAACUAGUUGUUUUAUUUUCCUUUAUAUAUUUGAAACUCAUGUUAUUUCAAGAUCCUGCUAUGGGAUAUUUAAUCUCGACUUCGACCUACAUUAAACUUCUCUUCUGUGCCACUUCCCACUCAUUGUCGCUUUAGUGUCGCUGUGUCGGUUUAGUUGCAAUUCCUCUUAGGAGGAUUGUCAAAUGAUAAUAGGAAAUGUAUCAUGUCGCUGGGGUAGCUUAGCUCUAGGUUCCAAACACAAACAAAAAAAACGAAGCCAGCGUUUAAUAUAUCAGAGUUUGGAAAUUACAAAGAUGAGGAUUUGGAAACCACCAAACUCUCCAUAAACUUUUCUCAAUCUUCCUGAAACUUUUAUACAUAUAGAAAGCAUAGCCUCACUAAAACACAGUCACAUGAGAGUAACUAAUACUUUAUAAUACUUUAUAAAAUAUAGAAAUGCGCUUGACUUUACAGGAUUGAUGUUUUGAAAUCAAAUCGGAUACCAAAUAAUUGCUUCUUAGUGACCUUAGCGUUGGAGCUUACACAUUUAUCCACAACUCUCUUAAAUCUAUUUAGGGUACUCAGACUCCAGUUUAGCUCGGAGUUCCUUCCUAAGAAUCUUUCCGGACACUGCUUUCGGAAUAGCUUCUAUGAAAAACACCAUCUUGAUUCUCUUGUAAUGAACCACCUACAUGUAAGAUUAUCACACCAUUCAUUUAAGACAUGCAAAAGUAUCCAUCUUUGUGUGCUUUGCGUUUGGAGAGUGGAAGUAAAAUCUUUACCUGUUUGUUGACAUAACUCUUGACAUCAUCUUCGGUUAAAUGAGACCCUUCUGAUCUAACCACAUAUGCUACUGGAACCUCAUCAGCAACUUCAUCCUUCAUCCUGAAAAUUCAAGCUUCAUUAGAAGCUACAAAUAGUGGUGCUUCAAACUGGAAGGUUUUAGAAUUGUGUUUUAAAAACUCACGCCACAACUGCAGCAUCCUCGAUGUAAGGAUGAGAAAUAAGUAAUGCUUCAAGCUCAGCUGGAGCCACUUGAUAGCCUUUGAAUUUGAUAAGUUCCUUUAACCGAUCAACAAUGAAGACCUCAUCGUCAUCAUCCACAAACCCAAUAUCUCCUGUGUGUAACCACCCGUCUUUGUCUAUGGUUAUCGCAGUAGCCUCCGGAUCAUUCAAAUAACCUAACAAUAACACACUCUUUUUCACCAUCAAAGUAUUUUUCCUAUGUAAGUAAAAUUAUUGAUUCGUUUACCUUUCAUGAGUUGAUCACCUCGGAUGCAUAUUUCGCCAGGUUUGUUGCGUGGUAAAGAGACUCCGGUUAUGGUGUCGACCACUUUCAUCUCGGCGUUUCUGAUCACAGUCCCGCACGCACCAGACUUGGUCUUGAAUGGGUUCUUUGCAAACGCUAAUGACUUAGCCACCGUUCCUGACUCAGUCAUUCCAUAACCCUGAAAACAUGUUUCCUUUUUUAGUUUAGUCAUUACAAAAAUGUGAAAACGACAACAGUUGACAAUUGUCUACCAUAAUAACAUCCAUACUGACGAAGACAGGAACUAACGAACCACAGCAAAAGUCAUCAAAUAAGUUCUGUCUGAAAAAUUAUAAUUAAAGUAAACGGAAAUUAAUGUGUGACAGUCUCAUCAACAUGUGUUUGUCGUCCUAGUUGAAUUAAAUUUGAUGGGUACUGUUAGCGUUUUAUGUAUGAUCCCACUAACCUAUCAAUAAGUCAACACUGGAGUUUAGUUUUCUCAACUGCAAUUAAAACAACUAUAAGCUCGAUCUGGAUGGGUGAUUCUUAUAAAGAGAUGAGUAAUGAAUGUGUCCCCAGUAAUGGACUAAACGGUGCAAAUAAUUUAUUACUCACAAAUUAUCUAAACUACAUUAUCUAAAGGCAAUGUUAGAAACCAAACAGAGAAAAUGCAGAACAAAGGGGGCAGUAUGAUCAGAGUGUUCUUUAUGUUGGAUUACGCGAUGUAAUAGAUGGAUCGAAUCCAAAGUUCUUGUCAAUGACAAAAGGCGUUUGACCACAAUAGAUGGCAGCCAAUACCAAGAUCGUUCUAGACUGUCAACGAAGUUGGAUAAGUUAAAGUAUCAAGACCAUGCUUGCAAUUGUGCAAGUUGGCAUCGUGUUAUUACUUUUUCUAGUUUCAAGUUCUUAAAAAUGUAUUUGUUAUUGUUUUUUCAUGUAAGCUUUAACAACUGUAUUCAAUCUUAAUGAAGAUAAUAUUUAGUCGGAAAAAAAAGAAGAGUGUUCUUUAUUUGUCAGUGUGACACUAGACUCCAUUUAAAAGCUAAUAAUCAUUGUACUCUAUCUGUUUUAUAAAAUGUUUUUUAUUUAUUACUGUACCUUUUAAUCUGAUGCAAAAUUUGAAUAACAAGGAACUUGUUGGAUACUUUAAUGUUGGUUUUGUUAUUCUAUUAUCCUAUCUUAGGAACUAUUUAGUGAUAUUCAACCAACCGGACGAAACCAUAUUGGCUUAGGUACUAAUUUAUUGUCUUCAGUUUAGUUGUUUAAUUUUUUUUUUAAUCGAAGGUGCUAUGCGUUAAAUCGAGACUAAUCUCACAAUAAAAGUAGUCAACCUUAUUUUCUCAAGUCUAAAAUGAGUUCUAUAGUCGUUUACUAGACAGGAACUAAGAAACCGCAGGAUGAUAGAUAUAUCAUAUAUCUAGUCUAAUAACAUGAGCUACGUAAAGUUAAACUGCUUUUAGUCUAUAAUAUAGUCGGUUAAAAUUCUCAAGAAAAUAAAAUAUAUACAUAUAUAUAUAGCCGGAUAUUUUGGACCAAGCAGAAACUAGCCUAUAGAAAAGUACUUCAAUUAAUGUUUGACAAAUUUAUAAGACUAGAAUGAAUCAUCCUUGUCAGUUCUAACUAAACCAGCUAAACUGGUUAAUCUCUCAAAGUCUACCCGAAAUGGCAAAGUUUGACCAAAUAUGAACCAUCCUUCUAUCUGGUCGUCUAAAUGUACAGUUUGCUAACUUUUUUUUUGCUAUUAAUAGAAUAAAGUACACUUGUCAGAAUUUGGAAGUGUUGUUUUGAUGUGAAAUUCCAGAACAAUAUGUUUUUGUUUGGUUCCCCUUUAUAAUUCGCUCGCCCACCACGAGUUACUUAACUUUCAUCUAACUGGUUGACUUGCAUAGUCAAAGAUGACGAGAACGAUGGGUAGUCAAUUUCUACAUAUUAAAACAAAUAGUGUAUUAUUGGUACUCUAACAUUGCCAUUACAACCCGUAUAUAUUCGAAAUCUGAUGAUGCCGAUCUACACUGACAUAAAUAGUUUUAAAGCUUAGGUUUGGUGCAACCACCACUAAUUAAUCCAUUUCUUUAAUAUUUAGACCACGAACUUGUUAGUGUAUCUACUACCUUUUGGUCAAAGACUUUAGAAUAUGGAUGAUAAGUCCUCGACAGGAGAUAUACCUUAAGUUUGAUCUCAUUGAAAACUUGUAUAGUCAAAGAUAGUGACAACGAUAGCUAAUCAAACGACUACAUAUAAUCAAAUACUAUUGGUACCUCUAACAUCGCAAUUUACCAAUAAAUAUUCGAAAUUUGGUGACGCUGAAGAUCUAGACACUAACAUAAAUAGUUUUAAAGCUUAGGUUUGGUGAACCACCACUAUCAGUCCAUUUCUUAAAUAUUUAGACCACGAACUUGUUAGUGUGUCUAUUUAUACAUUAAAAUAUUCCAUUUGAUUGAUUAAUCACGUUAGGCAAUUGCACAUAGCGACAAAUCUUCACCUACCCCCAAGCAUUUAUAGUACUAAACAUUACAAAUGUAAGUUAAUCUUUAAGUACCACAUAUCUAAUCGAAAUAGCUAUACUAAUCCAUUUUCUACUCAAUAAUAAUCCACGAGUUAUUAACUAAUUGCAAAUUCUCAAUAAUCAUGUUUCUCAGACUCUGUCCAAUUGAAUUAAAUUUACGAAGAAAUCAGCAAAAUAGUUGUGAAAAUGAAAGGACACUAACUAAAACUGACCUGUCCAAAUAUGGCAUUGGGAAACUUGAGACGCACGGCGUCUUCAAGCUCCUUCUUGAGCGUAGCUGCGCCUGAAAGCAUCAUCCUCACUGAGCUCAGAUCGUACUUCUCCGUCUCCUGAGACUUAACAAACGCUAGAACCACCGGAGGAGCCACCGGAACUACGGUGACCUUAUACCUCUGAAUAAGCUCCAUCACUAGAUUCAACUCGAACCUCGGAACGAUCAAGAUCGCCGCUCCCGUCCUCAUAGCCGAGAGCAUCAACGCGUCGAGCGCGUAAAUGUGAAACAUAGGGAGGAAACAGAGAAUGACGUCAUCUCCGGUGAAGUUGACGUUAGGGUUUUCUCCGUCUACUUUCUGAGCGAUGCUCGUAACUAAUCCCUUGUGAGUGAUCAUCACUCCCUUCGGAAGCCCCGUGGUUCCGGAGGAGUACGGCAUCGCUACAGUGUCUUCCGGCGAGAUCUCCGGUUUAGGGAGCUCUGUUUCGUCCGCUUGAGCCAGUUCCUUGAAACUCACGCAACCGUCAGCUACUGGAACUGCGUCGUUUUCAUCUUCCACGCAAACGAUCAAAACGCUGUCGUUCUUCAUGUUUGUAAGUUUAUCUACGUAACAUGACUUAGUGAUGAUCAUCUUCGUGGCGGAAGCUUUUGCCUGUUUCUCUAUCUCCGACUCUGUAUAGAACGGAUUCGCGGUGGUGGAUACGGCUCCGAGGUAAGCCACGGCGAGGAAGGAGAGAGCAAACUCCGGCGAGUUCGGGAGAAGGAGCAUGACGGUGUCACGUUGGCGGAUCCCUAGCCGAUGGAUCCCGGCGGCGAUACGCCGUAAACUGAUUUGUACAUCACCGUAGGUAAAGAUACGUCCGGUAGCACCAUCGAUGAGACAUGUGGCUGUGGAGUCUCCGUCGCCGUCGCCGGAGAACUUCUGGAAGACGUAAUCGGUGAGAGGAAGAUGAUUAGGGAUGGAGAUGUCGGGAAGUUUGGACCGGAAAAUGAAUUCAUGAGAAGGCUCUGGAUCUGUCUUAAGAGGAAGUUCUUGAUCUGUCUUCUUUGUGACAAAAAGCGUUUGUUGUUGUUGUUGGAGCACCAUUUGUGUGUAGACUCUAAUUCUUCUACUUAGAAAAAAUAAAAAUUCUUUUCAAAAUGUAACGUUUUAUUUUUCUUUUUCGUUUUUCCUCUUUUGAUUGAGUUUUAUAAUGGUACGUUGGGUUUUAUAAAGAAACUGGACGAAGCCGAUUUUUUUUUAUAAUUAUUAUAUCCACUAUGAUUUGUUUCCAUUACAUGCGAUUUUCUUAAUGAUUUGUCUAUAAACUAUUGGUCGAGUGCAGCGUAGUUGGUGGGUGGGCCAUUUUACUGUUGAUUUUCAACACGGCUUUUAUUAUUCAAAUAAAGUUUCUUUUAUCUUGUAGGUGUCAGAAAAUCUUAUUAAAAACUAUUGUACAGGUAAUUUUUAUUAUUACGGUGAAAUUAUAUAUUUUUUAUUUUAAGUGUAUAUAUAAAAGUAAUUAAAUUUGGCUUAAUUAGGUAAAUUUAAACUGUAUACUAUGUUUUCUUCAUUUUUUUUUAAAAAACGUGUAAGUUGUAACUAAGUUUUGUACGCGAGUAAAUCCACGUAGAUAUAUAGAGUUUGAUUGCGACUCCUGCUUUGCUUGAGAGGGAUAAUAUUUGCUUUUUUGGUCAAUAAUAACUACUAUAAUAUUAUCUGUCUUUUAAUACGAUAUUAUUAUAUUUCUGUUAUGGAAACCUUGAGACUACUCCAAAAGAAAAUAAUAUUUAUCAGAAGAUCGGUCAAAAAAAUUAAAACAGUUGAUAUGUAUAAAGUGAGGAAUUUAUACUAUAAUGUAUUUAUUCUAAACCAUGAAAUGUAGCCUAAUAUCUUGUGUUAAUUAAUAUUAUUGAUAUGUAUAUUACCACCCGGAUUUCAACCCUCCAUAUUGCACAUUUUAUGUUGUUGAACAAAAAAGUGUACACAUGUAAUCAUGUAUAGUAAAAAAAAUUGUCCGGUAAGUUUCAGAGCUUGUGUGAAAAAUUUCUUUCAAUCCAAUAAUUACCGUUAUCACCUGAUAUGAAAACAUGCACUUAACCUUUAACUAUCUUCUAAAUAUCGUUUAAAAAAAUAUUACAUCAUUAACUAUAGCGAGCGUAAAAAUAUCAAAGCGUGGCAAGCGAUUAACAAAAUCAAGACCAAACAAAAUGAAGUGCUUGAAGCCAAACAAGUUGUAACCAAGUGGUUAAGUUUGGUUGGUGAUAUCAUUUGUCAUGGAUGUAUUGAUUUGACUAUUAUAUUGUCUCGUGUUAAUUUACUCCGAGUAAUCUGUUUUCCUCUAUUGUGAAGUGUUCGUGAGCAGAACAGGGUUAGCAUCUUCGUUGUGAUGAAGUUGGUUAAGCCACCCCUCCAUUUCCUGUAGCGAAGGAGUCCUCGUCGCAUCUUUCAGUAAGGGUCUUUCCCGGUUUGUUUCGCUACCCUCUUAAUUCCUCAGUGGCUUCGUAUUGGAUGUUUGAAGCAAUAUAAAGAGGUCGAUGUGUGGGAUCAACCGGAUGAAGAUGCGGGGGAGCGGUUUGUCCCGGGUGGUUCAGUUCUUUUGGUUCUAGGGUUCAGGGGUCAGUAUCGUGUGGGAUCUGACUCGGGUGUGAUGCUAAUUUGUGUGGUUCUGGCUCUUCAUCUCUUCAUCGUGAACAGAGGUUCAGAUGAGUUUCGGUCGUUUAUGUCUUUCACGUCGCUUGCUCACUUGUCUGAAUGUUGUUCUCCGCAAGUUAUCCGGCUGCUUUAGGCUCCUUACUAUUAUCUUUGGCCUUUGUUCAUUAAUGUAUGUGGGUGUAGAGGUAUGAUCUUGCUUUAGUCUUUUAAGUUAGCAUUCAGUUUGUUGGUAGUUGCCUGUGUUUGGGCUUAAGUUACCCUUGUAUGGGUUUUAGUUCCGGGGAUUUCACUUUGUUCCGGUUAUGUAUUUCAUCAGGUUCUAAUAUAAAUCAGUUGACGGAAAAAAAAAAUCUGUUUUCCUCUAUUAAAAACACACAAUCUUAAUUCGUUUCUAGUAGACCACCUAUAUGGAUGACCACACGAAUACGUAGACCAUUGCAUGAAUGAAUUGGACAUUAGUGAAUGAAAAACCUUUAACAAACGAAUUCGAAGUUCUCUUUACUUGAAGCUUGCUUUUCUUUUUAGAUGACUCUUAUAAUUCAAGUCUGCAUUAAAACUUGAAUAUCACAUUCCAAUAUCUGCCACAUUCGUAAACCAUAUGCAUCUUCUUCACUAUACGAUACAAUAAUGUAACAAAAAGGAACUUCUUAUAAAACAAUUUGUAAAAAGGGGAUAAUUCUUGAAACUCGGGGUAAUAGAUUCCUAAAAGAAAUUUACUCAUUAACCCAUAAUUACGAAGGGUAGAGACAAUUCCUUACACCUGAUUAACACAAAUCGAAGUUGCAAUAAAUAUUAACUUUUCUUCCCAUUAAAGAGAGUAUGUGUUGCUUUAGCUUCAGUAGAAAAUAUGCAAUCCAAUAGUAGGAUACUUUCCAACUUUUUGAUGGCAUGGUUGUUUACCUUGAGAUGCAAGUAUGAAACCACUACCAAGAACUGUUUAUGUCAAUGAGUGGCUUUAUAUGUUUUUAAUCAAAUUACUAGUUGUGGUUAUCCAUUCGUAUCCCGUUUUUGGUUACCCCUAAUAUGACAAUGACAUAAAUAGUUGCAAAGCUAAUUCUUAUGAACCACCAAUAGUCUGAUUUAGACCACAAAGUUGUUGUAUCUCUCUAUCAUAUAAAUAUAUUACUGUGGGUAUUUAUAUUAUUCAGCAUAUCAACCCCAUCUUAUACUACAUCUGUAGUGAUGGGUCGUUCUCCCCCCCCCCCCCCCCCCCCCCCCCCCCCCCCCCCCCNNNNNNNNNNNNNNNNNNNNNNNNNNNNNNNNNNNNNNNNNNNNNNNNNNNNNNNNNNNNNCCCCCGGCCAUUCUACAAUUAUGUCAUACUUAAAACAUGGUACCAUAUUUCAACCAAAUGAAAAUAGAGUAAAUUAGUUAAAUAUACUAACAAAUGUGGGAUAUCAUUGAAUGGGGGGGAAAAUAGUAAUGUUGGGGGGAAGAAAAUUGGAAGGAUAUAGGGUAUGGAGUGCAAAUAGGGGAAAAGUGGUGUGUAGGGAGUACAAAUUUUCAUGAAAAUAACUUUGAGGAAAACAAAAAAAUACAACAAUUAUUAAUUAUUCACCACACGAAUACAAGCAACUAUAUUGCACUACAAGAAAUAUGAAUAUUGGUAGCAGUUCGUGGUAGCACGAAUUCACGAACUGCUACCAAAAGUGUUAAAAUCGAAUCACAACUCUAUUCAAGCUUUAAAUUUGUGCUACGAAAAAAUUUCAUUAAAAGGAAACCGAAAAAUCAGUUUCGUAGCUGGAAUGUCAUUUUGGAGGUAAAAACACUUGGUGAAAUUUCACAUUCGCACCAAAAAAAAUAAGUUAUUUUUUACAAAAGAAAAAAUAUUCAUUCUCUCCAUCUUCUUCUUCUUCAUUGUUCAUUCAGAAUUGAUCUAUCAUUUCAAUCGAAGAAACAUGAUCCAUUGGCCUUGUUCGAAGUCGAAUUAAGGAACCCUAAUCCGUCAAGCCACUGGAUCUCGUUGUCGUAGACUCUUCGUCUUCUUCCCAAAACUCCUCCAUCCACGGCGAAUUGGCUCCUUCGCCUUCCUCCGUCGCUCUUCGCCACCAUCAGUUUUGCCAUCUCUCGCUUCUUCUUCUUAUUCCUUUCGUAUUAUCAAUUUCAAUUGCUCAGGUUUGUAAAAGCUUCCACCUUUCUUCAAUGGUUCCUCCACAGGCUUACGAUAUUCUCACUUAUACUAUCUUAAACUUUUGGGCUUAGGUCACUGAGGAGCAGCUUGAUGGUUUGUUCAUCGGCUUUGGGCAGGUCUAAGUCUUCUUUACAAGUUCAUCUUUGUUUGUGGUGUGUUCUUUAUCAAGACUAGUUUUGGUUGUUUAGGUUGUUGAAUGUUUCACCACAUUCUGGGUCGGGUCUUGCUUUGUCUCCGCCGUUUUCUCCACCGCUUCAUAGAUCCGCCGUGUUCGAGCUCGUGGCCGCCAAUCUAAGGUACGUUUGUCUCCACUGGAGUUUUGACUGUCUUGUACUUGCUCAUUUAUUUGUUUCUUAGUUGGUCUCAGUGAACAUACGUGAUUGAACUUGUAGAACUUAUCUAAUAUUGAGUUGCUGUUUGUAUUGUCUCUUUUUUUUUGUCCAAUCUGAAGUUGUGUGAAGAAAUCUGUGGAGAUUAUGAGGAAGUUCUCAGAGCAGUACGCUCGUUGCUCGGGAACUUACUUAUGUGUUGACAAAGGAGUUACUUCUGUCGUCAUCAAGGUUUGUAAAUUAACCUUAAAGUCUCCAACUUUCUGGUAGAAUUGUGUUGACUCAGCUUUCUGUUCUUUGUUCAAAGAUUAUAUGAUUUGGAGGAGAUUGGUUCUUUCUACUUGUAGAUAAUGACUUGCCAGAAGAUGUUUGGCGUUGUUUUCUUGAUAUAUAUACAGUAGGCAGUAGCUAUUAGAAAUCUUGAUGUGGGAUUUUGUUGAACAGGUGGUGUUUUCAUCAAAAGUUUCUAUCAUUCGAUUGGUUAUGAACUACUUGAAGAAAAACUGAGUUAGUUCAUGUGAAGAUCUUGAAAUCUAGUGCUUAUUAACUAAUGAAGAUGUUGAGUUUCUUCUUGUAAUAGUGAAUGAAUCUGCUGAAAAAAUUGAGUCGGUAUUAAUUAAAAUCUUCAGUUCUAGUGCUUAACUAAACCAAAUGGAUAAGUCUUCUAGUUGUAGAAUAGUGAUUCAGUGAUUCUACAGAAGAGAUUGGUCUAUGCAUGUGAACAUUUCGGCCUCUAGUUCUUAGCUAAUGAAGUGGUUGUUUCUGGGAACGGGGUAUGACUGAGCAUAAGGAUUCGUAUAGUGCACCGCUUUGUCCUUGCAGGUGAUCUUUGGAAUUUUUUUGAAGAUUGAAGAUGAAGCCCCUAGACUUAAUUGUUUUUGUUUAUGUGUAUUUUUGGAUGAUAUAUGAAAUAAUGUAUGUUUUAUAAAUUUAAUGAAAUAUAAAUUUUUAUUUAUAGAUCAAAUUGCCAUGUUUAAAUGAUAAUUAGAGUUUUGUUAUAAAAUAUUUUAUAUAUCAUCGUAUAUUUUAUAUAGUUGUGUUAGAUGUAAAAAAUCAUAAUUUAUUGCAAAAUAAUUGUAUUUUAAUUUAUACUUUUGAGUGUAAAACACUAAAACUAAAGCAUAAAAAUGGAUUUUUAUUAUAUAAUAUUUUAUAUAUAAUAGUUUAGGGGUUUAUAUGUUUAGUGUGAGACUAUUAUAUGGAAUUUGGUGUACUUCAUGUUCCUAAACCCUAAACAUGUUUCUAUACCCUAAACAUUAAUUUUAAAACUUAAUUUUUUUCAUAAUAUAAUUUAAAUCUAAAACUUAAAUUCAAAAUCUAUAGUUUGAUCAUAUUUAAAAUCUAAUCUCAAAUUUAAAAUUUAAACCUCAAACACUAAAUCUUAAAUCUACACCCUAAAUAUAAUACCCUAGACCCCAAACUUAAACCCUACAUACAAAGUCAUACUAAAUAUAAUCUUUUCAAAUAACUACUAAACUAAAACCUAUUCCUUGUAUAAAUCACAACUUUAUUAAUCUUUUUCUUUUCAAAUAUUUAUCUCAAGUUUUAACUUAGCCACAAUUCUAUUUCACAAAUCUCAAACCAUAUACUUUAAACUCAAUCACAACUAUAUAAACUAAUAGUCAACAAUUAUAACAUUAGUUAAUAAAAUUUUAAAACUAAACUUAUAAGUAUUAAUUUAAAAUUUUAAUUUGAUUUCAAACAUCAUAUUUUAAAAUUAUAAACCAAAUUAUCAAAAUAUUUAAAAUAGUACAGCAAAAGAAAAAAACAAAAAGAAAAAAAAUUGGCUAGCUAUUAAAAAAGAAAAGAAAAACUAUGGGCCAAUCAACUCUCAUCACGCGGAUAACCUUCUGCACCGUAGGAUACAAUUAAAUGAAUGGCUGAGAUGUUUUCUUUUCUUUUUUCUCUUAUCUUCACAGAUCUCUUUUCUCUCCAUCUCUCUUCCAUCGACAAAUCUCUCCUCCAUCUUCUAUUUUCAGAUUUCAUCUCCUCUAUCUUUAUUCUUAAUCAUCUCUCUCUCUCUCUCUCUCUCUCUCUCUCUCUCUCUCUCUACUCCCCUCACUCACGAACAAGAUUCAUCUCACACAGACACGUUUCUGUGUCUCAGUCUCGUAAUCUUUCUCUCACAUACGACACAUCUCAAAAAAGCAGAUUAUUCAAACCAGGCAGGACGACGACGACCGCUGGUUCUGUCUCUCUCUCUCUCUCUGUCAGUUUAAAUCUGAUUUUAUUUGUUUUGUUUGUAGGGUCGAUUCAACACAUGAGAGGUUGGAGAAAAUGAUUGUACAUCCGCUCAUCACAACCACCACACCAUCGCAUCUCAGAUCCAUUUUCGUCGGUCUCCUUCUUUCACUCUCUCUCGAACUCCCUUUCUCUCUCUCUCACUGCUCUGAUUCUGGUUUUGUUUAUCUGCUCUUAGUUUAAGAAGGCGUAGGAGGCUGAAGAAACUUGAUGGUGGUGGUCUCGGCAUCAACAGUGGUGGUCUCGGCGUCGACAAUGGUGGCUGAGCGCGGUUGAGGAGACUGAAAAAUCUUUACCGUGGUGAUCGUGGCUGGUGGUCUUGGCGUCAACAAGGAGUGCGCCGGAGAUUGAAGAAGAACGUGGUUUAGUUAGGUUUGGUUAGGGUUAGUUAAUAAACCGGGUUUGGCUGUAAACCGGUUUUUGUAAUAAACCGAUAUCAUCUGUAAACCAAAAUUUUAAUAAUAAAUAAUUUUAUUCUCAAACCAUUUAUAUUAGAAUUUAAUUUUAAUUUUAAACGUGGAUUAAAAUAUAUUAAUUUAUAAUUUUAAUAAUAAUUUUAAAAUAUGAAUGAGAAAUAAUAACAUAGCAUUGUAUCCAUGUCAUUAUAACAUAUUUUACAGUAUUUUAGAAACGUCAUGAAAAGAUACAUUAUAUCACUAAACCAAUGCUAUAAAAAGAUUAAUCAGUAGUAGACGAGUAACGCUACAAUAUGUCUAUUUAUUAUAGCACACAAAAAAACGCUAUGAUAUGUGGGGGGUCUAUUAUAGCUGCGGCUGUCACGGCGUUCUUCGAAACGCUACAAAAACGAUAUGAUAGCGUUUUUCGGAUGCUACUAAUACCGAUUUUUCUUGUAGUGUUGAGUGAUUUAAUAUUCUUUGUUUAUCAACAAUUUUUUUGUUUGCGUGUAUGAUAAGAUAACACAUUUGACAAUUUUAACUUAGGUUCAUCAGUCCAUUAGCUAGUCUUGCUCUUAGAUCCUUCCUCAAUAUCUUCCCUGAUGGUGCUUUGGGAAUAGAGUCAGUGAAGAACACCAUCUUAACUCGCUUGUAAUGAACCACCUAUAUAUUAAGUCAUACAAAGUUUACAUUAUUGUGUGUUUGCUGUAUCUAAAGACCGAUAAUGGAAUCUUAAACCUUACUUGUUUGCAGAUAUAACUCGUGACAUCAUCUUCAGUUAGCUGAGACCCUUCCGAGCUAACUACAAAUGCUACCGGAACCUCACCAGCAACUUCAUCCUUCAUUCUGAAAUAUUAAAUAUUAUUACGAACAUGAUCAUUAGUGUAUCCAAUUUGGAAAUUUUCAGAUUUGCUUUCUAAACUCACGCGACAACGGCAGCAUCCUCAAUACAAGGAUGAGAAAUAAGCAAUGCUUCAAGUUCAGCUGGAGCCACUUGAUAGCCUUUGAAUUUUAUGAGUUCCUUCAAUCGAUCGACAAUGAAUAUCUCAUCAUCAUCAUCCACAUACCCAAUGUCUCCUGUGUGUAACCACCCGUCUUUAUCUAUGGUUGUUGCAGUAGCUUCCGGAUCAGUCAAAUAACCUAAUAACAUCGCACCAUUUUUCACCAUCAAAUAUUGUUUUUAGAAAACGUACAAAGCAUUUGUUUGUUUACCUUUCAUGAGUUGAUCGCCUCGGAUGCAGAUUUCGCCAGCUUUGUUACGCGGUAAAGAGACCCCCGUAAUUGUAUCCACCACUUUCAUAUCAGCAUUUCUGAUGACAGUCCCACACGCCCCGGACUUAGUUUUAAAUGGGUUCUUUGCAAAUGACAAUGACUUAGCCACCGUUGCUGACUCAGUCAUUCCGUAACCCUGAAACAGUGUUCCUUUUUGUUUAGUCAUCAAAUUUUUUUUUAAACAACAACAUUUUUCAAUUUCCCACUAACGAAGACAUGAAAUAAUGAGAAAGUAGCAGUAAAUAAUACAUAAUAGUCCAGUCUGAAAAAUGUUAUUAAUAAAACCAGAAACUAACGUUAUAUGAAUUGCCCACCCACAUAUUGAACAUGGUGUUCAUCAACAUGUGGUACGUCCUUUGUUAAUGAAUUAAAUUUGUUAGUAAUUGUUAGUCUUUUCUUGUUCAUCACACAAUCUAUUCAUAAUGCAAUACAUUUCUUUUGUCAAAUCUAUAAUUCAAAUACUUCCAAAAUCAAUUCAUGAGCUAUAACAUUUAUUUGGAUUGGUGCUUCUUAUAAUUUUAUAAAGAGUCGAGAUAUGAAUGUGACACAGUAAUGGGCUAAACGUGCAAAAUAAAAAUAAAAAUUAUGACUAACUUAUAUAUAUAUAUAAAUAUCUUCUUAACUAGUUGAAAUGUGUUAAUUCAUGUAUUAUGCAAACAAUAUUAAGUUAAUUGUAACACGUUUCACACGAUGAGCCAUUGUUGGAUGUACGCGGUUUUAAAAUAAAAUCUCUAUUUAAAUAAACUUUUCUUUUUUAAAUCAAACAAUUCACAGUUCAUGAAUAUAUAUAUACAAAUAUUAUAUCAAACCAACGAGACAAUCAGAAUAAAAUCUUCACAACCCGACCUGGCAACCACACUCAUUAUUGGAGUAUCUAUACAUAAAAACUCCACUUGUCUAUAAUUUUGUGCUAACUAUUCCUGCUUAGUUGACUAUAAUGAGAUGACAACAAAUGCACGGUAAGUCCAACGUACAAAAACGAAUUAUAAAGAAGCAAAAACUCCACAAAUCCAUUUUUUCUAGUAAAUUUACUCACCGCUAACUUUAUUCAGUAUCAAUAUUCCUAUUUCUUGCACUUUAACUUGUAAAGAAAGUAACCCAAUCUAACCUGACCAAAUAUGGCAUUGGGAAACUUGAGGAGCACGGCUUCUUCAAGCUCCUUCCUAAGCGUAGCCGCGCCUGAAAUCAUCAUCCUCACGGAACUCAGGUCAUAUCUCUCCGUUUCUUGAGACUUAACAAACGCCAAAACCACCGGAGGAGCCACCGGAACCACCGUGACUUUGUACCUCUGAAUCAGCUCCAUCACCAGAUUCAACUCGAACCUCGGCACGAUCAAGACCGCCGCACCCGUCCUCAUCGCCGAAAGAAUCAACGCGUUGAACGCGUACGUGUGAAACAUCGGGAGGAAACAGAUGAUGACGUCAUCUCCCGUGAAGUUGAGGUUAGGGUUUUCUCCGUCGACUUUCUGAGCGAUGCUCGUAACUAAGCUCUUGUGAGUGAUCAUUACGCCCUUUGGAAGCCCCGUGGUCCCGGAGGAGUACGGGAUCGCAACCGUGUCAUCCGGCGAGAUCUCCGGUUUAGGAAGCUCUGUUUCAUCAGCUUGAGUUAGUUCCGUGAAACUAACGCAACCGUCAGCUAACGCAACGGUACCGUUUUCAUCAUCCACGCAAACUAUCAGAACGCCGUCGUUUUGCAAGUUUAUAAGUUUAUCGACGUAACAUUGCUUCGUAAUGAUCAUCUUCGCGGCGGAGGCGUUUGCCUGUCUUGCGAUCUCAGCCUGCGUGUAUAACGGAUUGGCGGUGGUGGUGACGGCUCCGAGGUAAGCCACAGCAAGGAAGGAGAAAGCAAACUCCGGUGAAUUCGGUAGAAGGAGCAUCACGGUGUCACGUUGGCGGAUCCCUAGCCGAUGGAUGCUGACUGCGACUCGCUGUGAAUUGAUUUGUACAUCGGCGUAGGUAAAGAUACGGCCGGUGGCACUGUCGAUGAGACAUGUGGCGGUGGAAUCGCCGUCUCCGUUGCCGGAGAAUCUCUGAAAGACGUAAUCAGUGAGAGAAAGGUGGUUUGGGAUGAAGAUAUCAGGAAGUUUAGACCUAAAUAUGAUGUCUUGACAAGGUUCUUGAUCUAACUUCUUUGUAAGAAAAAGCGUUUCUUGUUGUCGGGACAACAUCUUGUGUGGAGGUUUGUACUUCACAACAGAAGACUUCUUUUCAAAACGUAUUGUUUGCUUUUUAAGGGUUAAAAAAAAACUCUCCAAGGUUUUGCAACUCUGCAGAUAACUCAAUAAUGCAGGUCCGUCAGGUUUGAAUCAGAUUCGACACAGCUCAUCAAGGCCAUCAAAGGAGAGAGCUCUCUCAAAGAAAUUUAUGGAAUUGUGGAGGACAUGCAUCCUCUAUGGUGUUUCUUGCAUUGAUGAUUUCUCUUUCUAUUGGAUCGUGAUCAAAAUGUAGUUGAAGACUUGAUAGCAAAGAAUGCUGUAGUUGUUGAGGAAUACUUUAAUGCUCCCACCUAUCUUAAGUUAAUGAAAAAGUUGUGAUUCAGAAAAAAAAAAGGGUCAAAUGACAAUAAUUCAACAGGUACAUAGGACAAUAUCAUGUAUAUUAAAUAAUAUGGACUUGAACGUGCAACAUGAGCUCUGCAUAAUCAACUGUCAUUAUAUAGUUUUUUUUAAGUGACAAAUCAUACCAACUAUCAAUUAAAAUCUCAAAUCCUCUCUGGCUGAUUUUGAUUAGGAGUAUCCUUGUAGCCAUUUGUAAACCUUUACCUUAUCUUAUUUCUAUGCAAUUUGUUGACUGAAUUCUUGAUCUAUAUAUGAUCUCAUGAUCAGUGGUAUCUACAAUUCUAUUCUCUCUCACUUAUCAUGUCUAGUUCAUGCAAUUUUAUUCCUGAUUUUUCACCCAAUAAUUUAAGAUGCUUAUUAAUUUGGGUGAAUGCUAUAUUGAGCUUUUUAGGGCAGUUGCUGAAAAUAUAUCAAGCAUUAUAUCGUUAGGUAACAUUUUGCCACCAAAUUUACCAAAACAAAUUUCAAAGAAAAAAAAAAUACAACUUGUUUUAUAACAUGAAUACAAAGAAAAUAGAGCAAAUAUUUUUCUGCAAGUUUCCUUCUUUGUUUUUGAACAACGAAUAAAAAAAGAGAAAAAGACCAAAAUAACACUAAAUCAAGUUUUUGUUCCCAAACUAGCACUUAAGGUCAAAAGUCACAAAAAUGGCACUCAAGGGGUAGAGUUUAGGGUUUAGAGUUUAGGUUUUAGGGUUUAGAGUUGAGAAGUGAGGUUUUGGAGAUAAGAUUUCAAAUUUUGAAAAAUAAAAAAAUUUAAAUUUUUCAAAAGAUAAAAUGCUAUUUUGGUCAUUUUAGUUUUUGAAUGCUAUUUUUGUGAUAUAAACUUAGAAAUGUGCUAUUUUGGAGAUUUGCCCAUAAAAAAUAUGACAAAAAAAUAAUAACGAAUAGAAAUUACAUGUAUGCAUGAUGCAUAUACAUUUGGAUCAUUUUAAUCUUAUGUUCAUCAAUACAUUUGAUAGUCCGUCCUGCUCUUAGAUCAUUCCUCAAUAUUUUCCCUAAUGGAGCUUUAGGAAAGGAAUCAGUGACACAUAACCUGAUUCACACACACACACACACACUUCAAAUCGGUUUGAUUCAAGUGUCUAUACUCUAUGGAUAGUAAUUGCGACAAAUCUUCACCUAACAUAUGUUCUACUGCGCAAAUGGAAUUAUUAGGGGGUGUUAGUGGGACUUAGAUUUCUAUAAAAUUUGUAGAUUUUAAAAGCUGAGAGAUUUAUUAAAUUUGUAAAGAAAAGUAGAUAAUUUUGUAUAUUGUGAAAAUCUAUGAAAAUAAAGUAAUGUAAUGACUCUAAGAAUUCAAGAAAAAUUUCUCAAAAUCUUGUUUUGUGAGUUAAAAUGUUAAGAAUUCAACUCCUAAUAAUAUUUACUUUAAUAGAUUUGUAGAAUCAUUAAAAUCAAAACAUUUUUAAAUAACAAAUGAUUUUGUAUAGAAUUAUAAAAUCAUCAAACCAAUAAUAAUAUAUUUUAAUGAGAAUGUGAGAAUCUACAAAACCAAUAACACUAGACUUGAAAAUUCUAAGACUCAUUAUAAAUCCAAUUCCCACUAAUACACUCUAAUUCGUCUUAUCUAUAUUCGCUCCAUUUCAAAAAAAAGUGUAGUGCGUGUAUAGUUUGUAACUUUUGUUUUCUAAUUUUUUUUAUCAUUUUGUAUUUCAAUCCAAAACUUGAUAGGUAGCUUUUCACCUAUUAAACAAAAAGUUUAUAUGAUGAAUUUUAUUUCCGCCUUGAAACAUGAUUCUACCUGAGAUGAUCUUAAAUUAUUUCUAAACAAUUUGCUACCCAAAGUAUUGAUCUAUUUUACGACCUCAUUCAUGUUUAGUGGAUUUCAUUCUCUCUGUUAUCGUAGACAUUUAGGUCUUCUUGUUCAAUAUUUUAAGAUGCCUUUUCCUCUGUUGGUGGGAUGGAUGUUACUUAAUUUGCUUUUCUCUUUUGGGAAUUGUUGGUGUUAUAUUCUACCAUUAUGUGAAAGAUUUUGAUACUGAGUUGACGUCAGCGUGUUUAUUUCAUCAAACUUAUCCUCCUCCUUUUUGUAACACUCUUACCUAAUUUUGUUAAAUCAUAUAACUUAAAGAAAGUAGAAACAAUUUCAAACACAAUCAUUAUUUGUUCAAUGAAUACAAAGAAAAUAGAGCAAAAUUUUUUCCUGUCAGUUUUGUUUCCUUUGUUUUUAAUAACGAUAAAUAAGAGUUGCAUGUAUGAUUACACAUUUUAAGCUUAUGUGCAUUGGCUAGUCUUGCUCUUAGGUCCUUCCUCAAUAUCGUCUCUGAUGGAGCUUUAGGCAUGGCCAGUCGGUGAAGAUCGAAUACUUUGUUGAUUCUCUUGUAAAACGCAACCUAACUCACGUACACUAUUUUUUUUUUUUUUAAUGAAUGUAAAAUUUUAUUCAAUCAAAACCUUUAUACAUCAAGUGCAUCUUCUUUUUUGUAUUAAGCUAUCCAUUUACUCUAAAUUCUAUGAAAAUUUUUUAAGUAUUUGUUUCUCUAGUCCCAAACCAUGUACUUAACCCCUCUUCUAAGUACUUUUGCCCCAGCCCCUUUACCAUAAGCAAUUUCAGGCGAAUUGUUUUGUCCACAAACUUUGUUAUAGUACUCGCAGCUUGUGGUUGUUCUCCAUGCCUACGUGCAUUUCUUUCUCUCCACAUUGCAUGAACUGUGGCCUGAAAAGAAUAUCGGAGAAGGAAUUGCUUUGUAGGCGAUAGACCUGUAUUGGAAACCAUCGCUACUAUGUCAUUCCAUUCCGUAGUAAACCCUCCAUGAAGAAUACCUCCCACUAGCGCCUUCCAAAUCUGUUUUGAGAAACUGCAACUAAAGAACAGAUGGCUGCAGGUUUCGUUGGCUUCAUUACAGAGAACACACACCGGAUUAACCAAACCAUUCCACGUCUGCAUCCGAUCACAUGUUUGUAGCCUGUUACGCAAAGCAACCCAGACCAAAAAAGAGUAUUUUGGUGUUGACUGCGAGAACCAGAUGCCUCUACUCCACUCGCAUGAUGAAGAAAAAUUCCGCAGCUGCAGCCAUGUUUUCUUUGAGGAGAACAUGUUCGCAUAGAUUCCCUCCUUCUGUUUCCAAAGAGGAAUGUCCUCAUCUUGGCUAGGUUCGAGCCUCAGUGUUUCAAUCUCAUCCUCAAUCUCAUUAAGAAUCCUCUCUCUAUGCCUUCUUCUUCUAUGAUUUCCCAAAACAUCAGCAACCACUGCAUUUCCAGAGAUUCCCAUUACAAUGCUGCCUCUCUCUCCCAGCACAUCCUUCAGACGACCAAGUUUUGACCAUGCGUCGUACCAAAAAGAAGUGUCCUGCCCAUUUUUGACUUCCCUUCGAAAAAAUUGCUUCGCAGUGUCCCUAAGCCUGAGAAGUUUUCUCCACACCCAUGAUCCCGAGCUGGUAUUUUCCUUUACUGACCAGAAGGAUCCUUUCCGAAUCAAAAAACACUUCACCUACUGGACCCAAAGCGAGUCUUUUGUUGAAUGAAUCCUCCAUAUUAAUUUUAGGCUGUGGACUGUAUUCACUUCCUUCAGCGGCCGAAAUCCCAAACCCCCCUCUUCCUUUGGUAAGCAAACAUCUUUCCAGCUUACCUUUGCUUUACUUGUCUUCAGCUCAGGUCCUGACCACAUAAAAGCUGAGCACAACCUUUCUAUGUCCUUCAGACAGCUGCUAGGUAGCCGAAAUGCUUGCAUCCAGAAGUUUGUUAGACUUGUGAUAACUGAUUUGAUUAGUUGCAAGCGACCAGCAUGUGAUAGAAAUCUCCCCGUCCAAGAUUUCAUUCUUUUGCGGACUUUCUCGACCAAAGGCAAGUAAUCUUGAACUGUCAUGCGUUUUGUGAGCAAAGGGAGUCCCAAAUAGCGCACAGGUAAUUGUCCUGAAGCAAAGGGGAAGCUAUUGCGAAUCUCCUCUUGAUCAGAAGCCGUGGUUCCAGCAAUAUACAGAGUGGACUUUUCGAGACUAAUCUUUAGACCCGAGAUCGCAGCAAAAUCAUCAAAAACUCUAAGGACACCUUCUAUAGAUCGCUUUGUGCCAUCAGUGAAGACCAUAAGGUCAUCAGCAAAACACAAGUGUGUUAGAAGAAUGUUCUGGCAGCGAGGGUGAUAUCCAAAAUGCUUCCCUUCUGCAGCUUUGUCUAGCAUGCGAGAUAAGACAUUGAUGCAGAUAACAAAGAGGUAGGGGGAUAAGGCGCACCCCUGACGCAAGCCCCUCUUGCUUUGGAAAAAACCCGCGAGUUCCCCGUUAACUUGCACUGAGAAGGAUGCAGUACAGACACACAACUUGAUCCAAUGGAUGAACUCCUCCGGGAUGUUCAGAGCUCUUAAUGUGUUAAGGAGAAACUCCCAGUUAACAGAGUCAAAAGCUUUUGCAAUAUCGAUCUUCAUCGCACACCUUGAAGAGAUAUCAUCUCGAUGAUAGUCCUUGACAAUCUCAGUUGCAAGCAGAAGAUUCUCCACUAAUAAUCUGUCUUUUAUGAUUUAAACGCAGAGCCGGAAGUGAUUUAAUGGGGGCCCCAUUCCAAAAGGAAAUAUAAACUUGUUUUAUAGUUACUAAAACUAUAUAUGAAAAAAUCUAUACAACAAAAUAUAUAUAAAAUUUUUAUCUACAAGUAAAUAUAGAUAAUUUAUUUUUAAAUAAUAUAUAGAUUAAAUAUAAGAACAUUAUUUAUGUUUUUUUUGUCAACAAAACCAUUCAUUGCAAAGAUAAAACAAAGAGAGUACAAUGGCUUAUGAGGUUGGCCAGGAAAUUACAUAAAUUACAUAAUCUUGAUUAUUAAUCCUAGCCUUUCUAGCUAAUAGAUCAGCAACCUGACUAAGACCUCUAGGGAUAUAAAAAUUUUAUCAUAGAAGAAUUUGAUUGGACGGAGAAAUGAAAUGCUUAAUGUAUUUUUGGGCUCAAGAAAAUAAUCAAAACAGAGGAUUCACAACCUCGAAAGUGAGAUCAACCGAACCAAAACUAAAUGGAAGAAUAUAUACUUCCUAAAACAAUGUUGAUAGUUAAUUUUGAGUAGGGAUGGACAUAAAUACUUGAUACUCAGCUCUUAUUCGUUAUUGGUUUUGUAUCGGCUUCUAAACGCAAAUAUUUGGCAAUGUCAAAACAAGUAGCAAGUAUAAUAAUUUGAAUACUUGUGUAUAUAGAUCAAGUAACAAGUACUAAAAAACUAAGACUCUAGUUGUGCCCAUUCUUAAUUUUAAGGACUCUGGCAUUUUCCUUUUUAUGAUAGAAAUUGUAUGUUGUUGAAAAAUGUUUCCUCUCUAUUUAAAAUAGAAAACACAUAUACAAUACUUUGAGUAAGCUCCAGGUCACACAGCACAUGACCUUUUUUUUUAUCAAACCAAAUUUGCACUAAUCUUAAAUAUGUUUACACUUCAGUAAAAACGGAUACAAAGAGGCUAUUAACAGCCAAACAAACAACAACAAUAGUAACAUAAAAGAUAGAAUAGCGAUACAAAUCACAAAACAGAACCAUAUGAAAUCAUAUUACAACAACAUCAUAAGAUUCUUCAAAGAACGCAUCUAGUGUAACCUGUAAAACCACACACUGCACUAUACGCAGAAAAAAGCAUUCGAUAAGAGGAAGAUCCUUGCAAUACCAACGAAACUUGUUCAUCUAAUUCACUCCAUAUAGGAAGAAAUAUUAAAAAAAAAAACUGAUUCAAACGAGGAAAAAGUGGGAAAUCAUAACCCGCCACAUCUAAAUUAUAAUAUAGGGGGGGGGGGUAAGGUGAGAAGAGAGUGUCUGAGAGCGAUAGUGAUAGAGAGAGAGAGAGAGAUAGGAGAGAAUGAACUGUGGUGAUGAGGCCGGAGCUUCUUCAGGCCAUUUAGAUUGGAGAUUCUCUCAGGUUUCCGGUGAACGCAGCGCUGGUGAAGAAGUCCAAGAAGGUAUUAUUCCAUGCAUUUCUGCUUCUGCUUUAUAAGUUAUGGGUCAUUGUAAAGUUUUCGUCUAUGAUCGAAGGUUUCCUGGAUGUUUGUUUAAUGAUUGUUUUGUUCUUCGAACUAAGUCUUCUGUUUGCAUGUUUUAUGCUAUGUGAUUGUCUAGCUUGGUUUCUAACUAGGUGAGGAGAUGUUGGAUCAUGAGUUACAGACUGUGUCCAUUACAAGAUUGCAUAGGAGCUUCCACUUUAAUCACAUUUAUCUAAAUUGAAGUGAAAUUGACUGUUACCUGCUGUUUCCUCUGCAGUUGAUAUAAUCACAGGUUGACUACAUGACUCUCAAGGUCCAUACCCUUUUUUUGUAUAAUUUUCCUUGUGCAUUAUGUUUCAUUAAAUCAAGAGAGCUGGAUUUGGUGACUACUGUUAUGUUUGGCAUUGGCUAUGUCAAACUAACUGUAUGUGGAAAACUGGACCCAUGGUUGUGUGUUUUUAACAUGUCAGUUAUGGGAUAUCAACGUGGACUCGGGUCCGGUGUCAACUUUCCUGGUCCACGAACAUUUAAAGACCAAAGGUCAGUUUCCUGUACUCUGAGAGAGAGUUGGGUCAGCAGACUCGAUGCAUAACUGAUGACCAUGUUUCCGUUACCAUCUACAGCUCUGUGAUUUAUAUGAAAAUGAUUCCAUAUUAGAUAAGUUUGAAUGUUGUCUAAAUGGGGACGGAUUGCGAGUGGCUACAGGCUCUUACAGGUAUGCUUGUAACGCAUAUCAUCUUCUUUGAUUUUACUGGAAUAAACUUGCCCCACUUUAACAUUGUUUCCAGCAAUCUACAACUUUGGAAGCAAGCAAAAACCCAAUUAGGUAACAAACUGGUACUAGCAAGGUGAAUCUAUUUCUCUCAUUUUUUUCCUUAGUCUAAGUAUUUGAUUAGAUUGAAUAUGUGAUAAAAUGUUAUAGGAGACAAGUCACAACUCCCGCGAGGCCAUCAAGACCAUCACUAAGCAGUACAACAUGCGUGGCUAGAAGAGGUAAGUGGGUUUCAUCCAUGUGCCUUUUAGCAUUAGCCCCUCAAGGGAAUUAAUCAAUAAAUAGUUUAAACAGGAGCAGAGACUCCUGGAAGCGAUAAGAAUGGUAACACUUUUGACCACACAACCAAAUUGCUGCCUCUAGCAUGGCAUCCAACAGAAAACUUGAUAGCUUCUGCCGCUGCUAAGAGUUUGUACAUGUAAUAUGCCUCAAAAAAAGAAGAAAACAUACUCAAAUAACGAAAGAAGGUUUGUUCUUGUGAAAGUGAAUCAGAGAUGCUUAUAUAACAUCAUCAGCUCCUUUAUAUGCUCUCUCUGUCUUUGUUUGUAACAUCCUUGACUCUUUUUCUAACUGAUCAAAUGGUUGGAGAUAGCAAUCACUGGUAAUGAUAUUCAUUUCUUCAUUACAUAACAACUAAGAAAGAUGGCUAUUUUCUGUAAGUUUUUUAGAAGCUUUUACUUGUGUUCUGUCUGGAUAAGUUUAAAAUGUUGGACAAGAACCAGAAGAAGGAAUCCGAUUAUAAGAAAAAAUCGUGAUUGUAGUUAAUUUUGGAAUAUUCUUGGAACUAUUUUAAAAUUACCAUAUCAUGUUUUAUUUAUUUGUUUGUUAUUUUCUGGUAAAAGAUUUCUUGUUUGUAGUUUCUGACGUUACAAAUAAUUCGAUCUUCUCUUAUUAUUCUUUAACCAUAUCAUUCCUUUUGUUUUUCUUGAUAUCUUUCAUUAUCCAUUACAUUUGCAAAACACACAAUCAAAGACUCCAAAUCAAUUAACAACAAUAAAAAACGUUUUUCUUAUUUGAAUACCUCAAGGGAAACUUUGUUUGGUGUACGUGACAGAAUUUUCGAAAAAUUAGUAACUCGAUUUAACUAGUAAUUAACAUGCGUUUCUAGUCACUCACCACAAUAUGACUUGGUUGUAUAUACAUACAUACAUAUUCGAGAGGGCCAAAUUAAAUCUACGCCGUCCAUGCGUCAAGCAGCAGCCACGAAUCGUAGCCGUAGAAAUGACGCGAUGAUGGCGAAUCAAGAACUGGAGUGCUUGUCCCACGUGUUGGCAAAACAGAACACACGAGAGCAAAAUGGUCAGCUCUUCUCUUACGGCAGCUUAACGCUACGACAAUAUCCUUAAUCUGUUCCUUGACAGACGGACGGCUCUGGUUCAUUGACACAAACAGUGCAUAAAUCAACGGCUACGUUUCGACUUUUGAGUGUAAUGAUCUCACUCACUCUCAUCGAGUGCACAUCCUUGCUUCACAAGGACGCUAACUAACUAUUGUCUCCUGAUUCUUGAGCCAGAGUGGGUUUUAGAAAUUAUGGCAGUGCAUGAUGGCCUUAUUGUUUACUUUCAUUUUUUAUUUGGGUAAUUAUAAUAAUAUUAAAUGCUAAUCACGUCUGGUUUAUUGCUAAUUGGAUUAUAACUUCUAAUUUUCAUUAUAAUUUUAGAAACUGAGAUUGUACAUGUCAGGCUUGUGCAUGGAUAAAAAACUCAUGGGAAAAUGGGUGUUUUUGUUGUCUUCCGUUUGCUGUCUUCUUGAUUAUGGUUUAAUCAGGAAGGUUCGAGUAUAAAAGGUUUUGAGAGAUCAACGUGAAGAAACAUAAUUAAACGAAUUUUUUUUACAUAGAGAACUAAAUGCAGUUUUCAUAAUUAGGGUAUCUCCGACUUCAUUCUAUUUUCUACUCUAAAAUAAAAUUUAGAGUAAAAAUGUUUCAAUGGUACUAUAUUUUUCACUUUAUAAUAAAGUAAAAAAAAUGUUUACUCCAUAUAUAGAGUGUUUGUUCAUCACUCUAAACUAGAGUACUAUUAGAGUAUAUUAGAGUAUAUUACAACUCUAUUAUAUAGUUACUCUAUUUUAGAGUAAAAAAAUAGGAUGAACUAUUAGAGAUGAUCUUAGGAUGUUUGAACUAAUAUCCAACUAAUCUUUAGAGAAUAUUGACGACUAAUCUGAUCCCUAAUUUUUGUUCAGUUACCAACAAAUUCGUUCUCGGUAAAAAUCGAAGCCUAAAUACACUCUUAUCAUAAGGUUACUACAGAGAAAUGGUUAUGAACUCUUCAGUAACAAGAUGAGAAUUUUUUUUUAUUUUCUAGAUUACUCGUCGAUUUUACAAAGCCUGCGGAGCUAAGGAGCAAUGCCAAUGACUGUCUUGUGAAAAUGAGCAAACCAUAUCCAUCAAAAGGAGUAGAGAGACUUUUUUAGCCAUCAAAAGGAAAAGGCAAAUAUGUUUGUUUCGGGGCAGCGUAAUAACAAGUAUAAGAGAACAAAAAAGAUACGUAUAAUCGAUAUUGUCUAAACGUAUGAAGCCAAAACAACCAUCUUGGCACCAAGACAGGCGUAUCCCAUAUAUGUUGGAAAAAGUUAUUACCCCCUCGAUUUAUACAAAAACCCUUUUCUUCAACAUUAUUUUCUUUUACAGAAAUUCACAAUGCAUAAAAGUUCAAAAUUUUCUUGAAAUUGUAGAGUUUAUAGUUCAAUUCUAUAUAUAUGGCUGUUUAAAAUAUGAUUUUUAAUCUAAAAAUUACUAUUCCAAAAAAUUAUAUACUUUGAAAUAUUUGUAUAAAUUUUAAGGCUUAAAGUUUGGUGUUUCGCAAGUUUUAACUUAUGCCAACCUUGAUAAAAACUAUACUCUAUUAUUUUUAUUUAUCAGAAGCUAUCAAUCUUGUUAAUGUAAGAAAUUCAUAUACUAAAAUAUUUAAUUUCGGACAAAAUGACAUCAAACUAAAAAUCUACUCUAUGUUCGUAUUAGUUAAAAGAAGUCAACAAGUCAAUGAAAAAAAUCCAACACCAAUGCUCUUGUCAUCUAAUUAAAUAAAUGAAUAUUAAUUAUGUUACAAAAAAUGAAUAUUAAUUAAUAAUUAAUUAGCACAAUGUUAAAAAUAAUAAUCAAAAGGAAGAAGAUUACGGAAGCGGUAAUCUUGUAAUUGGGUCGUCCUAUAAGACUAGUCGGUAACACACCACACCUCACAAAGCUUAUCUUCUCGUUUAGACUUUAACCCUCCAACACUCUUCUCUUCCUCUCUCUGUUCUGCCUGCUCCACUUCUCUCUCUCUUUCUCAAACUUAGUGAGGGAAAGUGUUAAAUUUGUCUUAUUUAUGCGAUAAGGACCACUUCCACUCUAUAAAAACCUCAAAAUAACUUACUCUCCCAUCUCUCUCUUCUUUAACUCUUCCCCAGUCAGAAAUUGCAAUCCACCAUCUCCAAGAUUCGAUCUUAUAACUGUCUUUUUAACAGGUUUGCAUAUAUAUAUUGUUACAAAAAAAAAUCUAUUCAUUCUUUUUUUAUUUGGGAAUUUGCUAAAUUUUCCUGGAAAAGAAAAGAAAUUUUUAUCCGUAAAGAAGAAGAAAUGCAGGAUCCAGCAGCUUAUUACCAGUCCAUGAUGGCGAAACAACUACAUCAGCAGCAGAAACAACAACAACCGCAAUUUCCGGACCAAGAACAGCUAAAGUGUCCUCGCUGUGACUCACCCAACACUAAGUUCUGUUACUACAACAACUACAACCUGUCACAGCCCCGUCACUUUUGCAAAAGCUGCCGACGUUACUGGACCAAAGGGGGCGCUCUCCGCAACGUCCCCGUCGGUGGUGGUUCUCGCAAGAACGCAAAACGAUCCACCUCUUCUUCUACUUCUCCUUCCAACUCCCACAAGAAGGCCAAAACACCUGAUCCGGAUCCUGGUUCGCAAAAGGAAACCAACCCGGAUACGGAUCCGACCCGGAUGCUGUACGGGUUUCCCAUCGGGGACCAAGACGUGAAAGGUAUGGAGAUGGGCGGUGGUGGUGGUGGGAGUUUCAGCUCGCUUUUGGCGUCGAAUAUGCAGCUGGGUCUUGGCGGGAUCAUGCUCGACGGGUCGGGUUGGGAUCCGGGUAUGGGGUUAGGCAUGGGCUUGAGGAGGAGUGAAGCGGGUAACGGGGGAGGUUGUAGCCCGUGGACCGAUCUGGCUAUGAACAGAGUGAAGAAAAACUGAGAUGAAGAAAACGAGGGGUAUUUUCGUAAAUUAUGGAUAUGCAAAACUGAUUUUAGAUGGCUUGAGUCAUCACAUAGACAGUGAACAGGUUCGAUGUUAUGUCAUUUUGGUAUUAUAUUCCUCCUGUUACUACUACUCCCUUUUGUUAUUUUAUUUAUAAAUCAGUUUGUUAAAAUUCUAAUCUUUGUUUUUAAAAUGCUUACUAUAUAGUUAAGGACUUGCAUUAAUUCUAGAACAAUACUAUCUACAAAACUCAUGACGUGAAAUGAAUUGUUCCGCUAUUCGCCACGACAUUAUUGUUAUUUUAUGCUUGAUCGGUGAGGUAUUUAGCCGACGAUUAUAUGUCAUUGGUUAUUGAUAUGUAAGCUUGAAGCCCUUUGAAAUAUUCGCAGGAUAAGUUCUUUUAAUCGAAUAUUAGAAUAGUAUAACUGUGCAUGAAUCUGACAUAGAUCAACAACAUUCUUACGGCAUGUGACAUUCGUAUUUUAGUUAAUGUAUUGAUCGCUUUAGACACCUACGUUCUAGAAUCAUGAUAUUGACUCUCUACUAGUUGUCGCCUGCUUUUCUUGGGUUCAAAAUGGCGUUUCCUAUGUCGUAUAAUUUAAAUAGUGAUGAAACAUUGUAUUAGUUCAAUUAUUUAGAUAAAUAAGACAAAAGUUCACGUCGCUAAGAAGAAUAUUAUGCUUUAGAUAACUUUGAAAGAAGUGGAAGAAAAUAGUUUAUCGGAAAUAUUUUAUUCCUCAAGUACUUAUGCUAUUUUGUAUUCAUUGGUCUUUUAGACUUGUAACAUCGUUUUGUUACUUACUAUUACUAUAACAACUUUUGUAAAUCAUUACAAACUCGUUUAACACGCGAAUGACGUUCACAAAGAGUGGGGAGCGUAAUGUGGUCUUUGACGUAUGCCAUAGAACAAUGGCUAUGGUUUUCUCACUGAUUAAUAGUUCACAAUAUAUUUGUAGGUGAUUUUAUAUAUCCAAAUAAAGUUUGUUUGGUGAUUUUAGAACGUUUGUAUUGAGAGAAACAUAGGAUCACCAAGAAAAAUGUGAUUAUGUGGACUAUAUAGUAAUAAUCAGUACUAUGUAUCAACUUAUGUCACAGAUAGUCACUACAAGAAAACAGCGGUAUUCUGACGGACGUUCCGACGGAAAAUGAAUUCCUCGGAAUAUACCGAGGCAUUUCCGAGGCAAUUCCGAGGAAACACAAAAUUUUGCUUCCUCGGAAUUCCGUCGGAAUAUUCCGACGGAAUUCCGAGGAAAAUUCAUUUCGUCGGAAUAUUCCGACGGAAUACCGAGGAAACUAGUAUUCCUCGGAAAAAACCGAUGAAUUCCAAGGAAAUAUUAUAGACGUUAGAUAGCCGUUGGAGAGCCGUUGGGGGGAUUUUAAAAAUUCCGAGGAAAUUCCGACGAACUAGCCGUUUGCAUCGGAAUUCCGUCGGAAUUUCCUCGGACCGUCGGCAGGAUUUCAACUAUAAAUACAAGCACCCCUCUUCCUCUUCAUUCACACCAUAUCUUCAUCCUCCCUCUCACUUUCUUUACACACGAAUUUGAUUCAUAAAAAACAUGUCUUCUUCAAAUUAUUUUCGUUCUUGGAUCGAUCGACCUCAUUUGGAUCCGAACACGAGAUUGCUUACGGAAGAAUACCAACAAGGUAUAACCGAAUUCAUGGGGUUAGUUCACCGACAACCGGAAGCAAAAACAGGUAUGUUAAGAUGUCCUUGCUCUAAUUGUAAAAAUAAAAAAGUUAUUAAAGAAUGGGAUGUUUGGACUCAUUUAUAUUUGAGUGGGUUUACACGAAGUUACAAAAUUUGGUAUCAUCAUGGAGAAACUGAUUAUGAACUUGGUAGUACUAGCGAACCUCAGCCAGCGGUUAGAUUAGAAGAUCCAAUUAGAACGGAUGUAGAUUACGGUGUAGGUACUGAGCAGAUGCUAAAUGAUCAUUUUAGAGGGAAAGAUUUACCCAAUGCCGAAGCUAGGAGAUUUUAUGAUAUGUUGGAUGCUGGAAAGCAACCAUUGUACGAAGGUUGCAGAGAUGGUCAUUCAGCUUUAUCAUCUGCUACAAGAUUGAUGGGCAUUAAGACGGAUUAUAAUUUGGCUGAAGACUGUGUGGAUGCGAUUGCUGAUUAUGUAAAAGGUAUUCUACCCGAAGAUAAUGUAGCUCCUGGCUCAUACUACGAGGUUCAGAAACUCGUAGCUGGUCUUGGUUUAUCGUAUCAGGUAAUAGAUGUAUGCAGAGACAACUGCAUGAUUUAUUGGAGGGCGGAUGAACAGCGGGUUUCAUGCAAAUUUUGUGGGAAGCCUCGUUAUAAAGAUACGAGUGGAAGAGUUCCAGUACCAUAUAAAAGGAUGUGGUAUUUGCCUUUGACGGAAAGGUUGCAGAGGCUGUAUCUGUCUGAACGCACAGCGCAACCAAUGAGAUGGCAUGCGGAGCACUCAACAGAUGGUGAGAUCAGACAUCCUUCAGAUGCAAAAGCGUGGAAGCAUUUCCAAUCAAAGUAUCCCGACUUUGCGUAUGAGAGAAGAAAUGUCUACCUUGGAUUAUGUACUGAUGGUUUCAGCCCGUUUGGCAAGAGUGGAAGACAGUAUUCUCUAUGGCCAGUCAUUCUUACACCAUACAACCUACCCCCAAACUUGUGCUUGCGACGAGAGUUUUUGUUUCUCUCGAUUCUCGUUCCCGGACCAGAGCAUCCUAAGAGAUCACUUGAUGUGUUUCUUCAGCCACUAAUAUAUGAGUUGCAACAACUAUGGACUCAAGGUGCUGAAACAUACGAUGUUUCGUAUAAAGAAAACUUUCAAAUGCGGGCAGUACUAAUGUGGACAAUAAGUGAUUUUCCAGCAUAUGGUAUGUUAUCUGGAUGGACAACGCAUGGAAGGCUAUCAUGUCCAUAUUUUCAAGAUAACACUGAUGCUUUCCAACUAAAACACGGAAGGAAAACGUGUUGGUUUGACUGUCACAGGAGAUUUCUACCACCAGAUCAUCCAUAUCGUAGAAGUAGGAAUUUGUUUACGAAGAACAAGAGGGUGUUUGACAGUCCACCUCCGGAAAUUCGUGGGAAAGAUUUGAAGACACAACUUAGAGAUUUUGGUGCAGAAAGGACGCCAGACGUCGGUGGACAUGAGCAUUUUCCGGUAGAUGGUGUUGGAAACCUACAUAACUGGCACAAAAAAAGUAUUUUUUGGGAUCUGCCAUACUGGGAGGAUCAUCUACUAAGGCAUAAUUUAGAUGUCAUGCAUAUCGAGAAGAACUUUUUUGACAAUCUCAUGAACACGAUCCUUAAUGUUCAAGGUAAAACAAAGGAUAAUUUGAAGUCAAGACUGGAUUUAGUCGAUAUAUGUGCUCGUUCAGAACUUCAUGUUGAUGAGAGUGGUAGGGCUCCUUUUCCCAUAUACCGACUUGAUGCAGCGGGAAAGGAUGCGUUCUUUGAUUGGAUUUCAAACGAUGUGGAAUUUCCAGACGGUUACGCAUCUAAUUUGCGUAACUGUAUCGACAGAAAGGAAGGAAAGUUUACUGGCUUGAAAAGCCAUGAUUGCCAUGUAAUGAUGCAGCGUCUCCUUCCGUUUGCCUUCAAGGAACUAUUACCACGAAAUGUUCAUGAAGCAAUUGCAGGGAUAAGUGGUUUCUUCCGCGAUUUAUGCACAAGAUCAGUGACUCUUGAAGGUAUUGAAAAUUUGAAGACUAACAUAGCUGUGAUUCAGUGCAACCUUGAGAAGAUAUUUCCUCCCUCAUUUUUUGAUGUUAUGGAGCAUCUUGUUAUUCACCUGGUAAGAGAAUUGGAACUUGGUGGUCCUGUGCAGUAUAGAUGGAUGUAUCUGUAUGAGCGGUAUAUGUUCCAUUUGAAGAAGAUGGUGAAAAAUUUAAGUAGGGUGGAAGGGUCUAUAGUCACACAGAUGAUCAAUGAAGAAACUUCAAACUUUGCCGAGUACUACUUUCCAGCAGAAGUUCAGACCAAAAACAGAAGACCUGCUCGGCAUGAUGAUAGAGGCGAACGGGCAACAUAUCAUUGGAAGGUUCCAGACAUUUUCACAGACGUUGGACGACUUAGCGGAAAACCAAAGGACCGUCGACUUACUGAUCAGGAGCGCAGUCAUUUGCAAACAUAUUUACUCACCAACUGCGAAGAUGUUCUUCAAUAUGAAAGGAUUUUCAUGGCAGAAAAGCGGUUAGAAUAUAGAUACGCCACAGAGGACGAACUAGAAGAAAUGAAGCAGAGAGAAUUUGGUGGAUGGAUGUUUACUUAUGUGAGUGAUGGUUUGGCCAGAGGUGAAACAUUUAACGAUUGGAUACGCGAGAUGGUCGUUGGACCAAACUUUGUUGUGAAGUCAUAUCCGAGAUUUUGUACUCGAGGAUAUGCAUUCACAACUCAGAAGAGGAGACGUUCGAGUACGACUUACGAUGCUGGUGUUUGUUCUGCAUCAGGAGAUGAUGUAUACUACGGACACAUAAAUGAGAUUUUGGAAAUCAAGUAUUUGGGCAUGGUUGGAUUGCGCUGUACUGUUUUCUAUUGUGACUGGCACGACAACACUCCAGAUCGAGGUGUGAGAACAGAUGCAUUUGGUGUUACAUCAGUAAAUUCAAGACGGAAGCUGCAAUAUUAUGAUCCUUUCAUUCUUGCUUCUCAGGCCGAUCAGGUUUGUUAUAUCAAGUACCCCCGGGUAAGGAACAGAGAUGAUCCAUGGGUUACUGUUACAAGACUCAACCCAAGAGGCCGAGUUCAGGGAAGUUCUGAGCUGGAAGACCCACUACAACCAAGCACAUCCGGCAACUUAAGUGCAGCAGAAGAUUUAGGUGGAGUUGGCCUUGUAGUCGAUUUAACUGACUUCGGAGAAGAAGCCGCCGUUCACGUAGAGGAUGAACCAGUGAUUGAAGAGUUUCACCAAGAUCCAGAUUCAGAUUCAUCUGGUGAUGACGACUCGGAAACAGACUAGCGUCGACCUUUUUUUUUUUUUUUUUUUUAAAGGAAAAUUCCGAGGAAAUUCCGAGGACAGAUAGGUUUUCCUCGGAAUUUCCUCGGAAUAGAUCUUCUCGAUUGAAAACCCCAAGUUCCUCGGAAUUCCCUCGGAAAAUUCCGAGGAAAUUCCGAGGAGAUGGGGAUUUGAUUAUAGAUUCUUUUUCCUCGGAAUCUCCUCGGUAUAUUCCGAGGAAAUGCUGACGAACAUAAGGAUUUCCUCGGAAUCUCCUCGGUAUAUUCCGAGGAAAUUCCGAGGAACUGGGGGUUUUAAAUCGAAAACAACGUUUUACGGAUUGAAUAACACGUAUAUAACCUUCAUUAAGUGUCAUAACCAGAUUAUGAUGUUUGGAACUAUGAACUUUGGUGUUUUAUCCAAUAACAAACACUUUUACGAUUGCAUGAACGAAAACCACACAACAUAAGAGAAACACUUAUACACUUUAAUAAAUGGUAAAGGGAAUACUUACAAUUAUUUUUGAAAUUGUGUUAUUUCAUGGUUUAUGAUCAUCUAUACAAAGAAUCCUCAAUGGUAUGCAUUAUAAUUGUAUAAGAAAUGAAAUACGGCGAAAAUAAUCGAUGUUUUAAAACCCCAAACCCUGGUUCCUCAGAAAUUCCUCGGAGAUUACCGAGGGUAUUCCGAGGAAUCGUUGUUCGUCGGAAUAUUUUCAUUUAACCGGGUAAACCAAGCCGCCAAAUAUUUUGGGAAAAUUGAAUCAAAGAAUUCCGAGGAAAUUCCGACGGAAAUAUUAAAUAUUUCCGAGGAAAUUCCGACGGAUAGUUUCCGUCGGACGCCUCAUAAUAUUAGGGCGAGCCCGAUCUUCUUCCCCAUUUCUCUCUUUCUCUCCGCGCCGCUGAGCCUCUCCUCUCGCGAUUUCCGGCGACUCCACCGUUCUCUCUCGCGUUUUUCCGGCGAAUCUCCCCUAAUCCUCCCCCAUAAUCAUGUAAGAACCCUAUCCCACUCUUUUAGGUUAGAUUUGUAUGGUUUUUAAGUAGAUUUGAUGAUUUUGGAAUGAGAUUUAUAGAUUUUGUUAGGGUGAAUGGUAGAUUUGUGUAAAAUCGAGUUUGAUUAUGUAUUUCACUUGAUUUGAAUUUUUUUUUUAGUUUUUAUUAAUUUUGUGGUUAUAAAAAUCGAAUUUGAAAUUAUAUAUAUAUAUUGAAAACGUUUUUUGUAUAUAAAAUCUAUUUUUUGCAUUUUAAAUUCAUUUAUAUAUUUAUUAAACAUUUUUAAAAUCUAUAAAACUUUUUUUAAGAUUAAAAAUCAUUUAUAUAAUAUUUAAAAACAUUUUUUUUGUAUUUUAUAUGUAAAAUAUAAAUUUCUAUAUUUAUUAAACAUUUUUAAUAUUAUGAAAACUAUUUUUGUAAUUAUUUAACAUUUUAAACAUUUUUAAAACUAUUUUUCGUAAUUAUUAUGUUUUUGGGAUUUAACAUUUUAAACAUUUUUAAAAUCUAUUAAAACUUUUUUUAUUUAAACUGUUUUUUUUAAUUAAAAUUAUUAGAACUAAUUUUUAAAUAUGUUUUUUUUUAAUUUACAGGUCUAAUGAUGAUCAGAUCCGGCCUCGCCAGCGUCGUAGCCGGGGUGGUAUGGGGAGCCAGUCUCGGGGUUCUUCCAGCCAUGUUCAGGAUUCCGUUUCGCCCCACAGCUCAUACCAUACAUCUCCCUCUCCAUUACUCGCUCAUGCUGCUCCCGCUCCCGCUGCUGCACCCGCUCCUGGUCCCGCUGCUGCACCCGGUCCUCUGGGAGUGAUGAGGGUUGCGGAGUUGGUUCGACAGCCCGGUCGUGACCAUCUUCCCUAUCUCACUGAGUAUCCACAUGGACAUGGUCAAACAUGGUAAUUUAAACUUUUAUUUUUUAAACUAUUUUUUAUUUAAACUAUUUUUUUAUUAAUAAUUUUUUUUUUAUUAGGUUCAACCGAUCCGGGAAUGGGAUCAGCGCAUGGAUCAACCGUAUGAUGUACUCGGCCCUCGACAGCGGACAUCCGACUUUCACUCACUUCCCUGUCGAGAAGCAACAUCUGUGGUUUCAGCAGUUUGCGGUAAGUAUUCUAAUUUUUAAAUUAUAUUUUUUAUAUUAUUAAAACUAUUUUUUGUAAUUAUUAAACUAUUUUCUAUAUUUAUUAGACAUUUUAAAUAUUAUUAAAACUUAUUUUUGUAAUUAUUAAACUAAUUUCUAUAUUUAUUAGACAUUUUAAAUAUUAUUAAAACUUAUUUUUGUAAUUAUUAAACUAAUUUCUAUAUUUAUUAGACAUUUUAAAUAUUAUUAAAACUUAUUUUUGUAAUUAUUAAACUAAUUUCUAUAUUUAUUAGACAUUUUAAAUAUUAUUAAAACUUAUUUUGGUAAUUAUUAAAUUAUUUUUUUAAUUAUUAAACUAUUUUUUAUUUAUUAAAACGACGAUUUUUGUAAUUAUUAAACUAUUAUAUUUUUGUGUUUAAAAACUAUUUUUAAACUAUUUCAGCAAGAAUUCAACUGGAAUGNNNNNNNNNNNNNNNNNNNNNNNNNNNNNNNNNNNNNNNNNNNNNNNNNNNNNNNNNAUGAUACGCUCUCUAUCUAUCACCAUUUUGUCCAUAAAGUUAUGGACAACUAUGGGAAGCAGAUGUACGAGUGGAAGAAGAAGUGGGAAGUAAACAAGGUAGUUUUUAAUUUAUUAACAAUUUUUAAUUUAUUACACUAUUUUUAAAAUUAUUAAACUUUUUUUUUUAAAAUUAAAAGGUCCCAAAGUCGAUGAACGACACGGUCUGGAAGGAGUUGUGUGCGCAUUGGGAUAAAGAAGAGACGAAAGAAACUUCUUCCACCAACUCCAACAACCGCAGAAGCGACCGUAAAGGAAAGGGCAUCUACAAGCAUAACUUGGGUGCUCAAUCUAUUGCCACUCUGGCGGAUCGCAUGGUAAGCUCAACCGCUUUUUCUUCAAUUAUUUAAGUUUCAGAAUUUUAUUUUUUUGCAUUUUCAAAUUUCUAAUGUUUGUCUAAUUUAUUUUUUUUCAAGGCGGAAGAAAAUGAAGGCCACCCAGUUGAUGAUCUCGCCCUUAUGAAAAGGGCGUAUACCAACAAGAAGACCGGCCAGAUUGAUGAUGGUCUUGUGAGGGACGUGGUCGACCUGGUCCAAACUCAGGUGUAUGACGAAGUGUCUCAGCUUCAAACCGAUGAUGACGAUUCGACGGCCUCGACCAACUUGUCUCGGGUUCGAAUCAACGAAAUCGUUGAAUCGGUAAGUUUUUUUCUUUUAAAAGUUCAAUUUAAUUAUUUCUUGAUUUUUAUUUUAUCAUCAAUUUAAAUUAUCUAAACUUGGUUAUUUAUAUUUCAGUCAGUUCCAAAGAAAAAGGGACGUUUGGUCGGUUUGGGUCGUCGCUCCCGGUCGGCUACUCCUUCUUCUGCACCACAUGCGUAUGUUGAUCCAGAAGUUCUUACGGCUCAGCUGAAGGACAAGGAUGAUCGGAUAUCUGCGUUGGAGACUCAGAUGGCAGCUCAACAGGCGGGCUAUGAGACCCAGAAGAGGCUGAACGAGCAGAUGAUGGAGAUGAUGAAGAGGAUGUACCCGAACGAGACGUUCCCGAACAUUCAAGACCCGUAGUUUUUUUUUUUUUCCAAAAACUCUGAAUGUUUUAUUUAAAUUUGAAUAUUAUCUACUAUGUUUUAUUUUAUGUUUUAUUCAAUUUUAAUUUUAAAUUUUAAAAAUUUUAAUUUUUAAAAAUAAAAUUAAUUUUUAAAAAAAAAAAAAAUUUUUAAAAAAAUAAAUUUUUUCAAAAUUCCGAGGGAAUGGAGUUCCUCGGAAAAUUCCGAGGAACUUUCUCCCCUCGGCAAAUUCCGACGAACUUUAAGUUCCUCGGAAUUUUCUGAGGGAAAAAGUUCCUCGGAAUUUUCCGAGAAACUCCACUCCCUCGGAAUUUUCCGAGGGAGAGGAGUUUCUCGGAAAAGUCCGAGGAACAAAUGUUCCUCGGUAUUUUCCGAUAAACAUUCCGAGGAAUAUUUCGUCGAAACUUCCGAGGAUUGGGCCAUCGGAAUUCCCUCGGUAUUUUCCGAGGAACCUUCCGACGAACUUCGUGUCCUCGGAGUAUCCUCGGAAUUUUGUUUCCUCGGAAUUCCGUCGGAAAAUUCCGACGGAAUUCCGAGGAAUUAUGAAUUUCCGAGGAGUUAUUUCCGAGGAAUUUUUUCGUCGGUAUGUCCUCGGAAUAGCGUUAUUCCGACGACAUACCGACGAUUUUUUCCCUCAGUAUCCCGAUGUUUUCUUGUAGUGAUAGAUACGCAGACCUAACAUUUAAUAUGUAUUACUAGACAUGCUACAAGCGAAGUUUAGGACGUAAAUCUCGUUUUACCCAUUUCACAUUAGUAGUUUUCUGUAGCAAUACAUCUUUUCUGUUAAUAAAAAAUUAAUUUUUCCCAAUUAUAUUCAACAAACAUGCAAAGAAAAAAAAGAGUAAAGUCCUUACAUAUGAGGACAAACGAAAAUUAUUGUCCACUACCAAGAACAAUAAUGGAUGAAUAAGACGAUGAGUAAGGUAAUUUAUUAAAAGACGAGAUUAUAGAAAUUGGCGCGGAUUUUGUUUUCGGAUUUGCCAUAAUUGCUAAUUGUAGACAAUGAUACACAUCGCAUCAUUAUGUUUUUAACUUUCUUUCGGUGCAAUUUUACCCUAUUAUUUACGCGAUUGGUAAAUUAUAUGCUCACGAGUUAAUAUACUCAAUUCAUUCGUCUGCUAUGAAAAGGGUUAUGAGAAGAACAAAAAUCGGUAAAAGGUAUUUGUAGUCUGAUUAAAGUGCUACUUAACUACCAUUCAUUGCACUUUAAAACACGGACAUGUUAAAAAGUAUUUGUAGUUUGAUUAAAAUUUUACUUAACUACGAUUCAUCGAGUUUAACUUAAGGGUUGCUAAGAUCUUACGCUCUUUAAGUGGCCACACUCAUGAAAGUUCUUGUUUAAUUAUGCUAAACCUAACCGAAACUUGACAUAAUUAUGAGUAACUUAAUUACAUAAAUACAAAAUACUAAAUGGUUUCGUGGUUUCGUACGAGUCAGCGAGCAUUUCAGCCGUUUCCUACCCUAUGGAAUACAGAAAUAUUUUCAACACCUAAGUUUGAUUUUUCGAUUAGGCCAGCAACUUUCGGUCACCCUGCUUUCAUCAUCCACCGAACAAAAAAUAAUAAUAUAAUUUUAUGUAUUUUAAAUUCAACUAGAUUCUGACCCGCCCUUCUGAAGGGCGGGUAUACUUUUUUUUUAAUUUUUUAAGAAAUUUAAUUUUGGUAUUUAUGUUUUUUUGUAAAACCGUUAGAAAAAAUAUUUAUGUUUUUUUGUAAUCAUAAUUUAAUUUAAUUUAAUUUUUGAUAACUAUAUUAAAUAUAUCAAGUUCCAUAAUUAUACACUUAUGUCAUAUACAUUUUAGAAAUUAUUUUUUAAUUUUAUUCCAAAAAUUUGCAAAAUAUUAUAUUUUCUUAAUAGUUACCUAUCAUAAUUAGUUAAGAAUAUUCAUAUAAAAAGAACCGAUUCGAAAUCAUCCCGGAAAUUAAAGUCUCAUAAUCUAAUAGCAUAUAUACUCAAACAGUUUUUAAAAUAUUAUAUCCGAAAACCAAUAUCAAACCCAACCUACACCGAAAACGGAAAAAUGUUUGAAAAAUUAAUUUUUUAUAUAUUUUGUUACAAAAAAAUAUAUGUAUAUAUAUAUGUAUAUCUUGAUGCAAAAGUCAAUGAACCAUUGUGGUAUAGUGGUAAAAGACACGGCUAUUAUCAAAGAUUAUAUGGGUUCGCAGCAUGAUCUGUUUUUUUAGAUUUUUAUUUCUUUUUUUCUCGCUAAUGGCAAAUAUGUAAAUACUUUAUCUUCUCCAUUUAUCAAGGCUUCUAUCUUUCUGCAAUUUUUUUCCACCGCCGCAAACAUAAUCGAUCUAAUUUUUUGAUGUUUCCUUUUCAUUUAUGCAUCAAAAUUGAAGAUUUGUUAAUUAUCAUCCAGUUUUAAACAUCUUAACACACAAAAACUUGAAUGAUUUUGAUAAACUUGAUUUCACUGCCUAGCACUCAAUGUUUUUGAACGAUAUAUGUAAAUAGGUUAAUCAAUAAUCCAACUAUUGCAGUUGAAGAGAAGCACAAUUUCUUGCCAAUAGGAAACUUAGACUCAUAGUUUACAAAUAACUGCAUGAAUAAUUUCUGAGAACAUGACUGUUUUUUUUUGCUGAAUUUCUGCAACUCUAUUAAAUCAUGAAAAAUUGAUUGUUAGACUUUUGCAGGAAGAAGCAUAACUGGUUUCGUUAUAGAACUUUAUAUAAAGAGAACGUGGUUAGUUUUUAAGUUAAAGUAAAUACAGUUAUAGAAUAUUUUUAAGUUAAUGUAAAUACAGUUAUCAAUAGAUGUAAUAUUGAUAUUAAAAAUAAUUGUUGGACUAAACUAAUAUUAACUGGACAUGUUCCAGCUUUAAUAGUAUUGAUGUAGGAGUAAUAGAGUACAUAUGAUCAUUCAAUUAAAUUAUCCAUGCAAAAAUAAAUCAAUGGAGCAAGGGAGAGAUAUGGUAAACCAGUUAAAAAUACAGGAAAGAAAAAGAGCAAUGAACCACACUUAUAAGUGGAGAAAAAAACUUGACAAAGUUGUGCGUACUAUAGACAACUUUAAUUCUCUUCACAACACUAAAAAUUAUAAACAAUCAAAUUUUGGUUAAUUUUCUAGAGCACGCUUUUCAAUGCUUUGGAAAAUGUUUUUUCUCCUUUCUAUAAAACAUGUACGCCUCAUUUCCUCUGUAGCAAUAUAUUUCACUAAUAUAAAUAUACAAAUAUAUAUAUCUUACAUAUAUAAUCCACCAAAAUGUUACAAAUAUUAUUAAAACCAAAUCGCAUCACUCAAACCUUAUUUGUCAUUUUGAACUUAUGUAAUGGAACAACCGUACGUGAUAUUAGUAUAAAAAAAAACAACCGUACGUGAUCGUGAUCAGCAAUAAUUAACAAAUAAACAGAAGGAUCAAACUUUUUUUUUUGAAUUAUACGUAAAAUUUAUUCAGAAAGGAUCAAACAUAAUAUCGUAAGUAUUAUGUUAUCAUUCGUUAAAAAUAUAUUAAAAAAAUUAUUUACCAAAUGCCAAUGAUCUUUACAUGCUCACUGUCAAUGUUCUCAUAUGAAGUUUUUAAUAUAAUAUUUACAUUUAUAACUUAUAAAAUUAAAAAAUAUAUAUAAUUUAUCUAUUUAUUUUAUUUAAUAAUAUCAUAAAAUUAUUUUUAUAUCAAGAAAAAAAUUAUUNNNNNNNNNNNNNNNNNNNNNNNNNNNNNNNNNNNNNNNNNNNNNNNNNNNNNNNNNNNNNNNNNNNNNNNNNNNNNNNNNNNNNNNNNNNNNNNNNNNNAAAAUAGUUUAAUAAUAAAAAAAAAUAGUUUUAAAAAUAUUUAACAUGUUUAAUAAAUAUAGAAAAUAGUUUAAUAAUCACAAAAAAUAGUUUUAAUAAAUAAAAAAUAUAAGUAAAAAUUUUGUAUACUUACCGCAAACUGACGAAACCACAGAUGCUGCUUCUCGAGAGAGAAGUGAGUGAAAGUCGGAUGUCAUACGGUUGAUCCAUGCGCUGAUCCCGUUCCCGGAUCGGUUGAACCUAAUAAAAAGAACAAAUUAUUAAUAAUCAAUCAAAUUUUAAGGAAAAAAAAUAAAAGUUUAAUUACCAUGUUUGACCAUGUCCAUGUGGAUACUCAGUGAGAUAGGGAAGAUGGUCACGACCGGGCUGUCGAACCAACUCCGCAACACUCAUCACUCUCGGAGGACCCGUAGGAGCAGGAGCGGGUGUAGCAGCGGGAGCGGGAGCAGCAGGAGCGGGUAAUGGAGAGGGAGAUGUAUGGUAGGAGCUGUGGGGCGAAACGGAAUCCUGAACAUGGCUGGACGAACCCCGAGACUGGCUCUCCAUACCACCCCGGCUACGACGCUGGCGAGGCCGGAUCUGAUCAUCAUUAGACCUAUAAAUUAAAAAAAAAUAGUUUUAAUUAAAAAUAGUUUUUAAUCACAAAAAUAUAAAUAGUUUAAUAAUUAACAAAAAAAGUUUUAAUAAAUAAAAAAUAGUUUAAAAAUUAAAAAAAUAGUUUUAAUAAACCCCAAAAACAGUUUAAUAAUUAUAAAAAAUAGUUUUAAAAAUAUUAAAAAUGUUUAAUAAUUACAAAAAAUAGUUUUAAUAAUAUUAAAAAUGUUUAAUAAAUAUAGAAAUUUAUAUUAUAUAUAUAUUAUUUUUUUACAAUCCCAAAUAAUAGUUUUUAAUCACAAAAAAGUUUUAUAGAUAUUAAAAAUGUUUAAUAAAUAUAUAAAUGAUUUUAUAAUGGAAAAAAUAGAUUUUAUAUACAAAAAAGUUUUCAUAUUAUAUAUACAUAAUUUUCAAUUACGUCAAUGGAAACCUUUAUCUCUUUAUUUAUUUAUUUAUUUGUUUAUUUAUUUAUUUAUUUAUUUAUUCUGUGUAUUGAAGCUUUAAUUGCAAAUAUUAAGAAAGCGAAGAGAGGGAAACAACUAACGAGAAUGAACGUAGUUAGAGGAUGGCUCAUUGAUUCUACUUCGCGAACUUGGAACUCGCAAGCACUCCGGAAUUUGGUGGACCCACAAGAUGUGAAAAUUAUAGAAAACAUACCAAUGAGCAGAACCCAGAUGGUAGAUAGAGAUGGAUGGUAUUUCACAAACAAUGAGAAAUAUAUGGUCAAAUCAUGAUAUCAGGUAGAACGGGUUUACCCACUGGAAAAAACUACCAAUAAUGUUUGGACCUACAGUUGAUGCAUUGAAGGUGUUAUGUUGGAAAAUACGGUGUCCACCAAAGAUAAAAUAUUUUAUAUGGUAAUUGGUGACGGGUGUAUAGCAGUCAAGAAGAAUCUGCAAGCGCAUGGGAUACAUGGGGAUAUAUAUUGUGCAAGAUGCGCAGCAGAUGAUGAAUCGAUAAACCAUGUGUUUUUUGAAUGUCUUCUAGCACUUCAGGUUUGGGAUCUCUUAAAGAUACCAUCAAAUCCAACUACUUUCCCAAUAAGCUCUCUCUUCACAAAUAUGGAUCAUCUAUUCUGAAGAGUUUUUCCGCAGAUAGAUGAUCAUCAAUUUGCAUGGAUAUUAUGGUACAUAUGGAAAUGAAGGAAUAAUAAAGUUUCUACUAAUCUCGAUAUUGACCCUCGUGACACACUUAAAUUAGCAGAAACAAAAUCAAUACUUUAGGCUGAGGCACAAAUAUUUAAUGAACAUAGGAGAGUACCACAUAGAGAUUACGACUCUACCGUCAAUUCCAAGAAGAUGGUGUUUCACAGAUGGUUCCUGGAAAGAGAACGAUACUUUUUCCGGACAUGGUUGGCUUAAUACUUUAGAAGGAUUUGAUGGGUUGAUGGGGGUGAGGAAUGUUUAGGCUAGUCUCUCUCCUCUACAUAUGAAGAUGUAAGCGUUACUCUGGGUAAUGGAAUGUAUGAGAAACUUACGUCAAUUUGAAGUUACGUUUUUAACGGAUUGUUCUCAGUUGGUGAAGAUUGUUUCAAAACCAGAAAAAUGACCAGUUUGCAACUUCUUUGGAAGAUAUUAAAGUCCUGAAAGAAAGAUUUUUUGAUUAGAGAUUAUCUAUGUACCAAUGACACAAAAUACGAAGGCGGAAGCCUAGCAUGCAGUGUCAGAAAACAACCAUUUUUUGUCAUUCACAUAGAUCAAGAUCUUCCGAUUUGGUUCACAGUAUCAGUAUGAAUCUGUAUAAGUUGAUGACAAAAAAAAAAGGAUUGAUUCAUAGAUUUGAAAAGUUACUUAUACAAUGGAUCAUAAAUCAUUUUGUACAUUAUAUGUUUUUCUUUUGGAAUUCUUUAUCAAUUUAUAUCUUUUCUAUACAUUUUAAUUUGUUUUUGGUCGUCGCUUUUUCGUCUAUUUUACAUUUUUACUAAAACUAUUUAGAGCAAGACAAGUAGAACUGAUACAAAAUCACAUUUCUAAUAAAGCAACGAUUUAAAUCUAUUAAAUUUGUUGUUCAGAAUCAAUAUAGAGAUCAAUAUUCAAAAGUUCAUUUUGGAUUAGAAAUAAAAGCAGAAAGUAUGUGAUAUUUUGUGAACGUGAAUGACUCUUAACAAAAAUUCUUGUCAAAUGUGAGGAUUCUAUUGUUUGACAAGAACUUUCCAUAUUAGAAUCAUUCAAGCUUACUAAAAUGCCACAAAUAUUUCCUUUCCUUCGAGCCUAAAAGUAGUUUUAGUAAAAAUAUAAAAUACAUUAAUGAGCGACGACCAUACUAUAGUCGGUUAAACUCGGUCGUCGGACGUUAAUUCAAACAAGAAAUAAAUUAAUUAAAAUGUAUAUAAAUAUAGAGUUGAGAAAACUUUUUGAAAAAAUAUAUUUAAAGUUAUAAAAAAUAUUUUGUUAUAAGGAACGAAGGGAUUAAGGUAAAUUCCAUUUGCGAUUAAAUCCUAUCAGAUUUGUAAAUCAAUCCAUUCCAUCUCAUCAAAUUAACUAGAAAGUUUUUGUUAAUAUAUAUAUAAGGGAUAAAGGGUGCAAGUUCUGAUUUUUUCUUCAGUCUUCUCAUGUUAAUUCCAUGGCUGGUCUUAAAGAAGUUUACCGUUUUUUCUAUAUUUAACGUCUUUAUUUCGAAUUAUUUUGUCAUGUAGUAAUAAUGAAUUGUCGAUAAUCACAUUUCUCAUGCCUUAUUGUUGCUCUCUAAUUACGUGCGUAUAUAUGCAUGUAACGCACAUAUAUUUCUCUCUGUGUAUAUAUAAUUACACCAAAGCAACACACGAUCUCAACAAGAUUAGUGGAUCGAUUACUUUCAGAUCUGAGAAACUUAAGACUUAAACUUGUGGAUCAAUUUGCAUAAUCAUCUCUGUAAGUGUAUGAACACACAUCGUCCAUGCCCAUUUUCAUGUGUUUACGCUUGUGCUUUUCUAAAUUGUAAAUUCAUAUGAAUAUUUUUCUAACAAUUAAUGUAUUUUAUUGAUUUGUUUUUUUUUCUUCAAACUUUCUAUAGAAAAAGAAUGGAGCAGGAAUUGGAUUUAACACUGAGGUUGGGUCUGCCAAGUCCUGCUAUUGAGACACAUCUGAGCUUAGACACUCCUCCCACCACUAAUCAGGUUUUAUUUCAUAAAUAACUCCUUUUCUCUCACCAUUAUUGAUUGAUAUGGGCAUAUGCAUAAAUAUGAAUUAAUUGUAGAGAUCCAUUGACACCAAACAAUCACCAUCUCUUUUGUGAUUAACUUCAUAACAAUUGUGGAAAAAUGCAUGACUGAUUUUUUUUCAUGUUUAUCUUUCUCAAAAGUUUUUUAGUCCAAAUUAAUUGAACUAAUAAUAUUAAAUUAAUUAAUCUCUGCUUAAGAAACGGUAACACCACAAAAAAAACAAAAAUCCUUAUCAUCAUCAUCUUUCUUACAGCUAAUUAAUUGCCAUUGAACUAAUAAUAAAUUAAUUACUUACCUUUAUAACGGCGCUGCAUAUUGACAGUUAUUACAUACAAUUAAAUGCUAAUUAAUUAAAAUUUAAAUUAAAACAAAACAGGGGAUCAACGUCGACGAUGGCCGCCGAGACAACAACGCCGGUGGUGAGAAUCACGAACGUCACACCGACGUCAAUAUGAGAUAUUACAAUUUAGUCUUCAACCACUUCGCCGGCAUCCGCGAGACCUUGAACUUCACUCCUUUUCCGAUACAACCGCCUCCCUAUUCUUCUCCGGCGCCGACGCCGGCGACUCCUACGAGGAGUGAUUAUGUUCUGAUCGAUGUCCCUGCUAGGAGAGCAGUUCGUAGCGCUUUGGCGACUGGAAACGCUCUGAACGCAAACGCAAACGCAAACGCGAAACAGCGUCGCGGCUGCGGCGGCUGUAGCGGUGGAAGGAUUGGGUGGAUGAGGAAAUGUACGAACUUGAAUUGCAACGCGAUUGACACUCCUAUGUGGCGGAGGGGUCCUCUUGGUCCCAAGGUAAGUUCAUUAAUUAGUAUCAGUAAUUAAUUACUCUGCUCAAACUUAAACUAAAUGGAUGUUGAUUGGUAAACGUGUGUUCAGACUUUAUGCAAUGCUUGUGGGAUAAAGUUCAGGAAGGAGGAAGAGAGGAGGUCCAAGAGGAGUUAAUUGGUGAUUUGGUGUUGUAUUUGUAUUUGAUUAAAAAUUAAAAAGAGAGAGAGAAGAUGAUUGUUCAUUAGGAAUGUCUAUGUCUCUGGUUAAGCUUUGUGAGAGGAAAGCUAAACUUUGGAGCUUUAAGAAAAUUCUAUUGAAAUAUCGUUAUUUUAAAAGAGAAAUUGCACUCUAUACACAAAACUUUGCAGCUUUUUAUCCUUUUCUUUUUUUUUUCUUCAAGCAGCUUUUUUUAUCAUACCACAAAAAUAUCAUUUGAAAAAUAACAGAAUUUUCAUAAAAUAUGAAUGCUAUAUAACAUAUCGAAAGUAUUCGCACACAAAUUUACACAAAAUAUCAUUGGGUUCAUCUUCUUUACCAGGUUUCAUUUUUAUAAUAUAUUACUUGUACAUAAAGAUAAAUUCAUUAUUGGUCAUAAGUCAUUUUUUCCAACGGUCAUAAAUCAUUUUUAAAUUUGGUAUAUAUGUUUUGUCCAUAUAUGUUUUGUCCAAAAAGAAUUGGGUUUACAUAUCAACUUAAAUUUGGUAUACUAAAUAAGAAAAUCAUGUUACUUUUUUUAUACAAAGAAAUUCAAAAUUACUUUCUACAGAUACAUGAUAUUGCAGUGAUUUUCCUUUUCUUCUCACUUCUAAAAUGAAAGUUCAAUUGGGUUUGGACGGUUAAUAUUACAAUGAUAAGAUUUACAUCAUAAAUUUUGGUAGAUAAAAGUACAAAGUCCAAGUUUAAAGAAAUGCCCCUUUUUAGUAAAAGUACAAAGUCAUACUCAUAUUAUCUACCAAGAAAUGCCCCUUUUUAGUAAAAGUACAAAGUCAUACAUUUAUUAUACAUAACCUGAUUUUUUUAAUAAUAUUUUUAUUUGACUACAUUUUUUUUUCUAUAUACAUUACCCGAAAUUAUUUUUUUGGGCAAAAAAUAAUUAAAUUCGGGUUAUAUAUAUAGAAAUAAAUUUAUUCAAAUAAAAAUAUAGUAUUAUAAGUUAUAACUGUGAAAUGAAUAUGAGUAUGACUUUUGACCAAAAAAAAGAGUAUGACUUUGUAUUUUUUACUAAAAAGGGGCAUUUUUCUUUAAACCAAUGCAGUGUAAUUGUUUUUUUUUGUUUGCGUUCGAGUUGUUGCAGCUGCAUAUACUAAUGAUAAUUAGCUAGUUCCGACGGACGACAUCUAGUUGUACAUAGUAUUUGCAAAACCAGUUACAUUGGUAUUGAGAGAAAAUUGGGUUUUUUAUUUGGCGAAUUCUUCAGUUAGAAUAUGAUAAUGAAUUAAGAAACUUAAUAGAAAAAUAGUCUUAAAAAAAAUUCCAAAGUAAAAAAUCUUCUAAUCUUUUCGAACAAUAUUAAUGCUAGUCAAUUUAGUGUGUUUGUUACGGACCAAGCGAGAAGAUGAAGGAAUCCAAAUCGAUUUUUCUGGAUAUUAAUGAGCGUGGACUCAGAUGGUUUAUAUUCAAUAGUAAGAAAAUUGAGUGUAACUAUGAUGAUGAUGUCAUAUAAAUAUAUAUAGCAGAGCAUUGGUUAAAUCAGUUUUGAUAACCUUGUUUUGUUUGGACUCGGAUGGUUUAUGCCCACGCUCGAUCGCUGGUCAACAAGAGAUAACAAAGGAUUGACUAAAACAAUAAACAAAACAAAGAGAGUAACUAAGAGAAAUUACAAAUCAUAUGUAAUAUACAAAUUUAUGUUCAUCCCCAAGUAUGGGGUGUGUAAAUGUAAAAGAAGCUGAUGAUGAGGGAGACUCAUCAGCCCAUAACCGACAUAGACAGUAACAGUCUUACAGACUCAUAACAAGUGAGGAGACAUAGUGACAACCAAGAAAAAUAUUACAUGGUAGAUGUAAGAACACGAAAGACAAAAAAUAAACAGAAGAUUAAAAUUUACUAUCAAGACUUAGAACCAUAUGGAUACAUCUUGCUGCUUCUGCUGCACACCAUCCAUCGUUCCUACUACUCCUGCCAUUGACAUAUCAUCUCUGUAAUCGAAUGAGGCCAUGUCAAACGGUGGAGCAUCAUACACAAGCUGAAACCUGUUGCUGCUACCGUUAUUAAGCGCAGCUUCAAAGCUGUUGCUGUUGCUCCCUUGGAAAAACGUUUGGUUACUGUUAUUAGCUCUGUUUGGGAUGUUCAAGUCUUCAAAGAAACUACUUUCCACCACGUUUCCUUGGAACUGGAGAUGCUCUUGAUGAUUCUGGACCGUUGGUUGAAGCAGUGACACGCUCUGAUUCUCCAUAACCAUAGAAGUUUGGUUGCUAUGAACGUUUCUGUCGUACAUGGACAUGAGCUCGGAGAUCAUCUUCUGUCCAUCUUCAGGAACUCCAAUACCAGUUAAGUCAAUUGGUUGAGCCACUGAGUUCACUGGUUGCCUUGGCUGAGAAUAUCCAACUACAGGCUUAACUUCACUGACAUGGAACCUGGACUGUAAGCAACUGUCUCGGUGUGGACAAACCAACUGAUGGUUGUCUCUCGAGUUCCUAUCCAGAAACCCCCUGCUGAUGUCGCCAUGGACACAACCAGGAUUCUCACAGGUGAAAGCUGCUCUGUCCACCAUUAUAGUGUUCAAAUCUCUGCUUGGCUUCCUCUUCCUAAAGAACUCUGAUGGAACCUCUUCCUUUACAGGCUUGAGCUCUUCCACUUCGUAAGGACUCUCCUUCUCAACACCUUCAACAUCAUACUGACUACAAUCAUUCAUCAAAAGGGAGCAACUCCCACCUGAUAAAGAAGGAGGACACGACUCGGGAUAAAGCUCCCGAGCCAAGGACUCUUCCUGGUUAACAAUAGCAAGCCAAGUAGCACUCUCCUUCGCCGUCAUCUUAUCCUGCAAACACUUAGACUGCCUCACUAGCUUCCUUAUCUUCGCAACAUCAGGAAACAUAUGCUUGAUAACCGCAGUCAAAACACCCACUUUCCACGCCUUCUUCAAAUCAUGAGGCUUCUUAUAAGGAGCAGGACCUUGACCCUUAGGCAAACCGAGCUGACACCACCACUCUUCUUCACCAUUAGGCCACCACGGAGGAGGCACGCCUUUCUCCAAAGGAAACCGUCUCUGAGGAGGAUCACAAUGCUGCAUCAAAGCCGACAAAAGAGACCCAAGAGUCGUGUCCUGAAGCUCUUGCAAAGUAUGUGGAGUAGAUCCAAUCAAACCACUACCUUCACAAACCCCAUGGACACUGUUCUCAGCUUGGUACUUACUUAUAGCAGCAGGACCGUUACGAUCAAACCUAACUUUAUCUUUCCACCACUCACGGAGAUUAUCAGAUGCCCCGGUCACAGGCUUCCCGUUCUCGGGGAUGAUCCCGUAGACAAAGCCUUGAGCUUUGCAGACUUCCAUCAUCUUCAACAUGUACUUCAAGAUCCCGUCUUGAGCUCUAGACAUCUUCUUCCUCCUGGCUUGCUCCUGAGAGGACUGUCUCUGCUUAGCAGCGUCAACGCCUCCUUCUCUGCUCUUGUCUUUAUGCUCCUUGAGACGCUUGAGGCGCAUCUUGUCUCUCCACAUCCUCCUCUCCAGCUCAUCAACAUCGAUCUCUUCAUCAGUGUAGUCGUCUUCAGUAACAGGUUCAGGUUGUGGAGGAGGACAGAAGUCAAGUUCUCCGAAGAAGUCCAUGUUCCCGCCUAACAAACCCAUCUCGUUAAACAUCAUCGUGAUGGCUCUUAAGACCAGAACCGAUUAAAACCUGUAAUAACGAGAAUCAAUCAAACCCAAAAAUAGAAAGUAUUCAUUUUCUGAAGAGGGUAUAAUCGGAAAUUAAAAAAGAUUGAAACUUUCUAUUGUAGAUCUACCAAAACCCCCCACCUGUGAAAGAAUCUAUCUAUGAUCUUCAUCUUUAGUAACAAUAAUGAAUUGGAGAAGAGAGAGAGAGAGAGGAGUUACCUGGAGAUUUAAACAAGCAGUUCAACAGAAAUGAUUUUAAAAAAAAAAGUAUCUGCCUUUAUCCUCUCUUGGUUCAAGUUAGGGACGAGAGAGAUGAAGGAGGAAAGAUCACGUGGGGGGGAGAAAGCGACUUUGUUGUUAUAAUUGCGUUUUUCUCUCAGUGGAGUUUCUCUGUAGAUCAUGGAGAUAGAGACAGAGUAGAAUAUAUAUAUAUAUAUAAUUUUAUUUCUUUACAAGAGAGCAUUUAUUUUUUAUUAUUAAAUAAUUUCCGAAAUAAAUAACUUAAGCGUCUCUUCUUGGCACUAGUCACUGCCCCUCAUCUGGGGUUUUACUUUUGUAUUCUUCUCUGUUCAUUUUUAUAUUACGCGGUAUGAAUUUAAUUCUUUUUAACACGUAGUAGUAUUAAUUGUCGCGAAACUAUAAUACUCCUACGUUUCUUUUUCUCUCUUUUUAAUUAUUCUUUAAAUAGAUAUAUUCAUUAUCUAUACCUCACUACAAGCUGGUGGAAUAAAUAAAACGCACGCAUUUUGUAAUACUUGCGUCAUCGACAACUAUUAUCGAUUAGGACAAAUAGUAAUCUCAAGAGGUGUGUAAUAAAACAUUUUAAAUAAGUUUUUCCAGUUCUCGAUUAACUAUUAUCACGUUCUCCAACACGUUUGUUAGAGACGAACCAAACAGCAGUGUUCAAUUUAAUAUGCUUUCUUUUCGAGUGGUUUUUAAUAAUCCCAAAAUAUCCACACAGAAGAAAGAGUUUCUGAAGAGUAACAGUAGAAAUAACAACGAGUAAUAGAAAUUCAAGGUUACCUUGACCGCACUAGCUAUCUCACUGAUGUCAUCUCCUAUGUAUUCUUUCCAUGUCCCUUUGACAGUUUUUUUUUGUACUCACUAUGCUCAUAAAUGAUAUGCUUUUAGAUAUUAUGGAGAGUUGUAGGAUUCAAAGGGAAAUGUUCAACUUGAGCGUGGAGUCCAAGACGGUGGACAUGGACAUCGUUACAUUGUUUGUAUAGUACUUGACAAAAUUUAAUAUCCAUAUAUCCCUUGAAACUUAACUCAAAUGGCUGUGAUCAUCUGAGUCUUUUUAGGCCACGGUUUACAGGGAAGCAUCUUUCACCCGUUCAGCGGAGGGACUGAAGAGGUAGAAGCGUUCCACAGUGACAUUUCAUGUAAUCGUAGAACCUAAGCCUUGGAAAUGGAAUACAGGAACUCAAUAACAUUAAUGUUGUAUUAUCUAAACUCUCCCUGAUGCAAGAAUUCUAUUGUAUGGAGUAAUGGAUCGUUCUCAUAAUCUGACUCUCUUUUUCAAUUAGUAAUAAUUCUAAAUUGCCAGAAUAUGAUGUUUGGUUACUUGGGUUUUAAGUGUAACUUUUUUGUUUGGAAACACUCAGGAAUAUAAAGAGGAAGCAAAAACGAUGAUGAAACUAGUUGUCAAAAAGAAACACUGACCACAACUUAUUUGAUGAAACCAUUUUGUGUAUUAAAGACAUUAAUCGAAAGCAAUGAAGUUAUUGAUCAAAUCCGUAAAAUUUAAUUAACACCACUUAUAUAGGAUACUGUUAUUAUUAUAAUACUCAUAACAUAUUAGUGUAAUAACUUACACAAUGAGAUUAUACAUCAAAAUGGGUUGUUAGACAAAAUUAUUUUGCAUAGAUUCUAAGGAACAAAUCAGAACAAAAAAGACUUUUUGUUACAUAUCUCUUAGAAACCCUCCUCAAUGAAUCUCUUUACUGCAAUAGAAGAGCCAAGAAGGCGGAGAGUGAUGCAGCAACGAUAGAGCCAACCACCGGAAAAGCCACGGUGGCUGAAGAAGUACCUGGUGCUGGUGCUGGAGACUCCAUGGUAGCCGCCGUGGCUGAGCUCACUAACACAGCCGAGACAAAGAGAGCGACAAAGAAGUUGUUGACAUUCCUCAUUUCUAUUAUUAUUAUUAUUAUUAUUUAUUUAUUUAUUUUGGAUGAUGGUUUUGUGUGUGUGUUUUAUCUGAUGCCUUGAAG
rnacentral:lncRNA from 1 species